CCUCCUCCCCCAGUUUACCUGUCUCCACCUCCACCCUAUCAUCACUACUACGGUUCUCCUUCUCCUCACCACUACUAAGCAAGUGCAUAAGUUUUGAGGUAAUAAUACCUAUCCAAAACUUUAUCAACACAAACUGCCAUGUAUAUCAUGCUAAGGACGUACACUUGAUCCAUGAAAAUGACUAGUAGAAGAUUUUUUUUAAGAACCAAAGAAAUACAUUAUUUUUUCGGUCUGUUUUCAAGAAUUUGAGCAGUAUACAGAUUAAAGAGUGUUUUUUUUUUUGUAAACUUGCUUGUCAACUUAAAAAUGCACAUAGCUGAAAGCCAACUGAAUAUUUGCAGGCAAAGGAGAAGGCAAUCGGUGUUUGAGACCUUCAAGAAGAUGUAGAAGAAUAAGAAUAAAAGCCCAAUGCGAGGAUGAUUCCAAGUUUCUACGUUACCAUUUCUACAUCUAAAUUGACUUUAGCUCCUGAGUUCCAUGUUUAUGGGGUUUGUACCGUUUUACGUACCAUGCAGUACAUGCUUGCAAGGUUUUCUGUCCUGUUGGCAAACUGCAGGUCCAUAUAAUAAAUGAAUACUAUUUACAUUACGACACUUUUCUCUUUUUCUCUUAUAUUUUGUCUUUAAUAUUGUUGAUCAUUUUUUUUUUAUCAAAAGCAUCAAAUGCUUAGGUAAUUUGGUCUAAUGCUAAUUGUUUUACUUUUAUUUUUCACCUACACCCCUUUUCAACUCAAAGGAUGCUAUAGUUUGUGAUAAUUGUUUAAGACCGAAGCAUGAUACUAAUAAAUAUCUCAUUGAAAGUCAAGGAAACUAACAUUAGGAAAAGUUUAAAUCUUGAUUUGAUGAAACUAUUUAUUCGUGGAAUUUAGAGAUACAAAACUCAAAUUGUGACGGUGUUGUUGCUAAAUUAUUAAGGACAUUAUCACCAUUAUUUUUCCCUGAUCACUAGUUUCAACUGCAAUGAUCUCAAUCUUUUUGUGACUAAUUCUUUCCUUAAUAAUUUAUAAAGACAAAACUCACAAAGAAUAUGUGACUAAUUCUUUCCUUUCGUCUUCUAAAGAAAAUGCCAACUGUUAGUUUAUCAAGGGGAAAAAGGAUCGACAUCAGUUAUUAUUGAAACUAGUAAGGAAUAAAUAAUGGUGAUAAUGUCCUUAAUAAUUUAACAACAGCACCAUCAGAAUUUGACUUUGAGCUUCGGUCUUAAACAAUGAUCACAAACUACAGCAUCCUUUGAGUUGAAAAAGGAAGUAGGUGAAAAGAAAAGUAAAAAAUACAAUUAGCAUUCCCUCAAAUUGUAGAAAGUUAGGUAGCAUUAUAGACAAGUUGAUAGCGGCAAUUUUACAUUUCAAACUUCACCUAUUCAAUAACUAAUUCGAUGGCUUGCUACAUGGUCAAUCUUUGGACCCCUUCCUGCCUCCAGAUAUCCCUUUCCUCAAUCAGGGGCUUCUACAAUUACCAGUUUCAAUUGUAUGGUAUAGUGUAAAUAUCAACAAAUUAGAUGUAGAUGCUAACAUAAUAAAUGUGAAUGCUAAGACAGCAACAUACAAUCGAACCUGCAAUUGUAUGAACCCCAAUCUCGCUUCCUAGUCCACCAUCUUUCUCUAGGUAAUAAUCUCCCUUCUAAUUUAUUCACAAAAUGCACCUUUCAUCACCUCCAAUAGCGUCGACAUGAUCUUUACCCUAGAAGACUAUUCACCGACUCUCAAUUGACGUCAGAAAAUCUAAGAGUAAUUCUACUUUACCCUAAGAUUGAUAUCAACAAGACAAGGACAAUUUAGAAUUAUUACACGCCUCUUCUUAAUAGGAAAAAGAAAUAGAGAAGAAAGUCAGGCCAGGUCUAAUUUCUUUUCAAAGGCAAUACAACAUUACGAAAUCAAGCAUUCAUUCAUACAAAUAUUUCAUAGUCACCGGUUUGCUGAGUAGAAAAAUUUAGACAAAAACUUAAUAUUAUAUUGUUUAAGAGUUAACAAUUUAGAGCUUAAUCUCCUUGUACUUUGGAGUUAACAAUUUAGAGCUUAAUCUCCUUGUACUUUGGACUAAACUUGAACGUGAAAGGAAAUCCCAAAACCAUAUUGGGCAUGAAUUCACACUUAAUAUACCCAAUAAAAGAUGGCGACUGGUGAAAGGCAGUGGAGACUGGUGGAGAGAUUUGAGGAAUAGAAGCAGACGGAAAAGCAACAAAUUUUUGCCGAAAAACGGUCACUUUCAUGGUUAAUUUUGCUACUCUCCAAUUGUACUUGACCAAUUACAACAAUUUCAUGGAGUUUGAUACGUGAAAAGAAUUUUUUAUAAAUUUUAUUUUGAUCCAUAAUGUUAUCUUUACAUAUAUAAAACAUUUUACAAUUUUGAUUUUGGCGCAGCUAACUUUUGGUUAACAAAAAUGCUCAUGUUUAAAAAACCAGAAAUAAAACAAAACAAGAAACAAAAGAAAUAAGAGGGUAGCAUAGACAUUUUGGAUUUUUCCGUUAAUUUGGAUGAUUUCCACCCACGUUCUAAUUUAAUCCAAAACACAAAGGAAUUACGUAGAGGUUUUAAAUAAUCAGGGAGCUUCAUGAUCGAACCCCAAACCACGUGAUAGCAUACAAGAGUUCUAUUUCACUAUCGGUAGACAAAGACUUUCUAUGGUUGAUGUACCGUAGGAAAAAAUCUGCCUAUACAACGUGAUAGCAUUUUUUCAAAAACACAAGAUGGAAAAUUGCCCCCUUAAACGUGGAAAUUCAUGAUCUUUCCUCGAACAAAGAAUACUCACGCCUAUUCAAGAUGGAAAAUUGCCCCCUUAAACGUCUAUUUGUCAAUUCUUGAAAAAAGAAUACUCACGCCUAAAACACGGCCUCUUCAUCUGCAGAAUUCUAAAAAGUUACGUAAACUCUAUAAACAAGUUGAUAGGUACAAUCGUACCCAAGAUCAAGUACAGAUAGUUGUACAUUCACUGCUGCAAUAACUAAUCUGAUGACUUACAAACAUAUCAUGGUCAAUCGUUGAAUGGUAAUGAGUCUUUUGUUAUGCAUUAGUAUUAGUGUGUACACUCUAAUAGAUUGAUACUUAUACUCUUUAAAUUAUCAUAAUAAUACCCUUAAUUAACUUUAACUCUUAAAAAGAAUACGUGUUAAUACACGAGAGUGUGUAACCUGAAUUGUUACUUAUACAUUAGUGUGUAAUAGAUAGGGAUGGCAGUGAGGGCGAGUGCCCGCGGGGGGCUCUCGGGGCGGGGGCGGGGGAGAAUUUUUUCCCCCCGUUUAGAAACGGGGCAGGGGACGGGGGAGUAUACCCCCGCCCCAUCCCCCGCCCCGCCACCCGCAAAAAAAAUUAUAUAUAUAUAAUUAUAUAUAAUAUGUAAUUUAAUUAGUUAUAAACUUAUGAUAAUGAUAUUAUUAGUUAGAUGUAUUAUAUAAUGUAUAUUAGUGUAUGUAAUAUAAUUAAUAUUAUCAAUUAUACGAAUAAUUAGACAUGUCCACUAAUAGAGUUUAUUAAUUAGUUAUACUAAAUUUACUAAUACAUUUGUACUAAAUUUCUAAUUACACUUAAUAGAAUAACACUUUUUUCUAAAAAAAAAAGCACAAACACAAUAAUGAAUUAGUGAUUGUAUUUGUACCAAAAGUGAAAACUUAACUAUUUUAGUUGUAUUUAUUUCAUCAUGUUGGAUUGUAUUCAAAUAAUUUUUGUUUGAUUGUUUUUAUGAGUUUCAAUUGUAAAAUUAAAAUGAAUAAUAACUUGAUGAUGUGUUGAUAUUUUAGUACUUGAUUAUUUAUUGAUUUAACUAUAAUAAAAUUUUAUUUUAUUAAAAUUUAACUAUAAUAAAAUUUUAUUAACCAAACGAGUUAUUAAUCCCGCGGGGGCACCCACGGGGGAAGCGGGGCGGGGCGGGGGAGUGGGAGGCGGGGGACGGGGCGGGGGUGGGGGGAGUUGUAGGUAGCGGGGCGGGGGAUGGGGGAGGGGUCCCCCGCCCCAACCCCGCCAUCCCCCGCCCCGUUGCCAUCCCUAGUAAUAGACUGGCAAGCAUUGUGGUGGUCAUUGAGAACUUACUGGAGAAAUAGUCCUAUAAGCUGUUCAAUGAGCAAUCACAACUUGCUAAUUGGAUGACUAAUAUAGCUCUAGCUGUAAUGUUUUAAUUAAAUUACAUCACUAACGUUGGGAUGACUUUUUAACCAAAAAAAAAUGCCUUAGUUCAAGCUUUUCCCUUUAUUGUGCAUUUUUUAAAGCAUUUGAUAGGCACUGCAAAUCUGUCAUUUUGGACAUUUUAUUAUUGACUAACAAUGAAAGCCGUGACGUCUACCCAUAACCAACACAAGAUUAAAUUAAUAUUAGAAAAAAUAAUUGAGUAAUUGGAAAAAAAAAAAGAGACUCAUUUUCAUUGAAACCCACCGACAAACUAAACGUGUCCAUGGCUUUUGAAUAGUGCAUUCAACGUUUAAUUGUAUAGUCCAGUUCAUUGCAGAUUACAUGGAGUAAAGAUUGUGCUCUUUCCUUUUUCACCCCUUUUGGAAUCGAUACUGUGGAGAAUUGGGUUUUUCCCUUCUUUUUUUCUUUUCUUUCCUUCUGUGCUUUGCAAAACAUAGGUAAAAAUAUGAAAUCCGAAGCAUUCUUUAAUUGGGAUUAAGUAUUGUUGUUGAAAUUAAAAAGAAAAAAGAAAGAACAACAAAAUUCCCAAUCUGGGUUGAUUGUUGAGCUCUAGAUUGGUUGCAUCGUGCUUCCAUAGAAGCUCUCUUAGUGUGAUACACUGCUUUCAAUCAGUUUAACACGGGAAAAAAAAAAAAAGAGAUGAAAAGCAAAUUUGGUGGGGAUAAUUUCAGAAACCUCCCCUGAAGAUUUUGACUAUUCUACUGGUCUCCCUUCAGAUUUUAAAAAUUACACUAAUCUUCCUUGAAGUUAAUUAUCUUGUAACAUUUAAAUUCAAUCAAUAAUUUAAAAAAUGAUAUUAUGAGAGAGAAAAUAAUGAUUUUAUCAUUGCCCCCCAUCUUACUACAUUAUUUAAUUAAUUUAAUAGCAACCCACACAUUAAAGAAAAAUAUUAAAAUUUGUUGUUUAUCAUUAAAGAUCAAAUCGCUUAUAACAUCAAAUAAUAGUAUAUUAUUUAUAUUUUUCACUCAAUAUAAUAUCCAAAUUACUCUUUUCAAUUACAUACCCAUUGUUAGACAAUCAACAACAAAUAACCAAAAAAUUUGCAACCAAAAUAUUACAAAAAAAUAAACUUUAACAUAUAAAUAUUCUUAUCAACAUAUUAAAGUUAGUUACUGAAAUUUUUAUGCUGUUAAACUUCACUCUUUUUGGUUACAGAUUUUUUUGAUUAUUUGUUAUUAAUUAUGUUUGAUGAUGGAUUUAUAAUUGAAAAGAACAAUUUGAAACUUACAUUAAGUAAAAUAUAUAGAGUGAUAUACUAUUUUUUAUAACAUAUGUGAUUCAAUCCUUCUUGAUAGGAUUGGUAAUAGAGGUAGAGGGGGGAGCCGGCUGCAUCCGGUCUACUUUUCAUAGAUAGUACAAUAUUGCGAAAUCGAUCGCAUUCACGCAAUAUUAUUUCCAAGUCAUUGCAUGGCUAAGCUGCAAAAAAAGUACGAACACAUGUUAUUAUAUAGCUUACGAUUCAAAACUUUAGAGCAUAACCCUCCACCUAACACAAUUGAAUAAUGAACAUUCACGUUUGUCAAAUCUGUCAAAGCACAGUUUGAGGACAACCCAUUCCAACCUGCAAAAGAUUUUUUACUUUUCUAAAGUUGUUGAGAGCUGUAAAAAGACUUACCAUGCUUGCAUCCUCCGAGCCUUGGGAGUUAAAAAUGAAGGCACUGAGUGCUAUAAAAAGGGGAAUAGAGGCUGCCUAGAAGCAUAUCAGCCUAAAACAAGAAUUUGUAGUUAAGAUGGGAAGCAAAGCAAAAGCAAUGGGGUCUGGGCUGACUCCUCUUCUUGCCACUGUUUUAGUGGUGUUUGUUGCUCUUGGCUUGCCCUCACAAACUGCAGCUGAUGAUCACUACAAGUAUUCAUCUCCUCCUCCUCCUUACCACUAUCCCUCACCACCACCACCAGUGCAUAUACCUCCACCUCAUCCUGUUUACAAGUACAAAUCUCCACCACACCCCCAGUACAAGUAUAAGUCACCACCACCACCUCCUCAUCCGGUAUACAGUCUCCUCCGCCACCACACACCCAGUUUACAAGUACAAGUCACCACCACCACCUCCUCAUCCGGUACCACACCCAGUUUACAAGUAUAAGUCUCCUCCGCCACCAGUUUACAAAUACAAGUCUCCUCCACCACCACCUCCAGUGUACAAAUACAAGUCUCCACCACCACCAGUUUACCACUACAAGUCUCCACCACAGUUUACAAAUACAAGUCUCCACCACCACCCCCAGUUUACAAAUACAAGUCUCCACCACCACCAGUUUACCACUACAAGUCACCACCACCUCCUCCCCCAGUUUACAAAUACAAGUCUCCACCACCUCCUCACCACUACUAAGCAAUUGCUUCUGAGGUAAUAACACUUGUUCAAUAUACCCACUUCUGCAUGAUAAAGCAUAUCUCUAUCAACACAAACUGUCAUGUCUAUCAUGCUAAGUGCCUUCACUUCAUCCACCAAAAUGACUGCUAGAAAAUUUUUUUUAUGUUACCAAAGAAAGGCAUCAUUUUUUCCCUCUGUUAUCAAGAACUUGUACAGUAUAUAGAUUAAAGAGUAUUUUUUUAACUAGCUUAUCAACUGAGAAAUGCAUAUAGCUGAUAGCCAGCUGAAUAUUUGCAGGCAAAGGAGAAGGAAACCAGUGUUUGAGACCUUCUUGAAGAUGUAGAAGCAUAAGAAUUAAAGCCCAAUGUGAAGAUGAUGAUUUCAAGUUUUUCUACGUUACCAUUUCUUUAUCUAAAUUGGUUGUAGCGCCUUAGUUCCUUUGUUUAUGGGAUUUGUAUCGUUUUACGUACCAUGCAGUACAUGUCAUGUUUGUAAGGUUUUCUAUCCUGCCGGCAAACCGCAGGUUCCAUGUAAUAAAUCAAUACUAUUUAUAUUACGACACUUUUCUCUGUUUCUCUUAUAUUUUGUCGUCUUUAAUAUUCUUAAUCAUAUUUUUAACAAAAAUAUUCAAACACUUAGGCAAUCUGGUCUAAUGCUAAUUGUAUGUUUUACUUUUCUUUUUCACCUGCUCCCCUUUUCAACUCAAAAGGAUGCAAUAGUUUGUGAUCACUGUUUAAGACGGAAGCAUGAUACUAAUGAAUAUCUCAUUGAAACUCAAGGAAACUAACAUUGCGAAAAGUGUAAAUCUUGAUUUGAUGCAACUAUUUAUUCGUGGAAUCUAUAGUUACAAAACUCAAAUUCUGACUGCGCCAUUGAUAAAUUAUUAAUGACGCUAUCAUCAUUAUUUAUCCCUAACUAGUUUCGACUACAACUGAACCCAAUAUUUUCCCCAUGAUAAAAGUUUUUGACUAUUUUACUGGCCUCUCUUCAAAUUUUAAAAAUUACACUAAUCUUCAUUGAGAUUAAUUAUCUUGUAACAUUUAAGUCCAAUUAAUAAUUAAAAAAUGAUAUUAUGAGAGAGAAAAUAAUAUAAUUUUAUCAUUGCCCCCCAUCUUGCUAUAUUAUUUAAUUAAUUUAAUAGCAACCCACACAUUAAAGAAAAAUACUAAAAUUUGCUGCUUUUCAUUAAAGAUCAAAUUGCAUAUGCCAUAAAACAUAGUAUAUCAUUCUAUAUGUUUCACUUAAUGUAAGAUCCCAAUUGUUCUUUUCAAUUACAAACCCAUUGUCAAUAACAAAUAACCAAAAAAUUUGCAACCAAAAUAUUACAAAAAAAAACUUCAACAUCAUAAAUAUUCUUACCACCUCUAGUGCAUUCACCCUCAUAAAAUAAUUCAAGACCCUACUGUCAUAAAAUGACUGAUCAACUCCCGUAAACCUAAUUUGACAACAUUUAAAUGGAGAACUUUAGCUAAAAGAAUUAUGGUCAAGCUAAAGAAAAAACCAGUUAUUUUCCAACAUAUGCAAUCAUUGAUCAGGGAAAAAAAAAAGAGCAAAAAGACAUCUUCAAUCAUUUAAUAGCUUACAGGGCAAAUUAACCCCUAAGCGAAAACUGGUUGCUCUAGAAUCAAAAUUUUACUUUAGUUACCCAGGCAACUUUUUUGUUGCUUUUUUUUUUUUUUUCCUUUAGUUUUGCCCCCUCUGUCAAGCUUAUAAAAUUAUUAAGAUAAUAAAAGUGCCUUGAAUAGUAUUAAUAUAUCCAUUGACUUGAGCUGUCGUCAGUUUGCGAUUCCAUGAGGCCUUUUCAAAGUACUCAGAAAAUGGGGAGUCAUGAAAUCCAUUUGUUCUAUUCAUUGCUAAGAUGCUUUUCUCUAUAAAGAGACUUCCUAACGAAAAUACUUUGUAGAUUUCUUUACUCCAAGUGGUGCAUGGAAAAUUAAUAUUUUCAAUUAUCAAAUAAAAUUCCCUUUUUUCGGCGUAGAUUUCAUCCAUCCAGCUGUUAACACAUUCUAUAAAUCCGAAUUGACUAAUCUUUUCGUUUCCAUUUUCCAACUUGCGAAUACGGCAUAUAGUGUCUGCUAAACACUAUAUAUUCUCUGCCAAAUAUGAAUACAUAUCACUUUUCUGAGCAAGUGCAGAGUCAUUAUCAUUUUUAUUCCCACCUAACAAAUUAGGGAUAAAAAAGUUAAUAAUCUUUACAUGCUAUCAGGUCACAAGUUAAUAAUCUUUUAAAGAACAUGUUAAAUUAAUUUAUUGGUAUGAAUAGUAGUCAAAGAAGUAUGUUAAAGUUAGUAAUCUUUAAAAUAAUAUGUUAAAAUCAUUCGUACAAAUUAGUCAGAGAAGUAGCAUAAACACCGCGAUGCAAUUAAUACUUUCAAUCUCAAGGUCUCUAUUAUGGAAAUUUGCAUCGGUCAAUAUACACUUGGCAUAAUAUAAUCUCCCAACUCAUUUCUUUACAAAUGCACCUUUAAUCACCACCAAAAGGUGUGGACAUGAUCUUUACCCUAGAAAACUAUUCACCGACAGGCAAAUUGACGUCAGAAAUACUGAGGAAUUCUAGUUUCCUUCGGGUUCAUGCCAUGUUGUAUCCUUCAACUGUAACUCGAUUUCUAAGCUGUAAUUUGUGACAUAAUAGUCCUUAAACUAUGAAACCCUUCUUACUUAAUUACAAUGGUUAAUACAAUGCCCGUGACUAGACAAGUAUGAAGCAACCAUAACAGAAAAAAAAUCCAAAAUUAGAGAAAAGAAAGAAGUUUCGCGACCACCACCAGUUUACAAGUCACCUCCACCACCUCCUCCAGUUUACAAGUCACCUCCACCACCUUACCAUUAUUCCUCACCACCACCUCCAGUGCAUUCACCCCCACCACCACCAGUUUACAAGUCUCCGCCACCACCUUACCAUUAUUCCUCACCACCACCUCCUGUGCAUGCACCUCCACCACCAAUUUACAAGUCACCUCCUCCAGUUUACAAGUCUCCACCACCACCUUACGAUUAUUCCUCACCACCACCUCCAGUGCAUUCACCCCCACCACCACCAAUUUAUAAGUCUCCCCCACCGCCUCCCCCAGUAUAUAAGUCACCACCACCACCUCCUCCAGUAUACAAAUCACCUCCACCACCUCCUCCAGUUGACAAAUCUCCACCACCACCAAUUUAUAAAUACAAGUCUCCUCCACUACCUCCUCCAGUGUACAAGUCAUCACCACCACCUGCUUACAAGUCUCCACCUCCUCCAGUUUACAGUUCCCCACCACCACCAAUCUACAAGUCUCCACCUCCACCCUACCAUUACUACUACAAUUCUCCUCCUCCUCCUCGUCACUACUAAGCAAUUGUAUCCAAGUUUUUGAGGUAAUAACGCUUAACCAAUAAAUUAACUUUCGCAUGAUAAACCUUAUCUCUAUCAAGACAAACUGCCAUGUGUAUCAUGCCAAAUACGUACACCUAGAUCCAUGAAAAUGAAUGGUGAGGAGGGCCAUUUAGGCUCGGAGCGCCCUAGGCCUAGUUCCCCACCAUUUCCUGAAGUGCCGCCUCGGGUAUUAUCCUGGAAGGCGAUCGCGGCCCAUUUACCACCUCGGCUACAAUGUCAGGUCGUAACACCGAGGUGGACAUUGAAUGACAACUACGAAAAGGGGAGAUGUGAUCUCUGACACCUGAGCAAAGGCUGCUCUGACCCGCCGCCUGAAUCUGACAGAAUGUCCCAUCACGUCUCUUCAUGGAGACCGGUCAAGUCCACCUGAUCCACUGACUAUCUCAGAUCUUUUGGGACCCGUGCAAACAUCUCCUCUCUCCUAUCAGUCCCCUAUAAAUACACGAUACUUCUACUGAAAAAGGAGAUGACCAAUUUCUGGUAAAACACACUCCACUCAUUAUUUACUUCUCUAUAUCCGAACUGACUUAAGCUUCGGAGUUAUACCGGGGGAUCCAGCCCCUUUCUUAUCCAAGCAGGUGACUUCGUCCAAGAGAGUUGCCCAAGGUAAAGAUAUUCUUCCAAUUGAGGUGACUCACUCCUGCGGGUCGAAAAUCACCUCUUCAAUUGGCGCCGUCUGUGGGAACCGCAAAGAUAUUAGAAGAUGAAGCCUGCGCGUUCUAGAAGCAGAAAAGCUCUCACUAUCGAGGCUGGGCAAAGCAAUGCAGCUCAACAAGAAAAUAUUUCUGAAGGGCAGGAGUCCCCAAGGACUCAGCCCGCAAACGAAAAAGCCAUAACCCGUAUGGCCGAGUUUGUGACCGAGAACCCCAACAUCUUUGAAGAGUUGGGAAGAUACCUGAAGAGGCAAGGCAAACAAAAGGCCGAGUCCUCUAAAAGGAUGUCAGAUGGGUCUCUUGAGGACUCAUCUGAGGAGGAGUCGGAUGGAAGGCACUUAAGCCGAAGUGCCUCAAAGCGAGCAUUUUCUAAGGCCACUUCUAAGGUAGCCUCCCUGACCAAGGCGUUUUCCCGAGGGCUCUUGGGCCGACGACCCGAGGAAGAACCUCGGCCCUUGGGAAUACCCGGGGUGGACUGCAUGAGGGCUCCACCGUUCACGGAUGAUAUAAACGAGGAAAGGCUUCCUCCCAAUUUUAAGCUCCCCGCAGUACAAUCUUACGAUGGCCGAGGUGAUCCCGAGAAUCACAUCCAUACCUUCAUCUCGGCCUUCCAAAUAUACUGCAUCCCAGACCCUGUCAUAUGUCGGGCCUUUCCAGUAUUCCUCAGAGGAACUGCUCGAAAAUGGUUCUGAGCUCUAGAACCUAGGAGCAUUUCGACCCUGGGUGAAUUAGUGGAGAAGUUUCUCCACCGAUUUGUCUCCUCCCGACCUACGACUAGGACCUCGGCUUACCUGCUCACCGUGCAGCAGAACCCGGGAGAGUCACUCCGGUCGUACGUCCGGAGGUUCCAUGAGGAAAGCGUUCAGAUACCUGACCCCAAUGAGCAGGUAACCCUCGCUGCCUUUACCCAUGGACUCGUUGCCGGGGAGUUCAAUACGGGGAUCCAUAAAAAAUACCCCCGCACACUGCAUGAAUUGUGGUUGAAGGUUGAAAAGGGCAUACAGGCCGAAGACCUCCAUCGCAUGAAGAAAGAGGUCCAAGCCACCCGUCCAAGGGCUGAGCCCAGAAAGGGAAAAGACGCUGGCCGAACUGAAGUAGGGUCGGGAAGUGGCUUCCGAAGUCCUGGCCGAGACCGCCGCAGCGUGUUCGACAGGAUAUCCAAGGGGAAGUCACCUAUUCCCGAGUCCGAGUUGACUCCUUUAAAUACUACCCGAUCUCACGUGUUGUCCGUGAUGGAACAAAACAACCUCGGCAAGGGCCCGCCGAGGAUGUUUGGAAGCAGAGACAAGAGGAACUCGAACCUCUACUGCUUGUAUCAUCGUGACAUUGGUCACGAAACUGAGGAUUGCAACGAUCUCAAGAAGGAGAUCGAGAACCUCAUUAGACGGGGACACUUGAAACAGUUCAUCCGCAGAGGUGGAGGUCACCAACGUGACGAAAACCGGCAUGACAAAUGAGGUGACCAACGCCGAGAUGAGCGGCGGAGCUCCAGAAGCAGUUGCCGACCUCCUGAGGAUCCCAGGGAGACGAAAAGGCCUCCCCCAGACGGAUCUUCGGGACAUGGGCCAACCAUUGCCCGGGUCAUUAACACCAUUGCCGGAGGUCCGACGGGAGGGGACAGUCAGAACUCCCGGAAGAGAACCUAUAAGCAGGCUAACCCGGAUCAGGCCGAGUCGAGUUCUCGCCUGUCCGAGGUGAUCACCUACGGGCUCAGUGAUCCCAUCCCAGCUGCAUCCAGCAGUCAUGAAACCUUGGUGAUUGAAGUCCUCACCAAUAACUACAUUGUGAAAAGGUCUACAUAGACCCGGGAAGUUCAGUUGACGUCAUGUACCUCCGUACCUUUGAGAGCCUUAAAAUGGCUAAGGGGUGCAUGACCCCGCUGAGAACCCCUCUUGUAGGGUUCGGGGGACACGUGGUGCACCCCGAAGGGAUGGUGACUCUGACAGUGACCAUAGGGCAUCACUCUCGCUGUAGAACCGUCCCUGUCAAUUUUGUGGUGGUUAAGGCUGACUCCCCAUACAACCUACUUUUAGGUCGGCCUACGCUCAAUGCCUUGCGGGCGGUCUACUCCACCUACCACCUGAGCUUCAAGUUUCCUACCCCAGCAGGGGUGGCCGAGGUCAGCAGCGACGUCUGUGCUGUCCGGGAGUGCUACCUCGCCACCCUACAAGCAGCCUCCCCGUCUACCUCCGGUGCGAGGUCCGAGAAGAGGUCAAAUAUCCUCUCAAUAGAUAGCAUCGAUCCUCAGUGAGCUGAGAAGGUCCCGAGGCUGGAGACUGGGGAUGAGGUGGAAGAGAUUCCCCUGGACCCCACGAAACCUGAUCAGACAGUUCGCGUUGGUACCCGAUUGCCCGGUCCUAUCCGAAGAGGUAUGAUGGACCUCCUCAGGGAAUACCGGGACGUCUUUGCUUGGGCCGCCGAAGAGGUCCAAGGAGUCCCGCACCAUCUCAUGAUGCAUGACUGAACGUCGACCCCCAAGUCCGUCCGGUCAAACAGAAGAGAAGGCACAUCGGCCCUGAGCGCAGCCAAGCUGUUGGUGAGGAAGUGGACAAGCUUUUACCCGCUAAAAUAAUCCGAAAAGUCCAAUACCCGAUCUGGUUGUCUAACUCGGUCAUGGUCAAGAAGGAUACGGGGGCUUGGAGAAUGUGCGUCGAUUUUACCGACCUCAACAAAGCCUGCUCCAAGGAUUGCUACCCCUUGCCCAAAGUCGAUACUUUGGUAGACUCAGCAAUGGGCUACGAGAUCCUCUGUUUCUGGGAUGCAUUCAAAGGCUAUCACCAAAUUGGGAUGAGUCAAGAAAACCAGGAGAAAACGGCCUUCUACACCGACCGCGGCACGUACUGUUAUACUACCAUGCCAUUCGGGUUGAAGAAUGCCGGAGCCACUUAUCAACGCUUGGUCAACCAAGCAUUCAAGUCUCAAAUCGGCCGGAAUGUUGAGGCCUAUGUAGAUGACAUCCUCCUCAAAAGCCAGACGAACUCCACCUUCCUGGCCGACUUGAAGGAGGUCCUUGACAUCCUGCGGAAGGUGAAAAUGAUGCUGAACCCCAAGAAAUGUGUUUUUGGGGUCACCUCGGGGAAAUUUCUAGGUUACCUCGUCUCAAGGCGAGGUAUCGAAGCAAAUCCGGAUAAGGUGCGAGCCAUCCAGGAGAUGUCUCCACCCCGGUGCGUCCGCGAUGUCCAAAGGCUGACAGGGCGAUUAGCCGCCCUGAAUCGGUUCUUAUCGCAGUCGGCAGCUAAAGCACUGCCCUUUUUCAAAGUGUUGAAGAAAGCUGACCAUUUCUCCUGGACGGAAGAGUGUCAACAGGCGUUUGAGCAGUUGAAGGAUUACCUUCACUACCUUCCAACGCUCACCUCACCUCGUCCGGGGGACAAAUUAAUCUUAUACCUUUCUGCUGCGGCCGAAGCGGUGAGUGCCGUGCUGAUAAGGAAGGAAGGGGUCCAAAUGCCCGUCUACUACGUUAGCCGAGUCCUCCGAGGUCCAGAGACCAGGUACACACAAGCAGAGAAACUUGUGCUAGCCCUGAUCCACGCCGCCCGCAGACUCAAGCCCUACUUCCUAGCUCACCACGUCUGCUUGAGGACUGAUCAACCACUUCGGCAGAUUUUGACACGACCAGAGGUUUCGGGACGUCUUACCAAAUGGGCCAUUGAGCUGGGGGAGUACGACCUAACUUAUGAGCCUCGCACAGCGAUCAAGGCCCAGGCUCUCGCAGACUUCGUAGCCGAGCUCACCUUUGACGAGGUGCAAGGAUCCGUCCCGGCUGCCACAUCGGCCACAGUUGAUGUGGCCACCACUGGGCUCCAGCGGUGGAUCCUACACGUGGACGGUUCGUCAACAGUGAGGGUAGUGGAGCAGGCUUGCUCCUCGAAGACCCCCAAGGAGAAAUAUGCUAAUAUGCCUUAAGAUUUGACUUCGCUGCUUCAAACAAUGAAGCUGAAUACGAAGCCGUCAUUGCUGGACUGCAGCUAGCUCGCAAGCUCGGGGCCGCACACAUCUUGGUUUAUAGUGAUUCCCAACUCGUCGUGUGCCAGAUAUUAGGUGAGUACGAAGCCAGGGACGAGGUGAUGCAUCGUUACCUCUCCAAGGUCCUCCAGUUGGCGACUCACUUCGAGUCUUUUGAAAUUCAAAGAAUACCGCUAUCGAAAAACAGAAGGGCUGACGCCCUCUCCCGGCUUGCCUCAACCUCUUUCUCUGACCUGAACAAGACGGUUCUCGUUGAAGUUCUAGCCGAACCAGGAUAUGUAGCCGAGGUAGUAUACCCCGUCUACCCUGGGGACACCUGGAUGGGUCCCCUGACUCGAUUUUUCAGCCAGGGUGAGCUCCCCGAAGACCGAGCUGAGUCACGGAAGCUCCAACGAAAAGCAGCACGGUACAUUCUCCGACAAGGCCUUUUAUACAAAAGGUCUUACCUCGGCCCUUAGUUGCGAUGUAUCACGCCCGAGGAAGGCCAGAGAAUCCUCCAAGACAUACAUGAGGGGCUCUGUGGUGCUCACGUCGGCUACAGAAUGCUGGUAAAAAAGGCUUUGUUACUUGGGUAUUUUUGGCCCACUAUGAGGAUAGAUGCCCAGGUCAUGGUCCUUUGCUGCCCCUCCUGCCAGCAUCACGCUCCUGAGCACCACCAGCCGACCAAUUUAAUGAUCCCUAUCACCUCGUCAUGGCCAUUUGAGCAAUGGGGAACGGACAUAAUUGGCCCCUUUCCCAGAGCUCCAGGCAAUUAUACCUACGUGGUGGUAGCAGUGGACUACUUCACCAAAUGGGUCGAAGCUGAACCCCUAAAAAAUAUCACUGGUGCGGCAGUCCAGAAAUUCUUCUGGAAGAAUGUGGUUUGCCGCUUCGGCCUACCCCGGGUGAUCAUCUCGGAUAAUGGCCGACAGUUCGCCGAUAAUCCUUUCAAGGCCUGGUGUGAGAACCUCGGGGUCAAACAGCAUUUCACUUCGGUGGGACACCCCCAAGCCAACGGACAAGCCGAAAACUUCAAUCGCACGCUCCUCCAUGGCCUCAAGACCAGGCUCCACCAGGCUGGAUCGUUUUGGAUGGAAGAGCUCCCCAGUGUGCUGUGGUCCUACCGAACUACGCCGAGAUCAGCAACCCAGGAAACCCCGUUUUCCUUAACCUACGGGUCAGAAGCUGUUGUUCCAGCCGAAUUCAUCACCCCGAGUCCACGAAUGGCCGCAUAUGCUGCCGAAGUCAAUGAAGAAGAACGGCGAGUUGACCUCGACCUCGUCGAAGAGAAGCGUGAUAUGGCCGCGGCCAAAGUUGCUGUUUACAAAAAUAUCGUAGCUGGCUACUACAACGCUCGGGUUAAACAUUUGCGGUUCAGUCCGGGAGACCUGGUGCUCAGGAAGAACUCAGUCAGCCGGGCUGAACCUCAGGGUAAACUAACCCCCAAGUGGGAGGGACCAUACCGUGUUGUUGAGUCCAGCCAAAAUGGAUAUUGUAAAUUGGCAUACCGAGAUGGGUCUCUGAGUGCCCCGAACUUGGCAUGCUGAAAAUCUUAAGUUGUACUACCCUUGAGGGUAUGUGCUUUUAAUCUUGAGUUAUUUCACACUUAUUUUCAUUUCAUUAUAAGUGAAAAAUAAGGGGACAAAGUAGCAGUAAAGAGGAAAACCGAAUUUAAUUAAAAAGAAAGCAAGAAUAUGAACUCAAUUCCAUUGAAUUACAUAAAAGUAGAAAGCCGAGGUCACCUUUAAUUAGGAAGAAAGCAAGAAUAUAAACUCAAUUCCAUUGAAUUACAUAAAAGUAGAAAGCCGAGGUCACCUUUGACCUCGGCCUACAAUGACAAAAAAAAAAACAAGUGCCUCUAGGCACUCCCUACCCUGACAUCCUGGCCCCCCGUGGUCGCGCCACCCGUUUCGGCACCCUGUCCACCCUCAGCUCCUCCACCGGCCUGGUCGUCUUCAGUACCAUCUAGUUCAAACUCCUGGAGCCAUUUGUUGAAUUCGGCUCGGACUUCGGUUAGGUCUUUCUCAGUCCGGAUGCCCUCAGCCAUGCUGUCGCAUAGCUCCUUGGCAUCCUCGUUAUAGUGCGAAGUGCUCUGAAGGGACUCCAGUUGUUCAGAGGGAAGAAAGGAUGCCGCGUCAUUAAUAGCCGACGUGUACCCGAACAUGAAGCUUGGCCGGGUGAGCUCGCCGAGGUCACGGAUGAAGGACUCUGACGUCCGGAAGGCUUCCACAGCAGUGACCCCGGCCUUGUCCAUGGCCUCCCUGUUUGACUGUUCUUCUUGGGCCCUCCUUUUUUUCUCCUCAUCAAGAGCAGUCACCAGGGAAUUGUUCGCGACCUCGGCCCUUUUGUUAGCCGCCUUGGCCUUGUCACGCUCCAACUCGGUUGCCUUCAGUUUUUCUUCCAACUCGGCAAUUCUCUUCUGGAGCUCGGCAGGAGGCUCAUAGUUUUCCAUGAACUUUCCAUACCGUUGAAUCAUCUCGACAAAAAAAGCCGUGGUAGAGGCCCAUGACACCGAGGCGCUCUGCAUCAACUCCCCUGCGGAGAGCUUCCUAGCAUAAGUGCUAUCUCGUGGCAGCACUGAAUGCACCAAGAGCUCCUGAGCGACCAAAGGGUUCUUGCAGCGAUCGUUGAAAUUAAUCUCCCACUCUGGACACCAGUGUGAUCCGGGGUGUCUCUUGUCCUCCUCAGCUGCCUUGAAAGGCACAUGAUGGAGUUUGAACAAAGAUGACCCCGUGACGGGGUUCUCCGGAAAUAUGGUCACACCCUGACCCCGGGGGGGAGUGGCAAUCGUGACCCAGCGAGAAGGGAUUCCCACCGGAAUUGCCGAGGCUCGGGAACCUCCCGGAGUGGCCGAGGUGUGCGAGCCCUCGCCCACGAUCACCACGGCAGGCUCGCGGUCGCCCGACGCCGCGGUGGUUUUCUUAGCCGGCCUGGAAGAGGACCCUGCAGUGUCCUUGCGCUUUUUGGGAGCUCUUUUGACCACCUCGACAUCUCCCGAGGUUAUCAGGUCGAAAAUCUUCGUCACUGCAAAGUAGGAGACGAAGUCAGUUAGAAUUCAAGAGGGAUAAACUAAAAGGGAAGAAAUGGAAAAAUACAAAGUCUGUGAAGCCUAGUCGAGAGUAAGACAGGCUGGUCAGAGCUCGUCAAGGCUCAACUGAUCCCGCCUUCCACGAGCACCACUUCGGGAAAAUCCCAGCAGUUUAUCCUGAGGCCCGACCCCGUUAACUUCUGGAAGUUACGCUCUUCUAACUUCCCUGGAGAUAUCUCCUUGAUCGAGGUGGGAGGCCUCCACCAGAAUCCGCGAGGGAAGUCAUCGGCCGAGACGAAGAAGAAGUUUUGCUUCCACUCCUUUAUUGAGUUCGGAGCAUCAACCACCAACUUCGGAACUUUGUUUCCGAAGUAGAACCAUCCUUUUUCACUUCUGCUGUUCUUGAGUGAGUAACAGCGGCGAAAGAGGUUGACCUAAGGUUGUAUCUCCUGAUGUCGGCAAAGUAGCUGGAAGCCAACGAGAAUGCGAAUAGCGUUAGGGGUGAGUUGAGUGAUUCUCACCCCCCAGUACCUCAGGCAGUCCCGAAGAAACCUCGUCGUGGGCACUCUGAGUCCGGCCUCCAGCUGUUCCUGAUAGAUAGUCACCUUGCCCUUUGGUGGCAGUGCGGCUGACUGAUGCGGUUGGGGUAUGUAAAUACUAUAAUCCCUUCUCCAGGGAUACCUGCGGACCACCUCGGCUAUUGAGGCUUGUCCCAUACCACUACUGAAGAACGGCAUCUGGCCGUAGUCGAGAGUUGCCACGUUUGGAGGAGUGGAAGGUUCUUGUACUCCCUCGUCUCUAGGGAUCUCAAUCCCGAGGUCAUCGUUGUAUAGGACCUCGGGCUGGACCUCGAUCUCCUCGGGCUGCACCUCAACCGCCUCAGCUCGGCGUGAUGCCUCGGCACCUCCACCCUCAGCUUGGUGAGAUGCCUCAGCACCUCCGCCCUCGGACGCGGUCCUUUCCUGGGAGGGGUCAGGCCUCUCUGCCUCAGUGAGGUCAGGUCUCACUGUCUCUUUGUGCGUACGAGCUGUUCUAGCCAUUGUAUCAGAAGGGGAAGAAGUGAACUUACUUAGAAUCUGCGACUGGAAGAAGAUGCCGAAGUAGACGUGGUUUAGAAAGGUUGCCGAAGUGAAAAGAGAAAGAAACAGAGUUCUGGGGUGAUUCUUGAUUUUUGGUGAAGAGUAAAACGGUGAAAAAAGACCACUAUUUAUAGGCCACCAGGGUGAAACCCAAGAGACGGCACCCUCUCUCUUCAUUAAUGGGAGGACUGUUCGUCUGCCAACACAGCUGACAGCCGUCCCUUCAGUUAUCACUCAGUCCCAUCUAUGCGGUCAUGACGUGUCCGUGUUCCGUGUUUUAUACGCUUCUCAGCUUCGGGAAGUAACGACCACGGCGGAUGCCCAUCUCGCCCUUCUCAAAGCUUGGGGGGCUUAGUGAGGAGGGCCAUUUAGGCUCGGAGCGCCCGAGGCCUAGUUCCCCAUCAUUUCCUGAAGUGCCGCCUCGGGUAUUAUCCUGGAAGGCGAUCGCGGCCCAUUUACCACCUCGGCUACAAUGUCAAGUCGUAACACCGAGGUGGACAUUGAAUGACAACUACGAAAAGGGGAGAUGUGAUCUCUGACACCUGAGCAAAGGCUGCUCUGACCCGCCGCCUGAAUCUGACAGAAUGUCCCAUCACGUCUCUUCAUGGAGACCGGUCAAGUCCACCUGAUCCACUGACUAUCUCAGAUCUUUUGGGACCCGUGCAAACAUCUCCUCUCUCCUAUCGGUCCCCUAUAAAUACACAAUAUUUCUACUGAAAAAGGGGAUGACCAAUUUCUGGUAAAACACACUCCACUCAUUACUUACUUCUCUAUAUCCGAACUGACUUAAGUUUCGGAGUUAUACCGGGGGAUCCAGCCCCUUUUCUUAUUCAAGCAGGUGACUUCGUCCAAGAGAGUUGCCCAAGGUAAAGAUAUUCUUCGAAUUGAGGUGACUCACUCCUGCGGGUCGAAAAUCACCUCUUCAAAUGGUAGAAAGUUUUCUUAAGAACCAAGAACAGCAUUAGUAUUCCCUCUGCUUCCAAAAACUUGUGUAUUAAAUAGAUUAAUGAAUUGUUUAACAUGCUCAUCUACUUGAAAAUGCACAAUACCCAUAACCCACUGAAAUUUUUGCAGGAAAAGGGAAAGAGAAUCUGUGUUUGAGAGCUUCAUGAAGAUGUUGAAGAAUAAGAAUAAAAGCCCAAUGCGAGGAUGUUUUCAAGUUUUUCUAUGUCCACUUUAAUUUGUAAAUUGAAUUUUACAACUCAAUUAAUUCCUUGUUUGUGAGGUACGUAUUGUUUUACGUACCAUGCCGUACAUGUUUGUAAGGAUUUCUAUCCUAUUGGCAAAAGUCGGUUCCAUACAAUUAAUCAAUUCAUUUCACUUCUAUUGGCUCUACUAUUUAUGCAUGUUACGACACUCUUUCCCUUAUAUUUUGCCUUUAAUAUUAUGAGUCAAUAGUAAUAAUGGGCCUUUUUCUUAAAAUUAUACUAUUAUACAUAGGUAGUUUGGUCUAACGCUAAAUUCAUGUUUGUCUUUCUUUUAUUCCCUUUACAUCUCAAAGUAUACUAUAGUUUGUAAUCAUUGUGGUGAUGAUAUUACCAGCUGGUACUUAUAGUUUAAGGCAGAGACAUGAUAUUAACAACUAUCUCAUUGAAACAUAAGUCAAAAUCAUGACAAGUGUGAGUCUUGGUUAAUGCACAAUUUGUUAGUGGAAUUUAUAUUUAUAAAACUCAAAAAAAAUUUUUGACAAUGCUAUUACUAAUUAAUUAAGGACUUCAUUGCUAUAAUUUAUCGCUUACUAGUUUAAACUAUAAAUGAUCUCAAUACUUUUCUCCAUGAUGUCGAUUUCUUUAGACUACGAAAGGGAAAAAUUAGUGACAUAUCCCUUACUGAUUACAACAUCAGCAAAAAUUAGUUAUAAACUUUUCCGGUGGUUUUAAAUCCCUCGGGCACUAAGGUUUUUUGCACAUCGAGUGAAUUAAGGAACAUAGGCAAUUCGUUCUGCAUACCAAGUCCUUGUUUAAGAUGCACGUACUAAAAUGCAUCCACUUCAUUAAUUUGGAAAAUUGCCAUAGUUUUUUUUAAGCAUUUUGAUUUUUUACAUGAUUCAAAAUUUUCUUAUUGGAUACAAUCACUUUGUGUCAAGAACACAUUUUCAAUCAUCUUUUUUAUCUUCUCAAUAAGAAAAUAAAAAUUUAUUCAUGCUUUUCUAACAUAUCCAAUCAUUGAUCUGAAAAAUAAAGAAUUAAAAAAAAAAGACAUUUUCAAUCAUUGCUUACAGGGCAACUUCCCCAUGUGAACCUCUUCAAACAAAGCCAAUAAUAUGAAGGAACAUCUAAAUACACUUUUGCCCUAAAGGCUGGUUGCCUUGGGGUCAAAAUUUAACCUUCGGGAGUAUAAUUACCCGCCAAAUUUAUUAUUUUUUAUGGGUAUAUAGUUCCAAUUUUGCCUCCUGUUAAGCUUAUAAAUAUAUUACGACCCAGAAAAUAAAGGAAUCUUGAAUAGUAACAUGUCCAUUGACUUGAGUUGUCAUCAAUUUGGCUACUUCGAUUCCAUGAGGCCAAUCCAAUUCACACUAGCUAGAGAAAAUGGUGAUAAAGGCACUUAGAAAUUUAUAUGUAAUAUUGAUUGGUAGUAACUGAUAAGUAUAUAUUUUACGUGUUUUAAAUAUGUUUUAUUAGUUAGUUUUGGUGUGUUUUAACUACUUUUAUAACUAAUUAACUAGGAAUCUAGUGAAAAUAUGCAUUUUGUGGUUUGAAGUGUGAAAAUUGUAUUUCUAUGGAUUUUAAUGGUGAAAACUUCAUGUUUUUGUAGGUUUAAUGAUUCAAUCAUCAAAUGACAUGAUUUGAGAAGAUAAUUAGAUGAUUGAUGAUGUUUUGAAGUGAUAAAAAGAGAAUACAAAGUGCAAGAGAGGAAAUGCAAUCAAGAAUAAAAGAAGAAAAUUUUUGUAGCUUUGACAUAUUGUGGUAUUUUGGCAAUAUAUUGAGCUACAAUGAUUGGAUUAAGGUGAUUCUUAAACCAUUUGAAGCUAAGAUAUAGAUCUACAUUUGGUAUGAAGGCAUCGAAACCCAUGUCAGUCAUUUUCCUUGUCAAAAUGUUGAAAUACAGAAGUGCAACUCUGUUCUCGAAAGCUAAAACAGAGCUCUGGCUAGUCGAGGGUAUUUUCAUCAUUUCUUAGUCCACAGAGCUCCAAAUGAGAUGAUUCUUAAGGCAUUAGAACCCUAACUCAAAGAGCUACAACUUUCAUAUUUUGUACAAGAGUUAGUUCGGCCUCCAUCAUUCAGAAAAUAGUAGUUGAAGUGGUGCCAAAUGCAUAGAAGUGAAAACGCGAGCUAUCAAUACUCGACCUGAAGUCGCGUAUUCCUGAGGUCAUGCAUUCUCUUCUAUUUUCUGCAACUUGCCCUGCUUUCACAUAAUUUUUUCAUCUCAAUUCCAACUAUCAAUUUCGGCUAUAUCUGAUCAAGAAAAGUGUGGAAAGUUUGAAAGACAACUCAUAGGAGUUUCAAGAGUCAAAAAUUACAAUUAGAAACAACUCAUUUGGCUCUUGAAUCCUCUAUAAAUAGAGGCCUUUGAAGAACAUUUUCACAACUUUGGAAGGUUAGAGAAACUCCACAAAAACAUAGUCUUCACUAGAAUUUCCUUAGUUCAUUAGUUAGGGUAGUAUAGUAUAGUUAGUGUAGCUUUUCCUUCUUGUAUUUAUAGUUAGGUUUGAAUGAAGAUUCAGGAGCAAAGAUAGAGAGGUUGAUCUCAUGUGACAAGGGUGAUAUCUCUUCUACUACUUUCUCUUUUGUAUUUGAUUUCAUAUUUAACUAUACUACAAAUUUGGCUUUGUUUUUUUUUUUUAUCAUGUUUAGUUAAAGUUUAUGCCUAGAGUAUGGAUGACCUUUCUAUAUCUUGUUUGUGAUAUUUAACUGGUUAUUUGAUGAUGUUAUUUUUGAGCAAGUUAUUUAUCACUUUUGCUUUUCUAAUCGUGAUUAACUGGCCAUUAGUUGUGAUUAUCUAAAAGUGUUAAGUUUGUAAUGAGAAUUGGAGUUUAACACUAGUUCAAGGAAGUGAUAAAUUUAGGGAGUUCACUCAUGAGAGUAGAGGAACACCUUUGUGACCUAAGUGACUUGUUUCAUAUAAUUUCAUAGAAAAAAUGAACUUGUAAUUAAUUUCAUAACCACGAGAGUAAGUAUGGUUUAGCUAUAUGUAUAGUUGAUUCACUACGAGAGUAGGUUUCACAUACAUUAGAAAAUUACAUCAUAACUAGUCAAGAUAAUAUCAUUCAUUUAAUCAGUAAUCUCAUUUGCAUGAGUAGUAAGGCAUUCCAUAUCUCUAGGAGGUUUUUAGUAUUAUUUUCAUUACUUUUAUGUUUAUGGUAGUCUAGAUAAUAAUGGAGUUCAAAAACUACUAGUAAUUGAAAAUUUUCCCUGUGGGAUCGACCUUUAAUACCCUAUACUCGCUCUCGACUCGUAUACUUGCGAAAAAUCACGUGUGCGGUAUUUAGAAUUUAUAAAUGUAAAACUUGACUGUAGAUGAACUAAUUGAUAUAUGUAUACCCCGCACUCGUCAGUAACCAGCUUGUAUUGAUCCCAUUAUUGUGGAUAAUUGUGCUCUUAUGAAAAAAAAUUAUAAAAAAAUUAGCAAAAUUUAUGAUAACAAAUUAAAUUUAUUCAUACAAAUCAGUGAAAGAAGUAGAAUUUUAAAGACCAUGAUGAAAUUAAUACUUUCAAGGGCUCUAUUAGGAAGACUUCACUUGUUGGUGAAACUACACUAGCACAGUUAUAUGCACAUUUACUGUUUUGGUAUCUAAUUUCCUUGCCUUAAGUUGGGUGCAGAUGUUUAUAUUACAAAUAGAUGGUAUCAUAAAAUUGUUGUAUUCACGUUUGUUCUUUUUUUUUCUUCCUUAAGUUUUUUUCUUUAUUCUCGUGACUUCAAAAAUACGAACUCAAGAAAUUGGCUGCUUAAUCAAUAUGUCAUACAGGCUUCGCUAGUGAGGUAUAACUUCACAACUAGAGUCAAUAGAAAUUAUCAAAUGAUUUUUUAACAUCCAAAUUAAGCAAUAAAUUUUGUUUUCAUUUUAUGACAUAUAAUAGUACUACUUCAUGAGAGAUUUUAUAGUUUCUUUUAGGUAUCAUACCUACAAGUGAUAUUUGUCAUUGGAUAGUGACAGAAGUGUUAAUGAUUGUAAGAUUAAAUAUUGUUAAAUAUUGAAAUUUAAACUAUUUAUCUUUAUUGAAAGAUACAAGUUAAAGAAUCGUUCAAGGGGGCAAUUUUCCAUCUUGUCUUUUUGAAAAAACGCUAUCACAUUGUAUAGGCAUGAUAGGUUCAAAUUUGUCAUUAAAUUUAUGAUUGAUUUCCCUUUUAUUCAAGCCAAAUAUUGUUUUAAUUAUCAAAUUCUACUUAUAUUUGGUUAAUUGUACUAAUUGUAGGGCGGUAGAGCAAAAGUUGCUAAAAAUAGGUGAUUUUCUGCAAAUUGGUUGUCAAGGCUGAAGGAUUUGGGAUUCGCAUGUUCAAGGCCUGUUUCCAAGUUUGAUUCAAACUCUGGACAGUUUUAGAGGAAGAUUUGGAAGAUUUGAAAUUUCAUUAUUAGUUUUAUGGUUGAAUUAGGAAUCUUGGAAUAAUUUCUUUUGUGAUUUAUUUUUCUAUUUAGGAGACUAGUUGUUAUUUAGUAGUAGACUUCAAUUAGAAAACAAAGAGAAAAAGAAGGCCGGAAUCCCGCUUGAUUAAUACCUUGGCCAGGGAACAAUCUCGGUGGGGAGGACGGCCACUUAGCCUCUCAAUUCAUCUUGCUUUUCGUUAGUUUGAGAGGAAAACCAAUUGCAACUAGAUUCAAUGGAGUCUGGCAGAAUUUCUUCUAGGAUGCGUAGCUAAAUCCUCAAUUUUUAGUCGAAGGUCAAUUUGAAAAUUCGGUUCCAAAUAUCUGUGAAAUCGAAUUAUUUUACUUAUUUCUUUUAUUUAUUGGUAUUCGCACGUUUUCUGAUUUAACUUUUUAUGAUUGUUUUGUUAUUUGAAUGUCAAGGGUCCGAUAUUCGAAUUAACUUAAUAAUCUACUGCCAAAUUAACCGGUUAAAUCCGUAAUUGUUUGAUUGAUUAAUAUCAGUGGCGACUAGCGUGAUUGGUCCCAUGUUAGGAAAACGUCUGAUCUAAUUUAAACAAACCGUCGUAGCGUGUUUGUUGAUUAGGGUUGGACUUUUCUAAUUCUUAAUUCAAUUGAGAAAUUAAAUCUCCCGGUCGUACCUAAGAUUAUUUUUUUGUUAGCGAAAUAGUUAAUGGUCGUACCUUGACUAUCGAAAAAGUAAGGAAGAGUUGAUUGUUUAUCGCGUGUACGACAACUAUAAUCAAUCUAUUAAUGAGUAAUUGAAUUAUCUUUGCAUCAGUAAUCAGUUGAAUGGACCGUGUCUGAAAAGUUGUACCUUUGGCUAGAGUCUUAUCUGUUGUUGAUUCAUUCAUAUCUAUCUUCAUGCGUUGUUUUAAUUUAGUUAAUUAGUUAUUUUUAUAAAAACCCCUCAUCUCUGGACUCUAAAAGAAAUAAAUUAUUUCUAGUUCCUGUGGAUUCGAUCCUACUCACCGCUAUAUACAAAAUUUGUAUUUUUUUGAAUAAAUAAUUAUUAUUACACAGGCUUGACACCUGUCAAGGCAAAAUUUCCUUAACUUCAUCAUCUGUAGACGUAAACUUUCUACGGGUGAUAUAAUAUAAGGAAAUUUUGCCUAUACGAUGUGAUAGCAUUUUUUCAAAAAAGACAAGAUGGAAAAUUGCUCCCUUGAACGGAAAAAAUCAUGAUCUUUCCUCAAACUAGUCUACUAGUCAAUUCUUUACAAAAGAAUACUCGCUCCUAAACAUAGCCUGUUCAUCUACACUGUCCCGCAGAAUUCUAGAAAGUUAGGCAAAACUAGACAAGUUGACAGGUAUAAUCAUACCCAAGAUCAGGAACAAGCAGUUGCACAUUUCAAAAUUCGCUGCUGCAACAGCUAAUUUGAUGACUUACAACACUACACGGUCAAACUUUGAAUGGCAAUGGAUCUUUUGUUGUACGUCAUGAUGUAAUUUUCAUGUUACAUACAUUAAUAGGUUGAUAUCUAUAUUCUUUAAAUUAUCAUGAUAAUACCCUUAAUUAGAUUUAACUGAUAAAAAGAACACGUGUUAAUAUACAAAAGUGUGUAACGUGAAUGUUACAUUACUGUAUUGCAGAAGACCUAUAGUCUCUUCAUAUCUCUUCCUGCACGUAUCAAUUCGUUUCCUCUAGAUAAUAAUCUCCCAACUCGUUUCUUUACAAAUGCACCUUUUAUGUUUUAUUACCUCCAAAAGCCUUUACAGGGUCUUUACCCUAAAAAUCAAUUCACCGACUCGCAUUUGAUGUCAGAAAUUCUUAAGACGAAUUCUACUUUACUCAAAGAUUGACUGUUAAUAAUGAGACAGCGACCAUUUUGUAUUAUUAGACCGUCCUUCUUGAUAGGUAAAAGAAAUAGAGAGGAAAGUGGGUCCGUAUAUGGUCUUUUAUUCAUAGAUAAUACAACAUUACGCCAUCGAGCAUUCACACAAUAUUUCAAAGUCAUAGCAUGCCUAAGGCCCUGUUUGAUAGCUCAAUUUCGUAAUUAAAUUUAAUAGAUUCAAAUUUUAACACAUUUAAAUCAUUUGAUAACAAAAAAUUGAAUAUUUAAAUUAAUUAAGUAACACUGAACUUUCUAAACAAAACUUGCUUUCAAAAUUAAGUGAUAAGUUAUUCACUUAUCUUUGAAUGUGAUAUGCACUCAAAUAUAUUAAAUUUAAUAAUUUAAUGGAUUCAGAUUUCAGAUUUCAGUUUUAUUACACACCCUAAGUUGCAAAAUAAUACCAAAACUUGUUAUUAUAUAGCUUGAGAUUCAAAAAUUUAGAGCAUAAUUCUCAACCUAACACAAUCGAAUAAUGAAUAUUCACGAUUGUUUCAAAGUACAAUUUGAGGACAACCCAUUCCAACGCGUACACGAUUUUUAACUUUUCUAAAGUUGUUGAGAGCUGUUAAAAGAGAUUUACCAUGUUUACAUCUUCCAAGUCUUGGAAGUGAAAAAUGAAGCCACUGAGUGCUAUAAAAAGGGGGCUAGAGGCUGCCUAGAAGCAUAUCAGCCUAAAACAAGAAUUUGUAGUAACAAUGGGGAGCAAAGCAAAAGCAACGGGGUCUAGGCUGACUCCUCUUCUUACCACUGUUUUAGUGGUAUUUGUCGCCCUUGGCUUGCCCUUGGAAACUGCAGCUGAUUAUUACAAGUAUUCAUCUCCUCCUCCUCCUCCUUACCACUAUUCUUCACCACCACCUCCAGUGUAUUCACCUCCACCAACCCCUGCUUAUAAGUUACCCCCACCAUCUCCUCCAGUUUACAAGUCCUCACCACCACCUUACCACUACUCACCACCUCCGGUGUAUUUACCUCCACCAUCUCCAGUUUACAAGUCACCACCACUACCCCCUCCGGUAUACAACUCCCCGCCUCCACCAGUGUACAAAUACAAGUCCCCACCACCACCUCCUCCAGUUUACAAAUCUCCAUCGCCACCAGUUUACAAAUACAAGUCACUCCCACCACCUCCUCCGGUAUACAAGUCUCCUCCGCCACCUGUUUACGAGUACAAGUCUCCUCCACCACCUCCUCCAGUGUACAAGUCCCCACCACCUCCAGUUUACAAGUACAACUCACCUCCACCUCCUCCCCCAGUUUACCUGUCUCCACCUCCACCCUAUCAUCACUACUACGGUUCUCCUUCUCCUCACCACUACUAAGCAAGUGCAUAAGUUUUGAGGUAAUAAUACCUAUCCAAAACUUUAUCAACACAAACUGCCAUGUAUAUUAUCAUGCUAAGGACGUACACUUGAUCCAUGAAAAUGACUAGUAGAAGAUUUUUUUUAAGAACCAAAGAAAUACAUUAUUUUUUCGGUCUGUUUUCAAGAAUUUGAGCAGUAUACAGAUUAAAGAGUGUUUUUUUUUUUGUAAACUUGCUUGUCAACUUAAAAAUGCACAUAGCUGAAAGCCAACUGAAUAUUUGCAGGCAAAGGAGAAGGCAAUCGGUGUUUGAGACCUUCAAGAAGAUGUAGAAGAAUAAGAAUAAAAGCCCAAUGCGAGGAUGAUUCCAAGUUUCUACGUUACCAUUUCUACAUCUAAAUUGACUUUAGCUCCUGAGUUCCAUGUUUAUGGGGUUUGUACCGUUUUACGUACCAUGCAGUACAUGCUUGCAAGGUUUUCUGUCCUGUUGGCAAACUGCAGGUCCAUAUAAUAAAUGAAUACUAUUUACAUUACGACACUUUUCUCUUUUUCUCUUAUAUUUUGUCUUUAAUAUUGUUGAUCAUUUUUUUUUUAUCAAAAGCAUCAAAUGCUUAGGUAAUUUGGUCUAAUGCUAAUUGUUUUACUUUUAUUUUUCACCUACACCCCUUUUCAACUCAAAGGAUGCUAUAGUUUGUGAUAAUUGUUUAAGACCGAAGCAUGAUACUAAUAAAUAUCUCAUUGAAAGUCAAGGAAACUAACAUUAGGAAAAGUUUAAAUCUUGAUUUGAUGAAACUAUUUAUUCGUGGAAUUUAGAGAUACAAAACUCAAAUUGUGACGGUGUUGUUGCUAAAUUAUUAAGGACAUUAUCACCAUUAUUUUUCCCUGAUCACUAGUUUCAACUGCAAUGAUCUCAAUCUUUUUGUGACUAAUUCUUUCCUUAAUAAUUUAUAAAGACAAAACUCACAAAGAAUAUGUGACUAAUUCUUUCCUUUCGUCUUCUAAAGAAAAUGCCAACUGUUAGUUUAUCAAGGGGAAAAAGGAUCGACAUCAGUUAUUAUUGAAACUAGUAAGGAAUAAAUAAUGGUGAUAAUGUCCUUAAUAAUUUAACAACAGCACCAUCAGAAUUUGACUUUGAGCUUCGGUCUUAAACAAUGAUCACAAACUACAGCAUCCUUUGAGUUGAAAAAGGAAGUAGGUGAAAAGAAAAGUAAAAAAUACAAUUAGCAUUCCCUCAAAUUGUAGAAAGUUAGGUAGCAUUAUAGACAAGUUGAUAGCGGCAAUUUUACAUUUCAAACUUCACCUAUUCAAUAACUAAUUCGAUGGCUUGCUACAUGGUCAAUCUUUGGACCCCUUCCUGCCUCCAGAUAUCCCUUUCCUCAAUCAGGGGCUUCUACAAUUACCAGUUUCAAUUGUAUGGUAUAGUGUAAAUAUCAACAAAUUAGAUGUAGAUGCUAACAUAAUAAAUGUGAAUGCUAAGACAGCAACAUACAAUCGAACCUGCAAUUGUAUGAACCCCAAUCUCGCUUCCUAGUCCACCAUCUUUCUCUAGGUAAUAAUCUCCCUUCUAAUUUAUUCACAAAAUGCACCUUUCAUCACCUCCAAUAGCGUCGACAUGAUCUUUACCCUAGAAGACUAUUCACCGACUCUCAAUUGACGUCAGAAAAUCUAAGAGUAAUUCUACUUUACCCUAAGAUUGAUAUCAACAAGACAAGGACAAUUUAGAAUUAUUACACGCCUCUUCUUAAUAGGAAAAAGAAAUAGAGAAGAAAGUCAGGCCAGGUCUAAUUUCUUUUCAAAGGCAAUACAACAUUACGAAAUCAAGCAUUCAUUCAUACAAAUAUUUCAUAGUCACCGGUUUGCUGAGUAGAAAAAUUUAGACAAAAACUUAAUAUUAUAUUGUUUAAGAGUUAACAAUUUAGAGCUUAAUCUCCUUGUACUUUGGAGUUAACAAUUUAGAGCUUAAUCUCCUUGUACUUUGGACUAAACUUGAACGUGAAAGGAAAUCCCAAAACCAUAUUGGGCAUGAAUUCACACUUAAUAUACCCAAUAAAAGAUGGCGACUGGUGAAAGGCAGUGGAGACUGGUGGAGAGAUUUGAGGAAUAGAAGCAGACGGAAAAGCAACAAAUUUUUGCCGAAAAACGGUCACUUUCAUGGUUAAUUUUGCUACUCUCCAAUUGUACUUGACCAAUUACAACAAUUUCAUGGAGUUUGAUACGUGAAAAGAAUUUUUUAUAAAUUUUAUUUUGAUCCAUAAUGUUAUCUUUACAUAUAUAAAACAUUUUACAAUUUUGAUUUUGGCGCAGCUAACUUUUGGUUAACAAAAAUGCUCAUGUUUAAAAAACCAGAAAUAAAACAAAACAAGAAACAAAAGAAAUAAGAGGGUAGCAUAGACAUUUUGGAUUUUUCCGUUAAUUUGGAUGAUUUCCACCCACGUUCUAAUUUAAUCCAAAACACAAAGGAAUUACGUAGAGGUUUUAAAUAAUGAGGGAGCUUCAUGAUCGAACCCCAAACCACAAGGCGAUUUACUAUAUUUUACUCUUAAAUUUUGGUUUCAUCUCAUAGCAUACAAGAGUUCUAUUUCACUAUCUGUAGACAAAGACUUUCUAUGGUUGAUGUACCAUAGGAAAAAAUCUGCCUAUACAACGUGAUAGCAUUUUUUCAAAAACACAAGAUGGAAAAUUGCCCCUUAAACGGGGAAAUUCAUGAUCUUUCGUCGAACAAAGAAUACUCACGCCUAUUCAAGAUGGAAAAUUGCCCCCUUAAACGUCUAUUUGUCAAUUCUUGAAAAAAGAAUACUCACGCCUAAAACACGGCCUCUUCAUCUGCAGAAUUCUAAAAAGUUAGGUAAACUCUAUAAACAAGUUGAUAGGUACAAUCGUACCCAAGAUCAAGUACAGAUAGUUGUACAUUAACUGCUGCAAUAACUAAUCUGAUGACUUAUAAACAUAUCAUGGUCAAUCGUUGAAUGGUAAUGAGUCUUUUGUUAUGCAUUAGUAUUAGUGUGUACACUCUAAUAGAUUGAUACUUAUACUCUUUAAAUUAUCAUAAUAAUACCCUUAAUUAACUUUAACUCUUAAAAAGAAUACAUGUUAAUACACGAGUGUGUGUAACCUGAAUUGUUACUUAUAAAUUAGUGUGUAAUAGAUAGGGAUGGCAAUGGGGGCGGGUGCCCGCGGGGGGCUCUCGGGGCGGGGGUUGGGGCGGGGGGGAAUUUUUUCCCCCCGUUUAGAAAUGGGGCAGGGGACGGGGGAGUAUACCCCCGCCCCAUCCCCCGCAAAAAAAAAAUUAUAUAUAAUAUGUAAUUUAAUUAGUUAUAAACUUAUGAUAAUGAUAUUAUUAGUUAGAUGUAUUAUAUAAUGUAUAUUAGUGUAUGUAAUAUAAUUAAUAUUAUCAAUUAUAUGAAUAAUUAGACAUGUCUACUAAUAGAAUUUAUGAAUUAGUUAUACUAAAUUUACUAAUACAUUUAUACUAAAUUUCUAAUUACACUUAAUAGAAUAACACUUUUUUCUAAAACAAAAAAGCACAAACACAAUAAUGAAUUAGUGAUUGUAUGAUAGGGUGUAAUUUUACUAUUUAUUUUAUUAUUAAUUUCCCCUAUCACCUGACCUGAUGUGGAUUAAUUGCUGGAUUCUGCUCACUUUUAGUACUUUGUAUUUAUUUCAGGGAGUAGAACGGAAAUUUGAUAACAGGUGCUAAUUUGGCAGAAAAAGAGUCCAGAUGAUAGAGCUUGCCCCAAGGGCAUUUUUGGAAAGGAGAACUUGUGCCCAUCUUGGUAAUUUGGGAGAAAAGGGAAACAGACAAAAUGGGUCUAACAUGGAUUGGAAGCGGCCGCACAGUAGCAGGGAAGAGGGCAGACGUAAAAGCAAUUGCAGGGGGGAAAAGGAGUUUUUUUAGUUUUUAGCUUAGCAUCUGAUUUUCCCUGGGAGACUUUUGUUAAAGAUUUCCUUUUGGCUGAUAUUACGCAUGGCAGAUGGCUUUUAACUUAUUCCUCCAUCUUUGACUUUUCUUCUUUAGCUUGUGGCAGUGGAUUGCUACUUACGAAUGUCAGCACUUAGCCAUUCGUGGCUUUUGAUCUUUUCUUCCUUAGAAAUUCUGAGUAACCUCUUUUCCUUUGUGCGCCAGACGAAGUGAAAACUAUAAACUUUUGUAGUUUUUCUAUUCAUUCAAUAUAUUGAGACGAGUUGGAUUCUACCAAAUUUCAACGGACAUGGCCGCUGGUUUCUCUUCAAUUUUAUAUGGGCUUUGUUCAUCCAACAUGAACUAAUUUCACCACUCUAGUCAAGGAGCAACGAAGGCUCUGAUUUGCCUAAAAAUUGUGAGAUCGUUUUAAUUUAAUCUUUUCCUUUUAUUUAUUGGUAUCCGCACAUUUCUUGAUUGCUAUGCUUAUGGUUAUUUAAUUAAUUGAUUGUCUUGGAUCCAGAUAAUUAAUUGAUCUGAUAGCCUAUUGUCAAUUAGGGCAUUUAAAUCCGUAAUUGUUUAAUUGUCCUGAAAUAGUGACAACUGGCACGAUUAGAUUCGUGCCAGGGGGGAUAUGCGGGCUAAUCUAAAAUAACCCUGGUAGUGUGUUAUUUGGUUAGAAUAGGGCUCCUCUAAUACUAAGGCAAUUGGGGAAUUAAAUUCUACGGGCGUACCUAGGAUUAUUUCUUAAUUAGAGCAGUGAUUAACGGGCGUACCUUGAUCACCGACACAGUAAGGAGGGGUUGACCGUCAUCGCUUGUUUGGCAGUUAUAACCUAUUUAUCAGUAAAUAAUUGGGAUUGCCUUGCAUCAAUGAUCAAUUAGGUGAACCAUUGUUGAAGUUACUUCUUGGUUAGAUCUUUAGUUAAUAUUACCUUGAUUUUGGUGAAUUGCCAUUUGAUUUUUAGUUGCCUACUUUAUUUUAUUUUUAAUUGUUUCCUUGCUUUAAUUGAGUUAGGCCUUUAAUUAUUGUUAUUCUAAGUUUAGUGAAUUGUGGUUUAAUUCCUAAUUAGUUAUUUAUUUUUACUUUCUUAUUUGAAUUUAUUUGCUUGUUAUCAUUCCUACGAAAUCACCCCCCUGUGUUACUUUGGAUUUCUUAAGAAACAAAUAUACCCAAUCCCUGUGGAUACGACCCUACUUGCUCUGUUCACGAAUUCAUAAUUAUUUGUGAAAAGAAAUAACCAUUCCACUCGGGUAUAUCGGAUCAAGCAAAUUCUUCGGGAACAGGGUGAAUCAAGUAACCCAAUGCACACCUAGAGUCCCUGCUCCAGUACUUGGAAUUGGGUUUUGGUCAUUUUAACUGGCAAUUAGGUUUAAUUUUAUUAUUGCACAGGCUGACGACCCUGUCAAUUUUUGGCGCCGUUGCCGGGGACUGGCGUUAUUAUUUGUUUCUUUUUAAAUUCAUUCUUUGUCCUAAUUUUCUGGUUUUCUUCUAGUGUAUGCCUCGAUCUUCUCGUACAGGUAAUUUGAUUUUUGACCCUGAGGUAGAGAAGACCGCAUGUAGAACGAGAAAGGAAACCAGACAGCUCAGAGAAGAGCACUCCAGUGCUACAUCUCAGAGACCCGAGUCAGAAGUUGAACUAACAGAUUCGUUUGGUAACACUUCGAGUGACUCUGACCAGGAGGAAGACACCAUGGCUAAUGCACGAACAUUAAGGGAGUUGGCUGCUCCUGAUUUAACUCAGCAGCCUUUAUGCAUUACUUUCCCCACUUUAAAUGAUAACAUUCCAUUUGAACUAAAAUCUGGUCUGAUUCAGCUUUUACCCUCUUUUCAUGGUUUACCAGGUGAAGAGCCGUAUAAGCAUCUGCAGGAGUUUGAUGUCGUGUGUAAUAGUAUGAAACCCUCGGGAAUCACAGAAGAGCAGAUAAAAAUGAGGGCAUUCCUCUUCUCCUUGAAAGAUUCUGCGAAGGACUGGCUGUACUACCUGUCACCAGGUAGCAUCACCACGUGGGACCAAUUGAAGAAAAAAUUUUUGGAUAAAUAUUUUCCUGCGUCCAGGGCUGCAAGUCUAAGGAAAGAAAUUUGUGGGAUCAAGCAGCAUCCAGGGAAGUCACUUUAUGAGUAUUGGGAACGGUAUAAGAACUUGUUGCGCAGGUGCCCCCAACACCAAAUAAGUGAGCAAUUGAUCAUACAGUAUUUUUAUGAGGGGCUCCUUUUUAGAGACAGGAGCAUCAUUGAUGCCAGGGGGGAGGGUUGGGAUGGGUGGUACGGGGGGAGGGAGUGUAAGCAAGAGGUCUCGGGUUCGAGUCCUCCCGCUUACACACAAAAAAAAAGAUGCUGCAAGUGGAGGGGCACUGGUAAACAAAACCCCUCAGGAAGCACGGGAGUUAAUAGAGGGGAUGGCAGAGAAUUCACAACAAUUCAGUACAAGAGAGGAUGUCCCAAUACGUAAGGUGAAUGAGGUAGAGACACCCUCUAUGCAGCAGCAGCUAACUGAGUUGACCGCGUUUGUUAGGCAACUGGCUGUGAGAAAUGCAUCACAAGCCAGGGUGUGCGGGAUUUGCACUGGUAUGGGUCAUUCUGCAGACAUGUGCCCAAUGAUUCAGGAAGAAACUGCAGAACAGGUGAACAUGGCUGACCACGCGCCCGCGCCAAGGAAGCAGUACGACCCUUACUCAAGCACCUACAACCCCGGGUGGAGAGAUCAUCCCAACCUCAGUUAUGGAGAAAAUAGGCAGCCCAACAUUACACCGAACAGGCAGUCUAACUUUGUGCCAAAUAGGCCACCAGGGUACCAGCAGCAAUAUCAACCCCGACCACCUCCGUCCCCAAGCUCUGGCCCAUCUUUGGAGGAGAUGAUGAAACAAAUGAUGACAACUAUGGCUCAAAAUCAGCAAAUGACGGAGGCAACCAUUAUGCAAAAUCAGCAAAGGACGGACUCCGAAAUGAAGGAUAUAAGGAAUCAGAUAAGUCAAAUGGUCACAACAAUCAACCGUUUGGAUUCCCAGAACCAAGGUAAAUUGCCAUUUCAGCCCGAAUUAAAUUCGAAGAACGUGAGCGCAAUGACCCUAAGGAGCGGGAAAGAAAUUCAGGGGUCUGAACCUGUGAUCCCUAAGGAUAAGGAUGAGGAAAAGAUCGAAAAUGAGCUUGAAAGGGAGGACAGCAAUGGUGCAGAUCUAAAGGUACUUCCUGACCCAAUAAUUACAGCUAAAACUAACCCGCCUCCUUUUCCUAGCAGGUUGGAAAAAUCGAAAAAAGAGGAUAAGGAGAAGGAGAUCUUGGAGGUUUUUCGCAAGGUUGAGAUAAAUAUCCCCCUCUUAGACGCAAUCAGACAAGUACCAAAAUAUGCCAAGUUCCUAAGGGACUUGUGUGUCAACCGAAGGCAGUUGAGGGAAGAUGAACGGGUUAUUGUUGGGGAGAAUGUGUCAGCAGUCCUGCAGAGAAAGCUCCCACCAAAGUGCGGGGACCCAGGUAUGUUUACUAUUCCCUGUAGGAUAGGUAAUACUGUGAUAGAAGGGCCAUGUUGGAUCUGGGAGCAUCAAUUAAUCUCAUACCUAAAUCUAUCUAUGCUUCUCUAAAAUUAGGUCCAUUAAAAGAAACUGGAAUAAUCAUUCAAUUAGUUGACCGAACUAAUGCAUAUCCUGAUGGGUUGGUUGAAGAUGUGUUGGUAAAAGUUAAUGAUUUGAUGUUUCCAGCUGAUUUUUAUGUACUUGAUAUGGAUGAUGAUCACUCCCCUGAUCCCUCACCUCUGUUAUUGGGUAGACCCUUUAUGAGCACAGCACAGACGAAAAUUGAUGUUAAUAAGGGUAUCUUGUUCAUGGAGUUUGAUGGGAAAAUUGUGCAUUUCAAUAUCUUUGAUACUAUGAAAUAUCCCUCAAACUCCAACUUUAGCACAGUUUUCUCUGUGAGUGCUAUUGACCCUGUAGUGCAGGAAGUGUUUGAAACUGAUGGCAGGGAUGAGUUGGAGGUGGCUUUGACCAAGCACCUCGAGUUGGAGACAACUCCUGAGGUGGAAUGGAGCGAGGACCUAAAAUGCACAAUAGGUGCAUUACACUCAUUGCAGUCCACCACGAAAAGGUAUGAAGUCUUACCUAUUUUUACUCCCGAACCUCACCAGAGGGUGUUGCCAUCUGUGGUGCAGGCACCUGUACUAGAAUUUAAACCUCUAUCAGAGCACCUGAAAUAUGCAUAUCUGGGUGAUAAUGAGACACUCCCGGUGAUUAUCUCAUCGACACUGUCAAAAAUCCAGGAGGAGAAACUGAUCCGGGUCCUUAGAGAGCAUAAAGAGGCGAUAGGUUGGACAAUCGCAGAUAUUAAGGGGAUCAGCUCGGCCAUCUGUAUGCACCGGAUUAGACUAGAAGAGGAUGCCAAACCUGUUAGGCAGGCUCAAAGGAGGCUCAACCCCCUAAUGAUGGAAGUUGUAAAGAAAGAAAUUUUAAAAUUGCUAGAUGUGGGGAUUAUUUUUGCAAUAUCAGAUAGCCCUUGGGUAAGCCCGAUCCAGGUAGUCCCAAAGAAGGCAGGGGUGACGGUGGAGGCAAACCAAACGGGUGAGCUCGUGCCAGUGCGCAAACCCACUGGAUGGAGGCAGUGUAUAGACUACCGUAGGCUAAACGCCGUCACCAAAAAGGACCAUUUCCCUCUCCCUUUCAUUGACCAAAUGGUUGAACGUUUAGCUUGUAGAGCUUAUUAUUGCUUUUUGGAUGGAUUUUCAGGAUACUUUCAGAUAGCAAUUGCUCCAGAGGAUCAAGAGAAGACAACCUUCACGUGCCCGUUCGGGACCUUUGCUUAUAGACGAAUGCCAUUUGCGUUGUGCAAUGCACCUGCAACAUUCCAGAGGUGUAUGGUAAGUAUUUUUUCUGAAUAUGUGGAGAAAAUUAUUGAAGUUUUCAUGGACGAUUUCAGUGUGUAUGGUGAUAGUUUUGAUACGUGUUUAGAUAAUCUGAAAUUGAUCCUGAUAAGGUGUAUAGAGACUAAUCUUGUGCUUAAUUGGGAAAAAUGUCAUUUUAUGGUUGAGCACGGGAUAGUCCUGGGUCAUAUUGUAUCGUCUAAGGGCAUAGAAGUUGACAAGGCUAAAAUAGAUAUUAUUUUUGCAUUACCUUACCUCGCGAGUGUGCGGAAGGUGCGUUCUUUUCUUGGACAUGCAGGUUUUUAUCGAAUGUUCAUCAAGGAUUUUUCAAAAAUUGGAGCCCCGUUAUUCCAACUCCUACAAAAGGAUGUGACCUUCGAAUUCGAUGAUAAGUGUGAGGAAGCCUUCAACAAGUUGAAAGAAUUGUUGACCUCACCCCCAAUUAUCCAGCCCCCUGAUUGGAGUCUACCAUUUGAGAUCAUGUGCGAUGCCAGUGAUCAUGCCGUAGGGGCUGUAUUGGGGCAAAGAGUAGGGAAGGCAGCUCACGUCAUCUACUAUGCAUCCCGAGCAUUGAAUGGAGCCCAAUUGAAUUACUCCACUACUGAAAAGAAGCUUCUUGCAGUUAUUUUUGCUUUAGAAAAAUUCAGGUCAUAUUUGCUAGGUGCUAAAGUAAUUGUAUUUUCUGACCAUGCAGCAUUAAGGUACCUAAUGACCAAGAAAGAUGCCAAACUGAGGCUCAUUAGGUGGAUAUUGCUACUGCAGGAAUUUGACCUGGAGAUACGGGAUAAAAGGGGCUCAGAGAAUUUAGUAGCUGACCAUCUGAGUCGUAUACCCGUUGGAGAGGAUAAUGAACCAUUGAGGGAUGCGUUCCCUGAAGAGCACUUAUUUUCUUUAAAUUCUCAGUUGCCUUUGUAUGCCGAUCUGGUCAAUUAUUUGGUAACUGGUAAUUUUCCUGCAGGUUGACCAAAAUCGAAGAGGGAUAAAUUGAAGAGCGACGCCAAGUAUUUUAUUUGGGACGACCCGUACCUAUGGAAGAGGUGUGCAGAUCAAGUGAUGCGGAGAUGUGUAAGUGAAAUGGAAUUUCAAUCGAUUUUAGCUUUUUGUCAUACUUUUGCCUGUGGAGGUCAUUUGGACCCAAGAGAACUGCUCAUAAGGUUUUAGAAAGUGGAUUUUAUUGGCCUUCAUUGUUUAAGGAUGCCUAUGUGUUUUGUAAGUCAUGUGAUCGCUGUCAAAGGGUAGGUAAUAUACCCCGUAGAGAUCAAAUGCCCCAAGUCCCGUUGAUUUUUAUUGAAAUUUUUGAUGUCUGGGGUAUAGAUUUCAUGGGGUCUUUUCCUACUUCAUUUGGUUUUUUAUAUAUUUUGCUGGCAGUUGAUUAUGUGUCUAAAUGGGUGGAGGCUAAGGCCACUCGAACUAAUGACUCGAAAGUAGUUGCAAAUUUUGUCAGGUCUAAUAUUUUUGUGCGAUUUGGAAUGCCUAGUGCUAUUGUCAGUGAUAGGGGAACGCACUUUUGCAACAAAAUCAUAGCUGCGUUGUUUCGCAAGUAUGGUGUACUCCAAUGGGUCUCAACGUCGUACCACCCUCAGACCAAUGGUCAAGCGGAGGUGUCGAAUCGAGAGAUCAAGUCUAUCUUGGAGAAAAUGGUGCGCCCCGAUAGGAAAGACUCGAGUCAAAGGCUGGAGGACGCACUUUGGGCCUAUCGGACGGCGUACAAGACUCCUAUAGGGAUGUCACCGUACAGGUUGGUAUUUGGGAAGCCGUGUCACCUUCCAGUGGAGUUUGAGCACAAAGCUUUUUGGGCGAUAAAGUAAUGCAACAUGAAUUUAGAGGAAGCCGGUGCCCAACGAAAGUUGGAUUUGCAAGAAUUAGAAGAGAUCCGGAACGAGGCUUACGAAAAUGCACUAAUUUAUAAGGAGAGAAGCCGGAUAUUUCAUGAUCAACAAAUUUCAAGAAAAUCCUUUGAAGUUGGUCAGAAGGUCCUACUAUACCAAUCCAGGCUCAAGCUAUUCCCAGGUAAACUACGUUCCCGUUGGAUUGGACCUUUUCUUGUUACUCAUGUUUUUCCAUAUGGUGCAGUUGAAAUCCGGAGCGCUAAAACAGACAACAAAUUUGUGGUGAAUGGACACCGUCUCAAGCAUUACUACGAAGGAUUUUCAGGUGAAAAGGUGGAGACAAUAAGUCUAGACGCGCCACCGUGUCCUAAUCAGUGACAUUUUACUAUGUCUAGCCAAAGACAUUAAAGACAGGCGCUCAUUGGGAGGCAACCCAAUUGUCCCUUUUAAUUAUUUGUUUGAUUUCGUGUGAUAGUUUAAAUAUGUUUUCCUUGAAUUCGACUGAUUUUGGGUUUCAGUUUUCGUUUUUGCUGAAUUGUAGGUGACCUUCAGUCUUGACGCGCCCGCGUGAUGACAUGCAGGAAGCUCACGAUCAGAAUCGUCUGAAAGCUCUCUUGCCCUUUUGACGCACCCGCGUGAUGACGUGCAGGAAGCUCACGAUCAGAAUCGUCUGAAAGCUCUCUUGCCCUCUUGACGUGCCCGCGUCACGUUCGCAGGAAAGGUACGGGUUUCAAAAAUUUAAAGAAAAAAUAAUAAUAAUAAUAAUUUAAAAUUUUGAAAUUAACUUCCGUAAAAAAAAAAAAGAAGAAAAAAAAUUUCACCGUGGCUUAAAUAGAGCCUAAAGAAGAGAAAAAAGAAACAAUUUCUUUCUUUUUUUUUUCUUUUUCUUCUUUCUUCCUUCUUUCUUUCUUUCUUCUUUCUCUUUUCCCUCUCUCUUCUCCCCUGUUUCUUCUCCCCUGUCCGUCGCCCGUGCGCCCCAUCGCUGCUCCACCUCCACACGCACGCCGACGCUGCGAGCCACCUGCGACCCCAGCGCCAGAUCUGGACCAUCGCCGAAACCCGCAGCCUCCGCCACCUCCACCUGAGCUCUGCCUCGCGCGCAACCCAGCUGCUCUGCGCCCGAAGCUCCACCGCCGCCACAGCCUCCCCACGCAGCUCCCUGCUCACGCGGCCACAAGCCCAUUGGAAACGGGACAGAGACUGCCGCCGAGCCACUUGCCCGCGUGACCGCCGCUGUUUUCCACCACCUCCCUCACGCGAGCUCUUUCCCUCUCAGCAGCAAUCCACUUCACAGCGCACCCGCUGCGCGCCGUCGCAGCCCUCGCAGCUCCAGCCCGUCUGGUCUAGUCCGCCGCGCGCACCAACCACCCACGGACGCUACCCCCAUCGCUAACCCACGCGGCCUCCACUCCAGUCUGUCCGCCGCCGCUGCUCGUGUCUCCCUUGCGCACCUCACGCCACCCGCUACUGUCCCCUUCCGUUUGGUUAGCAUCCACGGUGGAGGUAAUUGGAGGUUAUUUUCUCAAUUGUGUGACUUCCGCCUGUGAUACUGGUUGCAUUAUUUUUGCUGGGAAUUGCUACUUCUUUUGGGUUGGGUUCAACUGUGCAAUUAAUUGGCCAACUGGAGCCAUUUGUUGGGAUUUUGGGUGAGCUGAAAUACUGCAUUUGUGUGUUACAUUGGGAGGUUUAUUGGGUACAUUCUAACCGCUGUUUUCCAUUGUUACUCUCGCUGGGGUGUCUAUUAAAUUGCGAUUGAAGUAUUUUGGAUAUUGCAUGUUGAGAUUGAGGUUUCAUUGAAUUUGGCCUACGUUCUGCCCCCAGUGGUACUGGUGGGAAUAUUUUCAAUUGAAUUUGUUACCUCUAGUUGGUUGGCUACAUUAUUAUGGUCGAAUUCCUAAGUUGUCGUCAUUGCAUUUGUUGAUCUUGAUUUGGGGCAUUAACCGGCCAACUGGAGCCAUCUGUGCGUUUUUAGGCGCUAUUAUUGGUUUCUUCUCCCUUAACUUUGUCAACUAUAUUUGGUUGGGUAUUUGGUUGACUGCCACGGACUUGUAACUGUGUUUUGCUUCUAAUUGACCAGUUGCACAGCAGUUUUUUUUUAAUUGAUAGGGUGGUUAUACCUCUGGAUAUUUGUAUCCACUGGUUUGAGGACAUGGUGAGACCAAAAUCCUCCUCUAGGUCUAGGACCCCUAGAACCUCGCAAUCCCAACCCCAAGCCUCUACUCUAGUCAAUACCCCUAUAAAUCAACCUACUGCUCCCGGUGUCCGAACCUGGUUAGGUAGGGGUAGAGGUGCCCACGUGGCUUCCGCCACUCACUUGGGAGGGCAUUUGGAAUUCACUAGAGCCGCCGAUCAGCGACGCUAUGCUCAAGCUUGUGAGCGGCGUAUCAUUCCGUGCAAAUGCGCGGACCACAUUACUAUGGUUUUUCUGGGGAUCCAAGGGGAGGUUGAGCGCAUGUACACCGCCAUUGGAUGGCGCCCCUAUCUGGAUAUUUUCCAGCCAGCCUUUGUCGAGUUGACUAGAGAGUUUUACACCACUUUUAAGUUUGAAUUACCGACUAGGUAUACUGUUGCGACUCCCGAUAUCAUUCACUUCCGUCUCAUGGGCCAGGAAUUCAAUUUCUCUAUCACCCAGUUCAAUCUGGCUUUCGGUUUCAUCACUCGGGAGUAUGCAGAGACUAGGGAAUACGGUGAGAGUGCCUGCGAUUUUGUGGAACCUUUCCUUACCGCCUACCGUGAGGUGUGGGAGGACAUGUCUGUGGACAUGCAGCGUUACGAUCCCUCUCGGUCUCGGAGCUCCUUUCUAGAGGACCCGAGUGCUCGGUAUGUUCAGCGGCUUUUAGCAUAUAGCUACUCGGGCAGAAAGAACAGCUUCGGUAUUAUCUCUCGGCCGGAGCUCUUCUUCCUUUGGUGUAUGAAGAAUGGGUUCAAGGUCAAUUUGGGUUGUUGGUUGGCGGCACAGUUCAAGACCGUCAUGGCAAAGAAGAACAAGCCGUUGAUUCUUGGGUCGUAUAUCACGUACUUGGCGGUCCAGCUAGGCGUUCUGAAUCUACAGGAUCACGAUUUGCACUUGGCCUGCGACAUGGAGUAUCUCACUGCUGACCGGCUAGAGAAGAUGGGGGUUCUGGAGCUUGUCGAUGGCCACUACCGAUUUGUGCCCCCGGGACCGCCCCGCGCCCCGCCUCGCUCUUCCUCCACCCAUUCGGCCCCAGUUGGCGGUGAUCCUGGCCCGUCGACAUCCGCUCAGCUCCCUCCACCAGCAGGGGCUGAAGAUUGGCACCAAAUCAGGACGCAGAUUCAGAAUUUGGACGCCCGGAUGAUUAGCAUCGAGAGCAACGUGGCGGCUAUAUCACAGAAUCUGGCGGCAUUCCUGCAGCACUCGGGUUUCCCGCCCCCAAUCCCACCUCACCCUCCACUAUGACCCGGUUUCAGGGAAGUUUGGUUACUUUCUCCCUCACUUUUGUUGUUUUUUGACACAUUGAGGACAAUGUGUCCUAUAGGUGUGGGGGGGUCUAUAGUCUUUCUAGUUUUUAGUAGUUGUUAGUUUUUAGUUUUUUAGUAGUUUUAGUUUUAUUUCUAGUUGCGUAUUUUCUUUCUUUUCUUAGUGCUUAUUCCCCAUGUGAAAAGAAAAAGAAAACAAAAAAAAAGAGAAAAAAAUGUUGGUUUAUUGACUCUAACUCUACUUUUGCCAAGUUUUUUUUAAAUAAAAAUGUAUCGGGUUAAUGUGGUUGGAUCCAGAAUAUCUCCCUGGUGAAUAUCGGAUUGCUUGGCUCUUUUGAUUUCUGUGUUAAUUUCUCUAGGCAUAGGGAAUGACUGUUGGCAUUUUAAUGUGAACUGGUCCAAUAUUGACUCCAGUUCUCUAUGUUUGGCAAUAAUGAGGCGAGCUGUUCCUAUUUUUGGUUCUUAGUGUUGUUAUUAUGUGUUUUUGGCUUUGUUUGGCUGUGAAUAAUCUGGACUGUACUCCGCUAUGAGUUACUACUGAGUAACCGAGGAUCGGCACCUAAAAGUGUCGAUUCUCGCGUCAAAAGGUGGUACUUUAUAUGAGUACGUGGUCGUAUAGCAGUAGGAGCUGAGUAACCGGGCUCCUUCAUCUAAAAAUGUUGGAGUUCGCGUCAAAAGGCCCCGACGGCUAACGACUAAGUCUUUUUGUGUUAAUUAUUAUUGCUUUGAAAAACAAAAAAAAAAAAGAACGAAAAAAGAGAGAAUAAAUAAUAGGAAGGCUUGCCGGUUUAUGGACUUAAUAUGGAGACUUGUGUGAAUAUUUGGACCAUUAGCUAAUAAAUGUUGUGCGCCAUUCCCUUUUCUUAGAGUAGUUAACCUGGAAAUUGAAGGAAUUUGCAGUUUAGGGGCUAACCGGGGGGGAGGCUUCUUGGAUUUUAAUCACCAAUGCUCGAUAUAUGUUUUUCUCUUGAAGAUCUUGGCAAUAUAGGAGAUUGGACAAUGGCCAUCAUCGAAUUUUGGUGUUCGUUUACUAUUCUUAUGCUUGAGGACAAGCAUGGUUUAGGUGUAGGGGGAAUUGAUAGGGUGUAAUUUUACUAUUUAUUUUAUUAUUAAUUUCUCCUAUCACCUGACCUGAUGUGGAUUAAUUGCUGGAUUCUGCUCACUUUUAGUACUUUGUAUUUAUUUCAGGGAGUAGAACGGAAAUUUGAUAACAGGUGCUAAUUUGGCAGAAAAAAGUCCAGAUGAUAGAGCUUGCCCCAAGGGCAUUUUUGGAAAGGAGAACUUGUGCCCAUCUUGGUAAUUUGGGAGAAAAGGGAAACAGACAAAAUGGGUCUAACAUGGAUUGGAAGCGGCCGCACAGUAGCAGGGAAGAGGGCAGACGUAAAAGCAAUUGCAGGGGGGAAAAGGAGUUUUUUUAGUUUUUAGCUUAGCAUCUGAUUUUCCCUGGGAGACUUUUGUUAAAGAUUUCCUUUUGGCUGAUAUUACGCAUGGCAGAUGGCUUUUAACUUAUUCCUCCAUCUUUGACUUUUCUUCUUUAGCUUGUAGUAGUGGAUUGCUACUUACGAAUGUCAGCACUUAGCCAUUCGUGGCUUUUGAUCUUUUCUUCCUUAGAAAUUCUGAGUAGCCUCUUUUCCUUUGUGCGCCAGACGAAGUGAAAACUAUAAACUUUUGUAGUGUUUCUAUUCAUUCAAUAUAUUGAGACGAGUUGGAUUCUACCAAAUUUCAAUGGACAUGGCCGCUGGUUUCUCUUCAAUUUUAUAUGGGCUUUGUUCAUCGAACAUGAACUAAUUUCACCACUCUAGUCAAGGAACAACGAAGACUCUGGUUCGCCUAAAAAUUGUGAGAUCGUUUUAAUUUAAUCUUUUCCUUUUAUUUAUUGGUAUCCGCACAUUUCUUGAUUGCUAUGCUUAUGGUUAUUUAAUUAAUUGAUUGUCUUGGAUCCAGAUAAUUAAUUGAUCUGAUAGCCUAUUGUCAAUUAGGGCAUUUAAAUCCGUAAUUGUUUAAUUGUCCUGAAAUAGUGACAACUGGCACGAUUAGAUUCGUGCCAGGGGGGAUAUGCGGGCUAAUCUAAAAUAACCCUGGUAGUGUGUUAUUUGGUUAGAAUAGGGCUCCUCUAAUAUGUAAGGCAAUUGGGGAAUUAAAUUCUACGGGCGUACCUAGAAUUAUUUCUUAAUUAGAGUAGUGAUUAACGGGCGUACCUUGAUCACCGACACAGUAAGGAGGGGUUGACUGCCAUCGCUUGUUUGGCAGUUAUAACAUAUUUAUCAGUAAAUAAUUGGGAUUGCCUUGCAUCAAUGAUCAAUUAGAUGAACUAUUGCUGAAGUUACUUCUUGGCUAGAUCUUUAGUUAAUAUUACCUUGAUUUUGGUGAAUUGCCAUUUGAUUUUUAGUUGCCUACUUUAUUUUAUUUUUAAUUGUUUCCUUGCUUUAAUUGAGUUAGGCCUUUAAUUAUUGUUAUUCUAAGUUUAGUGAAUUGUGGUUUAAUUCCUAAUUAGUUAUUUAUUUUUACUUUCUUAUUUGAAUUUAUUUGCUUGUUAUCAUUCCUACGAAAUCACCCCCCUGUGUUACUUUGGAUUUCUUAAGAAACAAAUAUACCCAGUCCCUGUGGAUACGACCCUACUUGCCCUGUCCACGAAUUCAUAAUUAUUUGUGAAAAGAAAUAACCAUUCCACUCGGGUAUAUCGGAUCAAGCAAACUCUUCGGGAACAGGGUGAAUCAAGUAACCCAUUGCACACCUAAAAUCCCUGCUCCAGUACUUGGAAUUGGGUUUUGGUCAUUUUAACUGGCAAUUAAGUUUAAUUUUAUUAUUGCACAGGCUGACGACCCUGUCAUUGUAUUUGUACCAAAAGUGAAAACUUAACUAUUUUAGUUGUAUUUAUUUCAUCAUGUUGGAUUGUAUUCAAAUAAUUUUUGUUUGAUUGUUUUUAUAAGUUUCAAUUGUAAAAUUAAAAUGAAUAAUAACUUGAUGAUGUGUUGAUAUUUUAGUACUUGAUUAUUUAUUAAAAUUUAAUUAUAAUAAAAUUUUAUUAACUCAACGAGAAAAAUUUUAUUAAUCCCGUGGGGGCACCCGCGGGGAAAGCGGGGCGGGGCGAGGGGAGUGGGAGGCGGAGGACGGGGCGGGGGCGGGGGAUGGGGGAGGGGUCCCCCGCCCCAACCCCGCCAUCCCCCGUCCCGUUGUCAUCCCUAGUAAUAGACUGGCAAGCAUUGUGGUGGUCAUUGAGCAACUUAUAGGAGAAAUAGUCCUAUAAGCUGUUCAAUGACCAAUCACAACUUGCUAAUUGGAUGACUAAUAUAGCUCUAGCUGUAAUGUUUUAAUUAAAUUACAUCACUAACGUUGGGAUGACUUUUUAACCAAAAAAAAAAAGCCUUAGUUCAAGCUUUUCCCUUUAUUGUGCAUUUUUUAAAGCAUUUGAAAGGCACUGCAAAUCUGUCAUUUUGGACAUUUUAUUAUUGACUAACAAUGAAAGCCGUGGACGUCUACCCAUAACCAACACAAGAUUAAAUUAAUAUUAGAAAAAAUAAUUGAGUAAUUGGAAAAAAAAAAAAAAGAAGAGUCUAAUUUUCAUUGAAACCCACCGACAAACUAUACGUGUCCAUGGCUUUUGAAUAGUGCAUUCAACGUUUAAUUGUAUGGUCCAGUUCAUUGCAGAUUACAUGGAGUAAAGAUUGCGCUCUUUCCUUUUCACCCCUUUUGGAAUCGAUACUGUGGAGAAUUGGGUUUUUCCCUCCUUUUUUUCUUUUCUUUCCUUCUGUGGUUUGCAAAACAUACGUAAAAAUAUGAAAUCCGAAGCAUUCUUUAAUUGGUAUUAAGUAUUGUUGUUGAAAUUAAAAAGAAAAAAGAAAGAACAACAAAAUUCCCAAUCUGGGUUGAUUGUUGAGCUCUAGAUUGGUUGCAUCGUGCUUCCAUAGAAGCAAGAUUUGUAAAAUCGGAAUCCUACAUAGGAUCGAUUUUAGUUUCACAGGAUCGGAUUGUAAAAUCGUAAGAUCCUACCAAAAGCUCUCAAUUGCAAUUAAAGGUUGCAAUUCUUUAAUAAAUUACAAAUAUACCACAAAUAUUUUCAUUUACUUGCAAAAUGGAGCUUCGUAUUUCACAAAUUUACAAAAAAAUUGUAGGAUCGUACGAUCCUACCGAUCCUACGAUCCUACACGAUCCUACCGAUCCUGCUACGAUUCUAUGCGAUCCUACAAAGAUUAAUAUGAUUUGCGACUCUGCAUACGAUCCGGAUCGAUUUUGGUUAUCCGGAUCGUAGGAUCGUAUGAUCCUACGAUCCGGAUCGCGAUUUUGACAACUAUGCAUAGAAGCUCUCUUAGUGUGAUACACUGCUUUCAAUCAGUUUAACACGGGAAAAAAAAAAAGAGAUGAAAAGCAAAUUUGGUGGAGAUAAUUUCAGAAACCUCCCCUGAAGAUUUUGACUAUUCUACUGGUUUCCCUUCAGAUUUUAAAAAUUACACUAAUCUUCCUUGAAGUUAAUUAUCUUGUAACAUUUAAAUUCAAUCAAUAAUUUAAAAAAUGAUAUUAUGAGAGAGAAAAUAAUAUGAUUUUAUCAUUGCCCCCCAUCUUACUACAUUAUUUAAUUAAUUUAAUAGCAACCCACACAUUAAAGAAAAAUAUUAAAAUUUGUUGUUUAUCAUUAAAGAUCAAAUCGCUUAUAACAUCAAAUAAUAGUAUAUUAUUUAUAUUUUUCACUUAAUAUAAUAUCCAAAUUACUCUUUUCAAUUACAUACCCAUUGUUAGAGAAUCAACAACAAAUAACCAAAAAAUUUGCAACCAAAAUAUUACAAAAAAAAUAAACUUUAACAUCAUAAAUAUUCUUAUCAACAUAUUAAAGUUAGUUACUGAAAUUUUUAUGCUGUUAAACUUCACUCUUUUUGAAUACAGAUUUUUUUGAUUAUUUGUUAUUAAUUAUGUUUGAUGAUGGGUUUAUAAUUGAAAAGAACAAUUUGAAACUUACAUUAAGUAAAAUAUAUAGAGUGAUAUACUAUUUUUUAUAACAUAUGUGAUUCAAUCCUUCUUGAUAGGAUUGGUAAUAGAGGUAGAGGGGGGAGUCGGCUGCAUCCGGUCUUCUUUUCAUAGAUAGUACAAUAUUGCGAAAUCAAUCGCAUUCACACAAUAAUAUUUCGAAGUCAAUGCAUGGCUAAGUUGCAUAAAAGUACGAACACUUGUUAUUAUAUAGCUUAAGAUUCAAAACUUUCGAGCAUAACCCUCCACCCAACACAAUUGAAUAAUGAAUAUUCACGAUUGUCAAAUCUGUCAAAGCACAGUUUGAGGACAACCCAUUCCAACCUGCAAAAGAUUUUUUACUUUUCUAAAGUUGUUGAGAGCUGUAAAAAGACUUACCAUGCUUGCAUCCUCCGAGCCUUGGGAGUUAAAAAUGAAGGCACUGAGUGCUAUAAAAAGGGGAAUAGAGGCUGCCUAGAAGCAUAUCAGCCUAAAACAAGAAUUUGUAGUUAAGAUGGGAAGCAAAGCAAAAGCAAUGGGGUCUGGGCUGACUCCUCUUCUUGCCACUGUUUUAGUGGUGUUUGUUGCUCUUGGCUUGCCCUCACAAACUGCAGCUGAUGAUCACUACAAGUAUUCAUCUCCUCCUCCUCCUUACCACUAUCCCUCACCACCACCACCAGUGCAUAUACCUCCACCUCAUCCUGUUUACAAGUACAAAUCUCCACCACCCCCACCACCACACCCAGUUUACAAGUAUAAGUCACCACCACCACCUCCUCAUCCGGUAUACAAGUAUAAGUCUCCUCCGCCACCACCACACCCAGUUUACAAGUACAAGUCACCACCACCACCUCCUCAUCCGGUACCACACCCAGUUUACAAGUAUAAGUCACCUCCACCACCUCCUCAUCCGGUACCCACAGUUUACAAGUAUAAGUCACCACCACCACCUCCUCAUCCGGUAUACAAGUAUAAGUCUCCUCCGCCACCACCACACCCAGUUUACAAGUAUAAGUCACCACCACCACCUCCUCAUCCGGUGCCACACCCAGUUUACCACUACAAGUCACCACCACCACCUCCUCAUCCGGUACCACACCCAGUUUACCACUACAAGUCACCACCACCUCCUCACCCAGUUUACAAAUACGAGUCUCCACCACCACCAGUUUAUAAGUACAAGUCACCACCACCUCCUCCACCAGUUUACAAGUAUAAAUCUCCUCCACCACCACCACCAGUUUACCACUACAAGUCUCCACCACCUCCUCCCCCAGUUUACAAAUACAAGUCUCCACCACCUCCUCACCACUACUAAGCAAUUGCUUCUGAGGUAAUAACACUUGUUCAAUAUACCCACUUCUGCAUGAUAAAGCAUAUCUCUAUCAACACAAACUGUCAUGUCUAUCAUGCUAAGUGCCUUCACUUCAUCCACCAAAAUGACUGCUAGAAAAUUUUUUUUAUGUUACCAAAGAAAGGCAUCAUUUUUUCCCUCUGUUAUCAAGAACUUGUACAGUAUAUAGAUUAAAGAGUAUUUUUUUAACUAGCUUAUCAACUGAGAAAUGCAUAUAGCUGAUAGCCAGCUGAAUAUUUGCAGGCAAAGGAGAAGGAAACCAUGUUUGAGACCUUCUUGAAGAUGUAGAAGCAUAAGAAUAAAAGCCCAAUGUGAAGAUGAUGAUUUCAAGUUUUUCUACGUUACCAUUUCUUUAUCUAAAUUGGUUGUAGCGCCCAAGUUCCUUUGUUUAUGGGAUUUGUAUCGUUUUACGUACCAUGCAGUACAUGUCAUGUUUGUAAGGUUUUCUAUCCUGCCGGCAAACCGCAGGUUCCAUGUGAUAAAUGAAUACUAUUUAUGUUACGACACUUUUCUCUGUUUCUCUUAUAUUUUGUCUUUAAUAUUCUUAAUCAUAUUUUUAACAAAAAUAUUCAAACACUUAGGCAAUCUGGUCUAAUGCUAAUUGUAUGUUUUACUUUUCUUUUUCACCUGCUCCCCUUUUCAACUCAAAAGGAUGCAAUAGUUUGUGAUCACUGUUUAAGACGGAAGCAUGAUACUAAUGAAUAUCUCAUUGAAACUCAAGGAAACUAACAUUGCGAAAAGUGUAAAUCUUGAUUUGAUGCAACUAUUUAUUCGUGGAAUCUAUAGUUACAAAACUCAAAUUCUGACUGCGCCAUUGAUAAAUUAUUAAUGACGCUAUCAUCAUUAUUUAUCCCUAACUAGUUUCGACUACAACUGAACCCAAUAUUUUCCCCAUGAUAAAAGUUUUUGACUAUUUUACUGGCCUCUCUUCAAAUUUUAAAAAUUACACUAAUCUUCAUUGAGAUUAAUUAUCUUGUAACAUUUAAGUCCAAUUAAUAAUUAAAAAAUGAUAUUAUGAGAGAGAAAAUAAUAUAAUUUUAUCAUUGCCCCCCAUCUUGCUAUAUUAUUUAAUUAAUUUAAUAGCAACCCACACAUUAAAGAAAAAUACUAAAAUUUGCUGCUUUUCAUUAAAGAUCAAAUUGCAUAUGCCAUAAAACAUAGUAUAUCAUUCUAUAUGUUUCACUUAAUGUAAGAUCCCAAUUGUUCUUUUCAAUUACAAACCCAUUGUCAAACAUGAUCAAUAACAAAUAAUCAAAAAAUUUGCAACCAAAAUAUUACAAAAAAAAACUUUAACAUCAUAAAUAUUCUUACCACCUCUAGUGCAUUCACCCUCAUAAAAUAAUUCAAGACCCUACUGUCAUAAAAUGACUGAUCAACUCCUGUAAACCUAAUUUGACAACAUUUAAAUGGAGAACUUUAGCUAAAAGAAUUAUGGUCAAGCUAAAGAAAAAACCAGUUAUUUUCCAACAUAUGCAACCAUUGAUCAGGGGAAAAAAAAAAGCAAAAAGACAUCUUCAAUCAUUUAAUAGCUUACAGGGCAAAUUAACCCUUGAGUGAAAACUGGUUGCUCUAGAAUUAAAAUUUUACCUUAGUUACCCAGGCAACUUUUUUGUUGCCUUUUCUUUUUCUUUUUUGGGUAUAUAGCUCCAGUUUUGCCCCCUCUGUCAAGCUUAUAUAAUUAUUAAGAUAAUAAAAGUGCCUUUAAUAGUAUUAAUAUAUCCAUUGACUUGAGCUGUCAUCGAUCGGUUUGGGCUACUUCGAUUCCAUGAGAACAAAUGGUAAUAAAAGUACUCAGAAAAUGGGGAGUCAUGAAACCCUUUUGUUCUAUUCAUUGCUAAGAUGCUUUUCUCUAUAAAGAGACUUCCUAACGAAAAUACUUUGUAGAUUUCUUUACUCCAAGUGGUGCAUGGAAAAUUAAUAUUUUCAAUUAUCAAAUAAAAUUCCCUUUUUUCGGCGUAGAUUUCAUCCAUCCAGCUGUUAACACAUUCUAUAAAUCCGAAUUGACUAAUCUUUUCGUUUCCAUUUUCCAACUUGCGAAUACGGCAUAUAGUGUCUGCUAAACACUAUAUAUUCUCUGCCAAAUAUGAAUACAUAUCACUUUUCUGAGCAAGUGCAGAGUCAUUAUCAUUUUUAUUCCCACCUAACAAAUUAGGGAUAAAAAAGUUAAUAAUCUUUACAUGCUAUCAGGUCACAAGUUAAUAAUCUUUUAAAGAACAUGUUAAAUUAAUUUAUUGGUAUGAAUAGUAGUCAAAGAAGUAUGUUAAAGUUAGUAAUCUUUAAAAUAAUAUGUUAAAAUCAUUCGUACAAAUUAGUCAGAGAAGUAGCAUAAACACCGCGAUGCAAUUAAUACUUUCAAUCUCAAGGUCUCUAUUAUGGAAAUUUGCAUCGGUCAAUAUACACUUGGCAUAAUAUAAUCUCCCAACUCAUUUCUUUACAAAUGCACCUUUAAUCACCACCAAAAGGUGUGGACAUGAUCUUUACCCUAGAAAACUAUUCACCGACAGGCAAAUUGACGUCAGAAAUACUGAGGAAUUCUAGUUUCCUUCGGGUUCAUGCCAUGUUGUAUCCUUCAACUGUAACUCGAUUUCUAAGCUGUAAUUUGUGACAUAAUAGUCCUUAAACUAUGAAACCCUUCUUACUUAAUUACAAUGGUUAAUACAAUGCCCGUGACUAGACAAGUAUGAAGCAACCAUAACAGAAAAAAAAUCCAAAAUUAGAGAAAAGAAAGAAGUUUCGCGACCACCACCAGUUUACAAGUCACCUCCACCACCUCCUCCAGUUUACAAGUCACCUCCACCACCUUACCAUUAUUCCUCACCACCACCUCCAGUGCAUUCACCCCCACCACCACCAGUUUACAAGUCUCCGCCACCACCUUACCAUUAUUCCUCACCACCACCUCCUGUGCAUGCACCUCCACCACCAAUUUACAAGUCACCUCCUCCAGUUUACAAGUCUCCACCACCACCUUACGAUUAUUCCUCACCACCACCUCCAGUGCAUUCACCCCCACCACCACCAAUUUAUAAGUCUCCCCCACCGCCUCCCCCAGUAUAUAAGUCACCACCACCACCUCCUCCAGUAUACAAAUCACCUCCACCACCUCCUCCAGUUGACAAAUCUCCACCACCACCAAUUUAUAAAUACAAGUCUCCUCCACUACCUCCUCCAGUGUACAAGUCAUCACCACCACCUGCUUACAAGUCUCCACCUCCUCCAGUUUACAGUUCCCCACCACCACCAAUCUACAAGUCUCCACCUCCACCCUACCAUUACUACUACAAUUCUCCUCCUCCUCCUCGUCACUACUAAGCAAUUGUAUCCAAGUUUUUGAGGUAAUAACGCUUAACCAAUAAAUUAACUUUCGCAUGAUAAACCUUAUCUCUAUCAAGACAAACUGCCAUGUGUAUCAUGCCAAAUACGUACACCUAGAUCCAUGAAAAUGAAUGGUAGAAAGUUUUCUUAAGAACCAAGAACAGCAUUAGUAUUCCCUCUGCUUCCAAAAACUUGUGUAUUAAAUAGAUUAAUGAAUUGUUUAACAUGCUCAUCUACUUGAAAAUGCACAAUACCCAUAACCCACUGAAAUUUUUGCAGGAAAAGGGAAAGAGAAUCUGUGUUUGAGAGCUUCAUGAAGAUGUUGAAGAAUAAGAAUAAAAGCCCAAUGCAAGGAUGUUUUCAAGUUUUUCUAUGUUUCCACUUUAAUUUGUAAAUUGAAUUUUGCGACUCAAUUAAUUCCCUGUUUGUGAGGUACGUAUUGUUUUACGUACCAUGCCGUACAUUUUUUUUUUCCAACAAACGGUAUCAUGUUAUAGAUAUUAACACUUGACCUUACAAGGAUUAGUUACAAAAAGGGGAUACUACCCUCAACUCUGUCCUAGCUAAAUCAGUCAGCCAUAUUGGGAAAUUAGUUUCCCAUUCAAUAUCAUGUACAAGCUUCACAGCAUAUUGUGCUAAUUGAUGGCUGAUGUGAUUUUCAGUUCUAGGUAUAAACACAAAAGAACAUUUUUCAAAAGCUAGACUAAGUUCCUGCACAUCUUCUAAGAUAGUUGCAGUCGUGUAGUCAUACUCCUUGCGUUUAGUAAUCUGCUCUACCACUGAUUUGCAGUCUGUAUGGACUAUAAUUUGUGUCCAACCUGCUUGGGUAGCCAUCAGCAGAGCAUUUCUCACAGCCCGAGCUUCCACUUCACUUGCCGAUCCCUUUCCCUGUGUGACAAUUCCUUUUGCUUUCAAAAGCUGUCCUUUCCAAUUUCUUGCUAUAAUCCCUUGUCCGGUCCUGACUCGUUUAGCUGAUAUCGCUGCAUCGGUAUACAGCCUUAUCUCUUCCUUCCUUGGCCGCACUCUCCUGGUAGGUAAGGCAUCAUUCAGCUUCCCUGCGAUCUCCUUCUGGUCUGUACUCCCUACCUGUUCAAACUCAAGCCAUUCCUCCUGUGCUUUCCUUACUAUUUUUACUGGAUCCUGGUUGGCUUGUUCAAAAAAUUUUUUGUUCCUGGCUUUCCAAAUUUGCCAAAGGAUAUUGAUAGUAAGACUAACUCUCUCCUGACCUUGGUUCAGUGCCAGCGAUUGUGUGACUUGUUCCCACCAUAACCAAAAGUUAUAUUGCAUACCCAGUAAUCCAUCCCACCUGACCGGUGCUAGCUUCCACGUUUCCACAGCCUUUUCACAGAAGAAAAACAAAUGCUCAAUAGUUUCCAUAUCUUCACCACAGCAACCACAUCUGCCUUCCCCUCUAUGUAGCCUUUUCGACAUCUGUUCAUUGACUGGCAGACAAUUUUGUAAGCACUUCCACAUGAAGUGUUUUAGUUUGGCCUUCACCUUCAAAUGCCAUAGCUGCUUCCACACAUUUCGUUUUCGUAUCUCCCAACUUGUUUCUGCCUCUUGGCCUGUCCUUGUACCUGCUUUUCCUUCCCGUUGCCUUGCUAAAGCAUAACCAGAUUUCACGCUAUAAAUUCCAGCUUUGGAAUGCCCCCAUACCAACCUAUCCUUUCUUCUUCCUAUACUUGUUGGAAUUCCCUUUAUGUGCUCUGCAUCUUUUGCACAAAACCACUUGAGAAGCAAAUCAUUUUUCCAUUUCCCUUCCUCUAUCAGCUCACUUACCCAUUCCAACUUGCAUCCCACAGGUUGUGUGGUUGAUGCAAAGCCGGUAUCUGAACCAACUAUCCAUCUGUCCCGCCACAUGUUGACUGACUUGCCAUCUCCAAUUCUUUUCCAAAGACCAUCAUACAGAAAGGAGGCUGCACUAUGAAUACUCUUCCAACACCAUGAGGCUGAAGAGACUGGCUUCUUGUCCAUCCAUUUUUCAUCACUCAUAUACUUCGCCUUCAUUACCUUACUUACUAACAAAUUUGGAGCCAUUAAGAAUCUCCAAAUUUGUUUUGCCAGUAAUGCUGUGUUGAAGGCCUCCAAAUCUCUAAAGCCUAAACCUCCUCUUCCCUUAACUUCUAAGAGCUUCUUCCAGCUUGCCCAAUGUACACAGGUACCCUUUUCUCCCUUCCCCCACCAGAAACUCGCUAUUUUACCUGUGAUUUGUCUACACAAACCCCUUGGAAGUCUAAAGCAAGCCAUCACAUAUGUUGGCAUAGCCAUAAUCACUGAUUUGACCAGAAUUUCUUUCCCUCCUUGGCUCAACAGUUUUUGUUUCCAACCUUGCAACUUGUUACUAAUUUUGUUCUGGACAAAUGCAAAGACCUGUGUCUUUGAUCUUCCAAUUGCCAUUGGGAGUCCUAGGUAGGUUCCAUUCCUUGCCUCUUUAAUGUUAUCUAAUACCUCCCUCACUCCAUUCUUCCUUUGAUCAGUGGUAUUUUUGCUAUAGAAGAUAGCUGACUUUUCAAAAUUCACCACCUGUCCGGAUGCUUGACCAUAUCUUUCCAAUAUGCUUUUGACCUUCCUCGCCUCCUGCUUGGUUGCUUGGCAGCAUAGUAGAGAAUCAUCUGCAAAAAAUAGGUGAGAAACCAUCGGACUGUCCUUGCAUAUUUUGAUCCCUGUAAUUUCCUUGUUCAUCAUAGCUUUAUGGAUCAAACAUGAAAGACCUUCAGCGCAUAUAAUAAACAAGUACGGGGAUAGGGGGUCUCCUUGUCUAAGCCCUCUACUCGGUUGAACACAGCCUACCUUUUGCCCAUUUAAGUUGAAGGAGUAAGUCACAGUAGAUAGGCAAGACAUGAUCCAUUUAACAAAAAUUGGACAAAACCCCAUUUUCAUCAUAACUCUCCCCACAUAUUUCCAUUCGACUCUAUCGUAAGCUUUGGACAUGUCCAGUUUAAGAGCCAUAAAUCCUACCCUUCCCUUUCUCCUAUUUUUCAAAAAAUGCAGGAUUUCAUGUGCAACUACUACAUUAUCAAGAAUUUGACGGCCUGGGAUAAAAGCGGAUUGAGAGGGACUAAUACAAUGAUGCAAGACACCUUUCAAUCUAUUAGCUAUGAUUUUAGAAAUGAUUUUAUACAGGACAUUGCACAAGCUAAUAGGUCUAAAAUGCACCACAGAUUCAGGAGUAUCAACUUUAGGAAUCAACGAAAUAAUAGUAUCAUUCACAGCUUUGAGCAAAUGCCCAGUAUGAAAGAAACUCUUAAUAGCUGCUACCACAUCAUCCUUGAUAAUAUCCCAAUAGUGUUGAAAAAAUAGAGGAGACAUACCAUCCGUUCCUGGUGCUUUAUUAGGGUGCAUCGAGAACAAAGCUUUCCUGAUCUCACUUUCCUCCACUUGUCGUAUCAGUUGUCCAUUCAUAUGACUCGAAAUAGUGCUUGGAAUUUCAGCUAGAAUGUCCUCAAAGCAGUCCGGGUUAGUAGUGGUAAAAAGGUCUUUAUAGUACUCACAAAGUUCCUCCUCAAUCUCAUGUUCCUCCUUGCACCAUGUCCCAUCUUUUUUCUGCAAUAUAGUGAUCUUAUUUCUCCUCCUCUUUGCCAUGACCGAAGAAUGGAAAAAAGCUGUAUUCUUGUCCCCUUCUUUGAGCCACUUGUUCCUGGAUUUUUGACUCCAAAACAUCUCUUCCUCUGCAUAAGCUUUAUUCAAUUGUGCUUUUAGUUCAGCCACUUGUACUCUUUUCCCUUCAUCCUUUCUUGCUUUCACUUCAGCCAAUUUCUCCUUUAACACUUUAAUUCUAACCUUUGAGUUUCCCUGCACCUUUUUCCUCCAAUCCAGAAUAGCCAUGCGACAUUCCUUUAUUUUUGUAGCCACUCUAAACAUCCUGGACCCUGACUUCACCUUUGUCCAUGCUCCUUGAAUCACCCUUUUUGCUUCUGGAUUUAGCGUCCAUCGUUGAUCAAAGUAAAAUCUCCGUUUUCUCCUUGUGUUUUCCGGGUUUGUAUCCACAAGAAGCAUUAGAUGAUCAGAGGCUUCAGUAUCUAAAUGAGUACACUGUGCCUUUUCAAAUCUUUGCAGCCAUUCGGUGCUGCAUAAACAUCUAUCCAACCUCUCUUUCACUUCCCCAUCCCCCUCCCAACUAUUGCACCAAAUCCACGGGACCCCUUGAUAACCUAAGUCAACCAGGUUAUUGUCUUUGAUAAACCUGUUGAACUCCCUAAAACAUCUUUCAGCUCUAUCCCUUCCUCCCCACUUCUCCUCACUAGACCUCAAAUCAUUAAAAUCUCCUACAAUGAUCCAGCCAUCCCCCCAGUCCCUCAUCCUGUCCUCUAAAUAUUUCCAUUGUGCUUUUCUAAUGUUACUAUCUGUGCUUGCAUAAACACACACUAGCCCCCAGUAUCCUUUAGUAUCCUUGUCCUCAACUCUAGCACUAAUACACCAAUCAGUACUUACAAUCUGGUCUAAAAUCACCUCAUUGUUCCAGAAUAAUGCUAGACCGCCUGCUUUACCUAUUGAAUUCACAAAAAAGCUAUUGUCAUACUGAAUCUUCCUUUGAACCUUGCCCAUAAACCCUUCCUGAUUCUUAGUUUCACAAAGGAACACCACCUUAGGAGAGUGGAAGUUAGUCACUUCCUUUAGUUGGGGACUUGUCAAGGGGCCUCCUACACCUCGACAAUUCCACACCACAACCUUCAUUUACACUUUGGAGGCUUUCCGGGGCUAGCCUCCAUUUCCCCUAUUGUACUAACAUUUAUUAGAUCCAGUUUCAUAACCUUUACCUUCGGUACAUUAUCAUCAUCCUCCUCUAUCGGUUGUGUUCCCUGAAACAUACCAUCAGCCUUCCUUUUAGCACACGAAACCUGCGUUACUUGUCCAUUUGUAUCUGCCUUUAAGGAUGUUUUAGCCGGCCUCCCUCUUCUUUUAAAACUGCUUCUUUUUUCAGCUUUGUUAUCUUCUUCCCCUGGAGUAGCCUCCUUUCUUGGCAUUCUUGCAUUUGUCUCCUCCUGCUUUAUUGACCCUACCCGCAAACUUUCACAUUCCUGUUUUGAGCUGUCCGUUUCCAUAUCCUCAUAAUCUACUGGUGGGAUUACGCUGCUCCCUCCUUUACUCCCUUCCUGUACCCUACCCUCCUUUUCACCAUUUCCCUCCAUUAAGACCACAGCCAAACUUUCCACCCGUUGGUUUGCCUUUCCAUACUGCCUGCUGUCUUUUAGAAUCUCAUCCCACCUCUCUUCAUAUUGUCUCGUCAUCAUUUUCUCCUUAUCCCCCCUUUCCUUUCCCCCCAAGACUCUACCAUUUUUUCCCCCAAGAGUUAAUGUAUCUCCAGCCAUUUGUACUCCAGUUUGAACUUCACUACUAGGAGACCCUGCCCCCACCCUCCUUGCAUCAAUUUCACUUACUCCUUCCAGCCGUCCCUUUAAGGGAGAUACCAUUAUAUUUCCAGCUCUCAUCCAGGCACCAUAUUGUUCCUCUCGCUUCUCCCCCCCACCCUUCCUACCACAGUACAAGUCCUAUCACUAUGCCCAAUGAUACCACACCUAUAACAGAAAUCAGGGCAGCGUUCAUACCUGAACUCAACCCACACUGCCUGGUUCUUACAGUUGAUCUUUGUCCCUCUAACCAGUGGUUUCGUUAUAUCUACCUCAGCCAUAAUCUUCAUGUGGCGACCCUCUUUCCCACCACUUCCUGGGAGAAUCACUCCCCUCACUGAUUUAAAGAUCCCUCCUAUUUUCAAACCCACUGCUCUGCUCAACCAGUGCACCGGUAGGUUCCAUAGUUGAAUCCAAAGAAAGGAAUGCUGGAAAAAGCUGCUGUUUGUAUCAUACCCCUCUACCCACUCCUUCACUAUCAGCAACUGGUUGUCCAUGACCCAAGGCCCUCCAGAUAAGAUCUUUUUCUUUUCCCCUUCAUCUCCCAGAUGGAAAUGGAAUAAGUUAGGACCUAACUCAGUCACUUUCAUCUUUGAGGGGUAUCCCCAUGCAUGAUUUGUAAAGUUCUUUAACCCCGUAAAGUUGGCAAUUUUUUCACCAAUCAGCUUUCCUACCAGGCUUCCUUGACACUCAGAGACGCCUUCUUCCAGGUCCUCACCACUCAGAUCGACACCUCCUAACUCUGUUUCAGACAAGUCAAAAUUUUGAAAGGCUCUUUCUAAAGCAUCCGCCAUUGCUGUGACGAGAGCUCCUUGAGAAACCAAGCACUAUUUCUGAGCUAUGAGUGACCCACUGACAGACCUGUGAAGAAUUGCAAAGACAGACAAAGCUGUGUUAUCCGUACACACUAAAAACCAACCAGAAAAACAGAGAGGAACUCGACAGAAAAAGCACAGGCACAAGAAGAAACGAAAGAAAAAAGAAAAACCAACAAACCACUAUCCCACUCCCGACCACAUAACAGCAUUAAAGAAAGGGACACAAAUACGACACUCCAACUUCCGAUCACAUGCUCUGACUCAAUGGAUCAUAUCUUGCCCAAAGCGUUUACUCCUCCAACCGAUUCCAAACCACUACAGACAUUGUCUCCCAUUUUGAAGCCGGAAGAAAGGUGGCUUCUGGACAGGGAACAUGAAAGCAAAGGUUGAACUAAAGAUUUGAUUUUAGAUCUGAAAAUUACGCUGUAGGAAAAAGUGCUAUGUGUUUGUACCUCACCCACUCUCCCACACCGAGGAGGGGAACCUCUAAAGUUAGAGAGAGAAGCUCUCAAGUUAGAGAGAAGCUUUGGAAGUUAAUUACCAACGUACCAUGCCGUACAUGUUUGUAAGGAUUUCUAUCCUAUUGGCAAAAGUCGGUUCCAUACAAUUAAUCAAUUCAUUUCACUUCUAUUGGCUCUACUAUUUAUGCAUGUUACGACACUCUUUCCCUUAUAUUUUGCCUUUAAUAUUAUGAGUCAAUAGUAAUAAUGGGCCUUUUUCUUAAAAUUAUACUAUUAUACAUAGGUAGUUUGGUCUAACGCUAAAUUCAUGUUUGUCUUUCUUUUAUUCCCUUUACAUCUCAAAGUAUACUAUAGUUUGUAAUCAUUGUGGUGAUGAUAUUACCAGCUGGUACUUAUAGUUUAAGGCAGAGACAUGAUAUUAACAACUAUCUCAUUGAAACAUAAGUCAAAAUCAUGACAAGUGUGAGUCUUGGUUAAUGCACAAUUUGUUAGUGGAAUUUAUAUUUAUAAAACUCAAAAAAAAUUUUUGACAAUGCUAUUACUAAUUAAUUAAGGACUUCAUUGCUAUAAUUUAUCGCUUACUAAUUUAAACUAUAAAUGAUCUCAAUACUUUUCUCCAUGAUGUCGAUUUCUUUAGACUACGAAAGGGAAAAAUUAGUGACAUAUCCCUUACUGAUUACAACAUCAGCAAAAAUUAGUUAUAAACUUUUCCGGUGGUUUUAAAUCCCUCGGGCACUAAGGUUUUUUGCACAUCGAGUGAAUUAAGGAACAUAGGCAAUUCGUUCUGCAUACCAAGUCCUUGUUUAAGAUGCACGUACUAAAAUGCAUCCACUUCAUUAAUUUGGAAAAUUGCCAUAGUUUUUUUUAAGCAUUUUGAUUUUUUACAUGAUUCAAAAUUUUCUUAUUGGAUACAAUCACUUUGUGUCAAGAACACAUUUUCAAUCAUCUUUUUUAUCUUCUCAAUAAGAAAAUAAAAAUUUAUUCAUGCUUUUCUAACAUAUCCAAUCAUUGAUCUGAAAAAUAAAGAAUUAAAAAAAAAAGACAUUUUCAAUCAUUGCUUACGGGGCAACUUCCCCAUGUGAACCUCAUCAAACAAAGCCAAUAAUAUGAAGGAACAUCUAAAUACACUUUUGCCCUAAAGGCUGGUUGCCUUGGGGUCAAAAUUUAACCUUCGGGAGUAUAAUUACCCGCCAAAUUUAUUAUUUUUUUUAUGGGUAUAUAGUUCCAAUUUUGCCUCCUGUUAAGCUUAUAAAUAUAUUACGACCCAGAAAAUAAAGGAAUCUUGAAUAGUAACAUGUCCAUUGACUUGAGUUGUUAUCAAUUUGGCUACUUCGAUUCCAUGAGGCCAAUCCAAUUCACACUAGCUAGAGAAAAUGGUGAUAAAGGCACUUAGAAAUUUAUAUGUAAUAUUGAUUGGUAGUAACUGAUAAGUAUAUAUUUUACGUGUUUUAAAUAUGUUUUAUUAGUUAGUUUUGGUGUGUUUUAACUACUUUUAUAACUAAUUAACUAGGAAUCUAGUGAAAAUAUGCAUUUUGUGGUUUGAAGUGUAAAAAUUGUAUUUCUAUGGAUUUUAAUGGUGAAAACUUCAUGUUUUUGUAGGUUUAAUGAUUCAAUCAUCAAAUGACAUGAUUUGAGAAGAUAAUUAGAUGAUUGAUGAUGUUUUGAAGUGAUAAAAAGAGAAUACAAAGUGCAAGAGAGGAAAUGCAAUCAAGAAUAAAAGAAGAAAAUUUUUGUAGCUUUGACAUAUUGUCGUAUUUCGGCAAUAUAUUGAGCUACAAUGAUCGGAUUAAGGUGAUUCUUAAACCAUUUGAAGCUAAAAUAUAGAUCUACAUUUGGCAUGAAGGCAUCGAAACCCAUGUCAGUCAUUUUCCUUGUCAAAAUGUUGAAAUACAGAAGUGCAACUCUGUUCUCGAAAGCUAAAACAGAGCUCUGGCUAGUCGAGGGUAUUUUCAUCAUUUCUUAGUCCACAGAGCUCCAAAUGAGAUGAUUCUUAAGGCAUUAGAACCCUAACUCAAAGAGCUACAACUUUCAUAUUUUGUACAAGAGUUAGUUCGGCCUCUAUCAUUAAGAAAAUAGUAGUUGAAGUGGUGCCAAAUGCAUAGAAGUGAAAACGCGAGCUAUCAAUACUCGACCUGAAGUCGCGUAUUCCUGAGGUCAUGCAUUCUCUUCUAUUUUCUGCAACUUGCCCUGCUUUCACAUAACUUUUUCAUCUCAAUUCCAACUAUCAAUUUCGGCUAUAUCUGAUCAAGAAAAGUGUGGAAAGUUUGAAAGACAACUCAUAGGAGUUUCAAGAGUCAAAAAUUACAAUUAGAAACAACUCAUUUGGCUCUUGAAUCCUCUAUAAAUAGAGGCCUUUGAAGAACAUUUUCACAACUUUGGAAGGUUAGAGAAACUCCACAAAAACAUAGUCUUCACUAGAAUUUCCUUAGUUCAUUAGUUAGGGUAGUAUAGUAUAGUUAGUGUAGCUUUUCCUUCUUGUAUUUAUAGUUAGGUUUGAAUGAAGAUUCAGGAGCAAAGAUAGAGAGGUUGAUCUCAUGUGACAAGGGUGAUAUCUCUUCUACUACUUUCUCUUUUGUAUUUGAUUUCAUAUUUAACUAUACUACAAAUUUGGCUUUGUUUUUUUUUUUUUAUCAUGUUUAGUUAAAGUUUAUGCCUAGAGUAUGGAUGACCUUUUUAUAUCUUGUUUGUGAUAUUUAACUGGUUAUUUGAUGAUGUUAUUUUUGAGCAAGUUAUUUAUCACUUUUGCUUUUCUAAUCAUGAUUAACUGGCCAUUAGUUGUGAUUAUCUAAAAGUGUUAAGUUUGUAAUGAGAAUUGGAGUUUAACACUAGUUCAAGGAAGUGAUAAAUUUAGGGAGUUCACUCAUGAGAGUAGAGGAACACCUUUGUGACCUAAGUGACUUGUUUCAUAUAAUUUCAUAGAAAAAAUGAACUUGUAAUUAAUUUCAUAACCACGAGAGUAAGUAUGGUUUAGCUAUAUGUAUAGUUGAUUCACUACGAGAGUAGGUUUCACAUACAUUAGAAAAUUACAUCAUAACUAGUCAAGAUAAUAUCAUUCAUUUAAUCAGUAAUCUCAUUUGCAUGAGUAGUAAGGCAUUCCAUAUCUCUAGGAGGUUUUUAGUAUUAUUUUCAUUACUUUUAUGUUUAUGGUAGUCUAGAUAAUAAUGGAGUUCGAAAACUACUAGUAAUUGAAAAUUUUCCCUGUGGGAUCGACCUUUAAUACCCUAUACUCGCUCUCGACUCGUAUACUUGAGAAAAAUCACGUGUGCGGUAUUUAGAAUUUAUAAAUGUAAAACUUGACUGUAGAUGAACUAAUUGAUAUAUGUAUACCCCGCACUCGUCAGUAACCAGCUUGUAUUGAUCCCACUAUUGUGGAUAAUUGUGCUCUUAUGAAAAAAAAUUAUAAAAAAAUUAGCAAAAUUUAUGAUAACAAAUUAAAUUUAUUCAUACAAAUCAGUGAAAGAAGUAGAAUUUUAAAGUCCAUGAUGAAAUUAAUACUUUCAAGGGCUCUAUUAGGAAGACUUCACUUGUUGGUGAAACUACACUAGCACAGUUAUAUGCACAUUUACUGUUUUGGUAUCUAAUUUCCUUGCCUUAAGUUGGGUGCAGAUGUUUAUAUUACAAAUAGAUGGUAUCAUAAAAUUGUUGUAUUCACGUUUGUUCUUUUUUUUCUUCCUUAAGUUUUUUUCUUUAUUCUCGUGACUUCAAAAAUACGAACUCAAGAAAUUGGCUGCUUAAUCAAUAUGUCAUACAGGCUUCGCUAGUGAGGUAUAACUUCACAACUAGAGUCAAUAGAAAUUAUCAAAUGAUUUUUUAACAUCCAAAUUAAGCAAUAAAUUUUGUUUUCAUUUUAUGACAUAUAAUAGUACUACUUCAUGAGAGAUUUUAUAGUUUCUUUUAGGUAUCAUACCUACAAGUGAUAUUUGUCAUUGGAUAGUGACAGAAGUGUUAAUGAUUGUAAGAUUAAAUAUUGUUAAAUAUUGAAAUUUAAACUAUUUAUCUUUAUUGAAAGAUACAAGUUAAAGAAUCGUUCAAGGGGGCAAUUUUCCAUCUUGUCUUUUUGAAAAAACGCUAUCACAUUGUAUAGGCAUGAUAGGUUCAAAUUUGUCAUUAAAUUUAUGAUUGAUUUUCCUUUUAUUCAAGCCAAAUAUUGUUUUAAUUAUCAAAUUCUACUUAUAUUUGGUUAAUUGUACUAAUUGUAGGGCGGUAGAGCAAAAGUUGCUAAAAAUAGGCGAUUUUCUGCAAAUUGGUUGUCAAGGCUGAAGGAUUUGGGAUUCGCAUGUUCAAGGCCUGUUUCCAAGUUUGAUUCAAACUCUGGACAGUUUUAGAGGAAGAUUUGGAAGAUUUGAAAUUUCAUUAUUAGUUUUAUGGUUGAAUUAGGAAUCUUGGAAUAAUUUCUUUUGUGAUUUAUUUUUCUAUUUAGGAGACUAGUUGUUAUUUAGUAGUAGACUUCAAUUAGAAAACAAAGAGAAAAAGAAGGCCGGAAUCCCGCUUGAUUAAUACCUUGGCCAGGGAACAAUCUCGGUGGGGAGGACGGCCACUUAGCCUCUCAAUUCAUCUUGCUUUUCGUUAGUUUGAGAGGAAAACCAAUUGCAACUAGAUUCAAUGGAGUCUGGCAGAAUUUCUUCUAGGAUGCGUAGCUAAAUCCUCAAUUUUUAGUCGAAGGUCAAUUUGAAAAUUCGGUUCCAAAUAUCUGUGAAAUCGAAUUAUUUUACUUAUUUCUUUUAUUUAUUGGUAUUCGCACGUUUUCUGAUUUAACUUUUUAUGAUUGUUUUGUUAUUUGAAUGUCAAGGGUCCGAUAUUCGAAUUAACUUAAUAAUCUACUGCCAAAUUAACCGGUUAAAUCCGUAAUUGUUUGAUUGAUUAAUAUCAGUGGCGACUAGCGUGAUUGGUCCCAUGUUAGGAAAACGUCUGAUCUAAUUUAAACAAACCGUCGUAGCGUGUUUGUUGAUUAGGGUUGGGCUUUUCUAAUUCUUAAUUCAAUUGAGAAAUUAAAUCCCCCGGUCGUACCUAGGAUUAUUUUUUUGUUAGCGAAAUAGUUAAUGGUCGUACCUUGACUAUCGAAAAAGUAAGGAAGAGUUGAUUGUUUAUCGCGUGUACGACAACUAUAAUCAAUCUAUUAAUGAGUAAUUGAAUUAUCUUUGCAUCAGUAAUCAGUUGAAUGGACCGUGUCUGAAAAGUUGUACCUUUGGCUAGAGUCUUAUCUGUUGUUGAUUCAUUCAUAUCUAUCUUCAUGCGUUGUUUUAAUUUAGUUAAUUAGUUAUUUUUAUAAAAACCCCUCAUCUCUGGACUCUAAAAGAAAUAAAUUAUUUCUAGUUCCUGUGGAUUCGAUCCUACUCACCAUACAAUCCAACCUGCAAUUGUAUGAACCCCAAUCUCGCUUCCUAGUCCACCAUUUUUCUCUAGGUAAUAAUCUCCCUUCUAAUUUCUUCACAAAAUGCACCUUUCAUCACCUCCAAUAGCGUCGACAUGAUCUUUACCCCAGAAGACUAUUCACCGACUCUCAAUUGACGUUAGAAAAUCUAAGAGUAAUUCUACUUUACCCUAAGAUUGAUAUCAACAAGACAAGGACAAUUUAGAAUUAUUACACGCCUCUUCUUAAUAGGAAAAAGAAAUAGAGAAGAAAGUCAGGCCAGGUCUAAUUUCUUUUCAAAGGCAAUACAACAUUACGAAAUCAAGCAUUCAUUCAUACAAAUAUUUCAUAGUCACCGGUUUGCUGAGUAGAAAAAUUUAGACAAAAACUUAAUAUUAUAUUGUUUAAGAGUUAACAAUUUAGAGCUUAAUCUCCUUGUACUUUGGAGUUAACAAUUUAGAGCUUAAUCUCCUUGUACUUUGGACUAAACUUGAACGUGAAAGGAAAUCCCAAAACCAUAUUGGGCAUGAAUUCACACUUAAUAUACCCAAUAAAAGAUGGCGACUGGUGAAAGGCAGUGGAGACUGGUGGAGAGAUUUGAGGAAUAGAAGCAGACGGAAAAGCAACAAAUUUUUGCCGAAAAACGGUCACUUUCAUGGUUAAUUUUGCUACUCUCCAAUUGUACUUGACCAAUUACAACAAUUUCAUGGAGUUUGAUACGUGAAAAGAAUUUUUUAUAAAUUUUAUUUUGAUCCAUAAUGUUAUCUUUACAUAUAUAAAACAUUUUACAAUUUUGAUUUUGGCGCAGUUAACUUUUGGUAAACAAAAAUGCUCAUGUUUAAAAAACCGGAAAUAAAACAAAACAAGAAACAAAAGAAAUAAGAGGGUAGCAUAGACAUUUUGGAUUUUUCCGUUAAUUUGGAUGAUUUCCACCCACGUUCUAAUUUAAUCCAAAACACAAAGGAAUUACGUAGAGGUUUUAAAUAAUGAGGGAGCUUCAUGAUCGAACCCCAAACCACAAGGCGAUUUACUAUAUUUUACUCUUAAAUUUUGGUUUCAUCUCAUAGCAUACAAGAGUUCUAUUUCACUAUCUGUAGACAAAGACUUUCUAUGGUUGAUGUACCAUAGGAAAAAAUCUGCCUAUACAACGUGAUAGCAUUUUUUCAAAAACACAAGAUGGAAAAUUGCCCCCUUAAACGGGGAAAUUCAUGAUCUUUCCUCGAACAAAGAAUACUCACGCCUAUUCAAGAUGGAAAAUUGCCCCCUUAAACGUCUAUUUGUCAAUUCUUGAAAAAAGAAUACUCACGCCUAAAACACGGCCUCUUCAUCUGCAGAAUUCUAAAAAGUUAGGUAAACUCUAUAAACAAGUUGAUAGGUACAAUCGUACCCAAGAUCAAGUACAGAUAGUUGUACAUUCACUGCUGCAAUAACUAAUCUGAUGACUUACAAACAUAUCAUGGUCAAUCGUUGAAUGGUAAUGAGUCUUUUGUUAUGCAUUAGUAUUAGUGUGUACACUCUAAUAGAUUGAUACUUAUACUCUUUAAAUUAUCAUAAUAAUACCCUUAAUUAACUUUAACUCUUAAAAAGAAUACGUGUUAAUACACGAGAGUGUGUAACCUGAAUUGUUACUUAUACAUUAGUGUGUAAUAGAUAGGGAUGGCAAUGGGGGCGGGUGCCCGCAGGCAACCGCCCCGCGGGGGGCUCUCGGGGCGGGGAGGGGGGAAUUUUUUCCCCCCGUUUAGAAACGGGGCAGGGGACGGGGGAGUAUACCCCCGCCCCAUCCCCCGCAAAAAAAAUUAUAUAUAUAUAAUUAUAUAUAAUAUGUAAUUUAAUUAGUUAUAAACUUAUGAUAAUGAUAUUAUUAGUUAGAUGUAUUAUAUAAUGUAUAUUAGUGUAUGUAAUAUAAUUAAUAUUAUCAAUUAUACGAAUAAUUAGACAUGUCUACUAAUAGAAUUUAUUAAUUAGUUAUACUAAAUUUACUAAUACAUUUAUACUAAAUUUCUAAUUACAUUUAAUAGAAUAACACUUUUUUCUAAAAAAAAAAGCACAAACACAAUAAUGAAUUAGUGAUUGUAUUUUUACCAAAAAUGAAAACUUAACUAUUUUAGUUGCAUUUAUUUCAUCAUGUUGGAUUGUAUUCAAAUAAUUUUUGUUUGAUUGUUUUUAUGAGUUUCAAUUGUAAAAUUAAAAUGAAUAAUAACUUGAUGAAUAAUAAUGUCAAUCGUUGAAUGGUGUGUACACUCUAAUAUUAUGCAUUAGUAUUAGUGUGUACACUCUAAUAGAUUGAUACUUAUACUCUUUAAAUUAUCAUAAUAAUACCCUUAAUUAACUUUAACUCUUAAAAAGAAUACGUGUUAAUAACUCUUAACCUGAAUUGUUACUUAUACAUUAGUGUGAAAUAGAACGGCAAGCAUUGAGCAACUUAUAGGAGAAAUAGUCCUAUAAGCUGUUGGAUGACUAAUAUAGCUCUAGCUGUAAUGUUUUAAUUAAAUUACAUCACUAACGUUGGGAUGACUAAUGGUUUAAAAAUAAUUGAGUAAUUGGAAAAAAAAAAAGAGACUAAUUUUCAUUGAAACCCACCGACAAACUAAACGUGUCCAUGGCUUUUGAAUAGUGCAUUCAACGUUUAAUUGUAUAGUCCAGUUCAUUGCAGAUUACAUGGAGUAAAGAUUGUGCUCUUUCCUUUUUCACCCCUUUUGGAAUCGAUACUGUGGAGAAUUGGGUUUUUCCCUUCUUUUUUUCUUUUCUUUCUUUCUGUGCUUUGCAAAACAUAGGUAAAAUUAUGAAAUCCGAAGCAUUCUUUAAUUGGGAUUAAGUAUUGUUCUUGAAAUUAAAAAGAAGAAAGAAAGAACAACAAAAUUCCCUGAUUGGUUGCAUCGUGCUUCCAUAGAAGCUCUCUUAGUGUGAUACACUGCUUUCAAUCAGUUUAACAUGGAAAAAAGAAAGAGAUGAAAAGCAAAUUUGGUGGGGAUAAUUUCAGAAACCUCCCCUGAAGAUUUUGACUAUUCUACUGGUCUCCCUUCAGAUUUUAAAAAUUACACUAAUCUUCCUUGAAGUUAUAACAUUUAAAUUCAAUCAAUAAUUUAAAAAAUGAUAUUAUGAAAGAGAAAAUAAUAUGAUUUUAUCAUUGCCCCCCAUCUUACUACAUUAUUUAAUUAAUUUAAUAGCAACCCACACAUUAAAGAAAAAUAUAAAAUUUGUUAUUUAUCAUUAAAGAUCAAAUCGCUUAUAACAUCAAAUAAUAGUAUAUUAUUUAUAUUUUUCACUUAACAUAAUAUCCAAAUUACUCUUUUCAAUUACAUACUCAUUGUUAGACAAUCAACAACAAAUAACCAAAAAAUUUGCAACCAAAAUAUUACAAAAAAAAAUAAACUUUAACAUCAUAAAUAUUCUUAUCAACAUAUUAAAGUUAGUUACUGAAAUUUUUAUGGUGUUAAACUUCACUCUUUGUAAUAUUUUGGUUACAGAUUUUUUUUGAUUAUUUUUUAUUAAUUAUGUUUGAUGAUGGGUUUGUAAUUGAAAAGAAUAAUUUAAAACUUACAUUAAGUGAAAUAUAUAGAGUGAUAUACUAUUUUUUAUAACAUAUGUGAUUCAAUCCUUCUUGAUAGGAUUGGUAAUAGAGGUAGAGGGGGGAGUCGGCUGCAUCCGGUCUUCUUUUCAUAGAUAGUACAAUAUUGCGAAAUCAAUCGCAUUCACACAAUAAUAUUUCGAAGUCAAUGCAUGGCUAAGUUGCAUAAAAGUACGAACACUUGUUAUUAUAUAGCUUAAGAUUCAAAACUUUAGAGCAUAACCCUCCACCUAACACAAUUGAAUAAUGAAUAUUCACGUUUGUCAAAUCUGUCAAAGCACAGUUUGAGGACAACCCAUUCCAACCUGCAAAAGAUUUUUUACUUUUCUAAAGUUGUUGAGAGCUGUAAAAAGACCUACCAUGCUUACAUCCUCCGAGCCUUGGGAGUUAAAAAUGAAGGCACUGAGUGCUAUAAAAAGGGGGCUAGAGGCUGCCUAGAAGCAUAUCAGCCUAAAACAAGAAUUUGUUGUUAUGAUGGGAAGCAAAGCAAAAGCAAUGGGGUCUGGGCUGACUCCUCUUCUUGCCACUGUUUUAGUGGUAUUUGUUGCUCUUGGCUUGCCCUCAGAAACAGCAGCUGAUGAUCACUACAAGUAUUCAUCUCCUCCUCCUCCUUACCACUAUCCCUCACCACCGCCUCCAGUGCAUUUACCUCCACCAGUGUACAAAUACAAGUCCCCACCACCACCUCAUCAUGUUUACAAGUACAAAUCUCCACCACCCCCACCACCACACCCAGUUUACAAGUAUAAGUCACCACCACCACCUCCUCAUCCGGUACCACACCCAGUUUACAAGUAUAAGUCACCACCACCACCUCCUCAUCCGGUAUACAAGUAUAAGUCUCCUCCGCCACCACCACACCCAGUUUACAAGUAUAAGUCACCACCACCACCUCCUCAUCCGGUACCACACCCAGUUUACAAGUAUAAGUCUCCUCCGCCACCAGUUUACAAAUAUAAGUCUCCUCCACCACCACCUCCAGUGUACAAGUACAAGUCUCCACCACCACCAGUUUACAAGUACAAAUCACCACCACCUCCUCCCCCAGUUUACAAAUACAAGUCUCCACCACCACCAGUUUACCACUACAAGUCACCACCACCUCCUCACCCAGUUUACAAGUACAAAUCUCCUCCACCACCAAUUUACCACUACAAGUCACCACCACCUCCUCCCCCAGUUUACAAAUACAAGUCUCCACCUCCUCCUCACCACUACUAAGCAAUUGCUUCUGAGGUAAUAACACUUGUUCAAUAACACUUGAUAGCCAGCUGAAUAUUUGCAGGCAAAGGAGAAGGAAACCAGUGUUUGAGACCUUCUUGAAGAUGUAGAAGCAUAAGAAUUAAAGCCCAAUGUGAAGAUGAUGAUUUCAAGUUUUUCUACGUUACCAUUUCAAUAUCUAAAUUGGUUGUAGCGCCUUAGUUCCUUUGUUUAUGGGAUUUGUAUCGUUUUACGUACCAUGCAGUACAUGUCAUGUUUGUAAGGUUUUCUAUCCUGCCGGCAAACCGCAGGUUCCAUGUAAUAAAUCAAUACUAUUUAUAUUACGACACUUUUCUCUGUUUCUCUUAUAUUUUGUCUUUAAUAUUCUUAAUCAUAUUUUUAACAAAAAUAUUCAAACACUUCAGCAAUGGUUCACCUAGUUGAUCAUCGAAGCAGAGGCAAUUCCAAUUAUUUAUCAAUAAAUAGGAUAUAACUACCAAACAAGCGAUGGCAGUUAACCCCUCCUUACUGUGUCGGUGAUCAAGGUACGCCCGUUAAUCACUGCUCUAAUUGAGAAAUAAUCCUAAGUACGCCCGUAGAAUUUAAUUCCCCAAUUGCCUUACAUAUUAGAGGAGCCCUAUUCUAACCAAAUAACGCACUAUCAGGGUUAUUUUAGAUUAGCCCGCGUAUUCCCCUGACAUAAAUCUAAUCAUGCCAGUUGUCAUUAUUUUGAGGUAAUUAAACAAUUACGGAUUUAACACCUCAAUUGACAAUAGAUUAUUAAAUUAAUUAAUUAUUCGGAUCCAAGACAAUCAAUUAAUUAAACAACCAUAAGCACUACAAUCAGAGAAUAUGCAAAUACCAAUAAAUAAAUAAAAAAUAAAAUUAAAUCGAUCUCACAAUUUUUAGGCGAAUCAGAGCAUCCGUUGUCCCUUGACUAGAGCAAGGAAAUUAGUUCAUAUUUGAUGAACUAAACCCAUACAAAAGGGAAGCGAGAAAUGCAGCCAUUAUCCUUUGAAAUCUGGAAAAUUCAACUUGUCCGAAUAUCGAAUAGAUAGUAAUACUACAAAAGGUAAUUCAUAGCUUCCCUUUCGUCUGACACACAAGAAGAAAAAAAAGGGCUGCUAAUAACUAAAGGAGGAAAAGUCAAAGUCCUAAGCUAUGCUACAAGACGAAAAACUAAAGAAGACAAAAAGGCAGUGCUCAUUCCCUGCAAUCUCAAUUCCUAUUCUAUCUAAGUGCUCUCCAAUGUGCGGCGGCUCCCCUUCCGGAGAGGACGAAGUGGCACCCUUUUUUCCUGCGCAAUUUUCCUAUAUAAAGUAGUGCUCCUUGCAGCGGCUCCUGUGCGAAAAAAUGAAGACUUCGGCCCAAUUUGCCUAACAAGGGCUCACGUUUUGUUGUUCUAAAAAUGUCCCUAGGACAAACUCUAUCAUCUGAACUCUUUUCUUGCCAAAUUAGUACCUGUUAUUAUAUUUUCGUUCUACUCCCUGAAAUAAAUGCAAAAUAUCAAAAGUGAGUAGAAUCUAGCAAUUAAUCCACAUUAGGUCAGGUAAUAGGGAAAAUUAAUAAUAAAAUAAAUGAUAAAAUUGCAAUCUAUCACGGGACCACUGUGGUAAGGUGUGUUUCGCCUAUUAUAAGGAGUUCGGAGAGUUAGACGUGUUGGAGGCGGAGGCGCGGUCACUCCUGCACGCCCUCCAGCUGUGUGCAGAUCGCGAGGUACGGGCGUUGACUGUAGAAUCUGAUUCAAAGGUGCUUGUUCAACUAGUUUGCUCGGAUAUGAGGUCGAAGUGGCCGGUGUGUAUCGUAUUGCGGGAAAUAAGACAUUUGAUCCGGCGGAUGGGUGCAUCCCUUCAUCAUAUAUUCCGUGAGGCCAAUUCGGUGGCGGACGCAUUGGCUUCUCUGCAAUUGGGAGGGCAGCAGUACUACACCUCAGGCGUGGCGCUGCCUUUCAGGCCCAGAGGAGAGGCUCUGCUGGAUCGUCAAGGAGUACCUCGCAUCCGUGAGGCGCUCACUAAGGUUUGAUAGGCUAUGUCCUCCUUUCAAAAAACUUAUUUCAUCUACUCCUUGUAAUCAUUUUUCUUAUCAAUAAAUUGAGGCUUUUUAUUUAAAAAAAAACAUAUAAUUUAAGGCAAAAAUAUGAUCCUAGCGAGUAUCGCACUGAGACAUUAGGAAACAUCAUUAAAAGAGUAUUUCUUGAGUUAGUGCAACUAUUUCUUAGGGGAAUUUAUAGUUACAAAAUUCAAAAAUUUGAGAUUCUAUUACUGAUUAAUUAAGGGCGUUAUCACUAUUUUUCUUAUUAUCACCAUUAUUUACCCCACAUACUAUAAGUUUUUUUAGGGCACAGGAAAAGAGGUGGGCCGAUGUUUAGUUAUGUACAAAAGUUCAAAAUUUGUAGAUAACUUAUCAUGUGCCCUUAGAGCGUAGAAUACAGAAAAAAUAUCUUAAACUAUAACUAAUCCUAAUAUUUUUCUCUAUGAUAAACUAGCUCUUAUCCAUUUCUUUAGAUGAUGAAAGGAAAUAGUUAGUCACCUGUCCUCUAGUGAUUACAACAGCAUCAAAACAAAUUAGCACUCUUUUCCCGUAGUUUAAAAAUCCCUCAGCCACUAAGAUUUUGCAUGUCGAACGAAUUAAGGAACAUAGAAGGUUCGUGCUGCACCACAGUGUCCUUGUUGACGAUGCAAAGACAGAAAUGCAUCCGCGUAUACUUCCUUAAGCAUUUUGAUUACUUUAUGAUUCGAACUUUUCUUGUCUGACAGCUGGACUUAAUUGAAAAACACAAGUAACAAUAUUUCAAAGUUGAUUCGUCAAAGUUUACCCAAUUGGUGAAACUUUCUUCAUAGAGCUGACUUUGUAUUAGGUGACAAUGAUAUGGAAUUGAUGUCCUUCCCUUUUUCCUUUUUUUGUGUUGAAGACGCACAACGUUUUCAAUGGCAAAUUUAUAUGGGCUUUUCACGACAAAAUGUGUUCUGAAAAGUUCAUUCCAGAGGUUAAAAUUUUGUGUGUUAAAAAUUUGCUUCUCAGGACUUUGAUGGGAAAGUCUUGGUGUUUCCAAAAAGUUUAAGCAGGAUGCUUCUGGCUUUCUCUCCAUGUAUUUGUGAGUUAGAUCUAAAAUUAUCAGGGCUCCAGAGAUCUCUUGAAAUCGCAGCAUAUAUUGAAGUCUUUCCAGAAGGAGUCUUUUUUUUUUUUUUUAUGAAUUAUGAUAGAUAAUUAAUCUGACGGUGCAUAUAUAUAUAUAUGUGAUUUGCAGUAGGGUGUUUGACGAAAUGGUUAGGCUUCCUAAGUAAUGAUAGGAAUGCCAUUUGCAAAGAAGGACAGGGGGCUGGUGCUGUCAUAUUUUAUGCGAUUUGAUCCGUUGUUGUAUAAGUUUAAACUUUUGACGUGCAAUUGUGCUAUAAUAUUAUACUAAAUAUAUGUGUGAAAUAUUUUGUCUAUAUACAUCACUUUUAUCAUGAAUACAACAGCUGAGUAUAAUAAUAUAGUAUAAUGUAAUUGUACACCAAAUAAUGUAGCAAAUAUAACAAUUGAUCCGAAUUACACGGAACCAUAACAACAAGAUCACCGCCUCCCAAAUUUUACAAAAUUAGGUUUUUUUUUUUUCUCUUAGAUUAUUGAAAAUUUUCAAAAAUAAUCUACAUAAUUUAAGCUUUUGUCCUACAAAAAUUUGAAGAGAUUUUACAUUACAAGCUUAAGCUUAGAUAUAUUAAACUUUGCCCCCAAGAUUAAUUUUCCGUUUUUAUCUAUGAACCGAUCCAUAUAGCUAGUUAGACUGUAGUCCUCACAUUUGUGGGAUUUAACACCCAAGAUUCUCCUUCUUGGAAUGUAAAAUGUAGAUCUUCUAUGUUAAUAAUUCAAGACCCUACUGUCAUAAACGAAAUGACUGAUCAACUCCUGUAAACCUAAUUUGACAACAUUUAAAUGGAGAACUUUAGCUAAAAGAAUUAUGGUCAAGCUAAAGAAAAAGCCAGUUAUUUUCCAACAUAUGCAAUCAUUGAUCAGGAAAAAAAAAAAAAAGCAAAAAGACAUCUUCAAUCAUUUAAUAGCUCACAGUGCAAAUUAACCCCUAAGCGAAAACUGGUUGCUCUAGAAUCAAAAUUUUACCUUAGUUACCCAGGCAACUUUUUUGUUGCUUUUUUUUUUUUCUUUUCCUUUUUGGGUAUAUAUAUAGCUCCAGUUUUGCCCCCUCUGUCAAGCUUAUAUAAUUAUUAAGAUAAUAAAAGUGCCUUGAAUAGUAUUAAUAUAUCCAUUGACUUGAGCUGUCAUCGAUCGGUUUGGGCUACUUCGAUUCCAUGAGAACAAAUGGUAAUAAAAGUACUCAGAAAAUAGGGAGCCAUGAAACCCUUUUGUUCUAUUCAUUGCUAAGAUGCUUUUCUCUAUAAAGAGACUUCCUAACGAAAGUACUUUGUAGAUUUCUUUACUCCAAGUGGUGCAUGGAAAAUUAAAAUAUUCAAUUAUCAAAUAAAAUUCCCUUUUUUCGGUGUAGAUUUCAUCCAUCCAGCUGUUAACACAUUUUAUGUAUCCGAAUUAUAUAUUCUCUACCAAAUAUUGUAACUUUUCUGAGCAUCUUUACAUUUUUAUUCCCACCUAACAAAUUAGUUGUUGAGCAUCUUUACAUGCUAUCGGAUCACAAGUUAAUAAUCUUUUAAAGAACAUGUUAAAUUAAUUUAUUGGUAUGAAUAGUCAAAGAAGUAUAUUAAAGUUAGUAAUCUUUAAACACCACGAUGCAAUUAAUACUUUCAAGCUCAAGGUCUUUUUUUUUUUUUUUUUUGGUACUGUACUUCCUUGCUUUAUAGUAUGCACGUUUAUUUCUGUGGAUUGCUUAAGCUUAUAUUGUUAAUAAUUGGGCAUUUAACCAUAAAUUAUAAUGAUUAUGAAGUCAUAUAUAUAUAUAUAUAUAUAAGAAAAUUACCACAAUUAUUCAAUUUUUUUUGCAAAUUCAAAUUUUAUUAAUAAGAAAUAGGCAGUAAGCUUUUACAAACGGAAAAAAAAAAUCCUACAACAACUCUAGGACCUUUGAAAGAAAGAAAAAAAAAAGAAAAGAAAAGCUUAAGGACUCUACCUCAUAGAAGCUAAACAAUCCUACAAAUAAACUGCAAAAUAAAUCACAAUAACGCAAAAUUUUUGUCUUUCUUCCGUAUGAAAUGAAACUACGAAGUCAAGAAUUGACUCCUUUAACCGCUAUUGCCAGCGGGCUCCGUCAGCAAGAUACAACUUUGCAAUUUGAUUCAAUAGAAAUCCUCAAAUAGCUAUUUUGACAGGCAAAUUAAGCAUUAAUUUUGGUAUCCCUUCAUAAAAUACAAGAGUACUUUUGAUUAUAUCUAUAGAUCAACUUUCUAGGCUAUUUUGAUGUAUUAUAAGAAAAUCUGCCUCAACAAUUUUGAUAGCAUUUUUCCAAAAGCAGAAGAUGGAAAAUUGCCCAUUUGUACUGGGGAGUUCGUGAUCUUUUCCUCCUUCUAGUCUACUUACAAUUCUUGGAAAAAGGAAUACUCACAUCUCAAACAACUGCCUGUUCAUCUGCAAUGUCCUGCCGAAUUCUAGAAAGUUAGGUGGCAAUGCUAAUUACAUUUCAAAAUUGACUGCUGCGAUGACUAAUUCGAUGGCUUACUACAUGGUCAACGUUUGGAUCCCUUCCUGUCCUUUUUGGAUGCACAUUUUUUUUCUCUAGGCAAUAUAUAAUCUCCCAACUCAUUUCUUUACAAAUGCACCUUUAAUCACCACCAAAAGGUGUGGACAUGAUCUUUACCCUAGAAAACUAAUCACCGACAGGCAAAUUGACGUCAGAAAUACUAAGAGGAAUUCUAGUUUCCUUCGGGUUAAUGCCAUUUUGUACCCUUCAACUGUAACUCGAUUUCUAAACUAUAAUUUGUGACAUUAUAGUCCUUAAACUAUGAAACCCCUCUUACUUAAGUACAAUGGUUAAUACAAUACCCGUGACUAGACAAGCAACCAUAACAAAAAAAAAUCCAAAAUUAGAGAAAAGAAAGAAGUUUCGCGACCAAAGUAUGUAUCAAGGCAUAGUAUAGAAAUAAAAGUGUCCAAAUUAAGAGUUUAGGGAUAAAAGAGAUCAAGAUAUAGUUUAGGGAUUGAUUUGUCUCAAUUAGAGUUUUGAUGUCAACUAAGAAGAGAGAUAUAGUUGAAGGGUAGAAUAUAGAUAUAACAGUUCAAUGAUUGAUAUCAACGAGACAAUGACAACUUUGGAUUAUUACCAACCUCUUCUUGAUGGGAAAAGGAAAUAGAGAAGAAAGUCGGGCCUGGUCUAAGCCUGCUUCGGAGGCAAAACAACAUUAUGAAAUCACCGGCAUUCACACAAAUAUGUCAAAGUCACCGGCAUGCUAAGUUGCAUAAUUUAUACAAACACUGAAUAAUAUAUUGUUCUUAAAAUUUUUGUUUAAGAUUUAACAAUUAGAGCACGGUACACGAAUUAGCAAUAUUAAAUAAUGAAUGUUCACGAUUGAUAAAGUUAUCAAAGUACAGUUUGAGGACAACCCAUUCCAACGUGUACAAGAUGUUUAGCCUUUGAAAAGUUAAUUAGAGAAGGUGACGAGAUUUUACUAGGCUUAAAUCUUCUAGGCCUCGGAAGUAAAAAAUGAAGGCCUUUGAGUGCUAUAAAAAGGGGGCUAGAUGUUGCCUAGAAGCAUAUCAGCCUCAGACCACAUUUUGUAGCAAUGGGGAGCAAAGCAAAAGCAAUGGGGUCUAGGCUGACUCCUCUUCUUACCACCGUUUUAGUGGUAUUUGUUGCUCUUGGCUUGCCUUCAGAAACUGUGGCUGAUUACUACAAGUAUUCAUCUCCUCCUCCUCCUUACCAUUAUUCCUCACCACCACCUCCUGUGCAUUCACCUCCACCACCGCCAAUUUAUAAGUCACCCCCACCACCUUACCACUACUCCUCACCGCCACCUCCAGUGUAUUCAUCUCCACCACCACCUUCGCCAGUUUACAAGUCUCCGCCACCACCUUACCAUUAUUCGUCACCACCGCCUCCGGUGCAUUCACCUCCACCACCACCUGUUUACAAGUCACCUCCACCACCUUCGCCAGUUUACAAGUCUCCGCCACCACCUUACUAUUAUUCGUCACCACCGCCUCCGGUGCAUUCACCUCCACCACCACCGAUUUACGAGUCACCUCCACCACCUCCUCCAGUUUACAAGUCUCCGCCACCACCUUACCAUUAUUCCUCACCACCACCUCCAACGCAUUCACUCCCACCACCAGUUUACAAAUCACCGCCACCACCUCCUCCUAUGUAUAAGUCCCCUCCACCACCUUAUCAUUAUUCCUCACCACCACCUCCAGUGCAUUCACCCCCACUGCCACCAAUUUACAAGUCUCCGCCACCUCCAAUCUACAAGUAUAAGUCACCACCACCUCCUCCCCCAAUUUACAAGUCACCACCACCACCUCCUCCAGUAUAUAAGUCCCUACCCCCACCAGUGUAUAAGUACAAGUCUCCACCACCACCUCCUCCAGUAUACAAAUCACCUCCACCACCUCCUCCAGUUUACAAAUCUCUACCACCACCAAUUUAUAAAUACAAGUCUCCUCCACCACCUCCUCCGGUUUACAAUUCCCCACCACCACCAAUCUACAAGUCUCCACCUCCACCCUCCCAUUACUACUACAAUUCUCCUCCUCCUCCUCCUCAUCACUACUAAGCAAUUGUAUCCAAGUUUUUGAGGUAAUAAUGCUAAACCAAUAUAUUAACUUUCGCAUGAUAAACUUUAUCUCUAUCAAGACAAACUGCCAUGUGCAUCAAGCCAAAUACGUACACUUCGAUCCAUGAAAAUGACAAGUAGAAGGUUUUCUUAAGAACCAAGGAACAGCAUUAGUAUUCCCUCUGUUUCCAAAACUUGUGUAUUAAAUAGAUUAAUGAAUUGUUUAACAUGCUUAUCUACUUGAAAAUGCACAAUACCCAUAACCCACUGAAAUUUUUGCAGGUAAAGGGGAAGAGAAUCUGUGUUUGAGAGCUUCAUGAAGAUGUUGAAGAAUAAGAAUAAAAGCCCAAUGCGAGGAUGUUUUCAAGUUUUUCUAUGUUUCCACUUUAAUUUGUAAAUUGAAUUUUUCGACUUAAUUAAUUCCCUGUUUGUGGGGUACGUAUUGUUUUACGUACCAUGCCGUACAUGUUUGUAAGGAUUUCUAUCCUAUUGGCAAAAGUCGGUUCCAUACAAUUAAUCAAUUCAUUUCACUUCUAUUGGCUCUACUAUUUAUGCACGUUACGACAUUUUUUCUCUCUUUCCCUUAUAUUUUGUCUUUAAUAUUAUUGAGUCAAUAGUAAUACUGGGCCAUUUUUUUUAAAACUUAUACUAGUAUACAUAGGUAGUUUGGUCUAACGCCAAAUUCAUGUUUGUCUUUCUUUUAUUCCCUUUACAUUUCAAAGUAUACUAUAGUUUGUGAUCAUUGUGGUGAUGAUAUUACCAGCUGGUACUUAUAGUUUAAGGCAGAGACAUGAUAUUAACAACUAUCUCAUUGAAACAUAAGGAAAAAUCAUGACAAGUGUGAGUCUUGGUUAAUGCACAAUUUGUUAGUGGAAUUUAUAUUUAUAAAACUCAAAAAAAAAAUUUUGACAAUGCUAUUACUAAUUAAUUAAGGACUUUAUUGCUAUAAUUUAUCGCUUGCUAGUUUAAACUAUAAAUGAUCUCAAUACUUUUCUCCAUGAUGUCGAUUUCUUUAGAUACGAAAGGGAAAAAUUAGUGACAUAUCCCUUACUGAUUACAACAUCAGCAAAAAUUAGUUAUAAACUUUUCCGGUGGUUUUAAAUCCCCGGGCCCUAAGAUUUUUUGCUCAUCGAGUGAAUUAAGGAACAUAGGCAAUUCAUUUUGCAUACCAAGUCCUUGUUUAAGAUGCAAGUACUAAAAUGCAUCCACUUCAUUAAUUUGGGAAAUUGCCAUAGUUUUUUUAAGCAUUUUGAUUUUUUACAUGAUUUAAAAUUUUCUUAUUGGAUACAAUCACUUUGUAUCAAGAACACAUUUUCAAUCACCUUUUUUUAUCUUCUCAAUGAGAAAAUAAAAAUUUAUUCAUGCUUUUCUAACAUAUUCAAUCAUUGAUCUGAAAAUUAAAACAUUAAGAAAAGGACAUUUUCAAACAUUAAGAAGUAGUAUUUUAAAGACCAUGAUGAAAUUAAUACUUUCAAGGUCUCUAUUAGGAAGACUUCCUUUAUUAAUACUCUACUAGGCAGAGUUAUAUGCACGUUUACUGUUUUGGCCUUAAGUUGGGUGCAGAUGCUUAUAUUACAAAUAGAUGGUAUCAAAAAAUUGUUGUAUUCACGUCUGUUCUUUUUUUCUUCCUUAAGUUUUUUUCUUUAUUCUCGUGACUUCGCUAGUGAGGUAUAACUUCACAACUAGAGUCAAUAGAAAUCGUCAAAUGAUUUUUUGACAUCCAAAUUAAGCAAUAAAUUUUGUUUUCAUUUCAUAACAUAUAAUAGUACUACUUCAUGGGAGAUUUUAUAGUUUCUUUAGGGUAUCAUACCUACAAUUGAUAUUUAUCAUUGGAUAGUGAAAGAAGUGUUAAUGUCUCUAAGAUUAAAUAUUGUUAAAUAUUGAAAAUUUGAACUAUUUAUCUCUAUUGAGAGAUACAACUUAAAGAAUCCUACCCAAAAGAGACUAGAAUUUUCUCUGUUUUUCAUCAUCUGUAGACAUAAACUUUCCACGGUUGAUAGCAUUUUUCAUCAUCUAUAAGGAAAUUUUGCCUAUACAAUGUGAUAGCAUUUUUCAAAAAGACAAGAUGGAAAAUUGCCCCCCUUGAACGGAAAAUUGCCCCCUUGUCAAUUCUUUAAAAAAGAAUACCGUCCCGCAGAAUUCUAGAAAGUUAGGCAAAACUAGACAAGUUGACAGGUAUAAUCAGACCCAAGAUCAGGAACAAGCAGUUGCACAUUUCAAAAUUCGCUGCUGCAACAACUAAUUUGAUGACUUACAACACUAAAUGGUCAAACUUUGAAUGGCAAUGAAUCUUUUGUUGUACAUCAUGAUGUAAUUUUCAUGUUACAUAAUAGAUUGAUAUCUAUGUUCUUUAAAUUAUCAUAAUAAUUAAAUUUAACUGAAAAAAAGAACACAUAUCAAUACACAAAAGUGUGCAACGUGAAUGUUAUUUUAGUGUAUUGCAGAAGACCUAUAGUCUCUUCAUAUCUCUUCCUGCACGUAUCAAUUCGUUUCCUCUAGAUAAUAAUCUCCCAACUCAUUUAUUUACAAAUGCACCUUUUAUGUUUUAUUACCUCCAAAAGCCUAAAAAUCAAUUCACCGACUCGCAUUUGGUAUCAGAAAUUCUUAUUACGAAUUCUACUUUACUCAAAGAUUGACUGUUAAUAAUGAGACAACGACCAUUUUGUAUUAUUACACCGUCCUUCUUGAUAGGCAAAAGAAAUAGAGAGGAAAGCGGGUCCGUAUAUGGUCUUUUAUUCAUAGAUAAUACAACAUUACGCCAUCGAGCAUUCACACAAUAUUUCAAAGUCAUUGCAUGCCUAAGGCCUGCUUGAUAAUCUAAUUCCGUACUUAAAUUUAAUAAAUUCAAAUCUUAACACAUUCAAAUCGUUUGAUAACAAAAAAUUGAACAUCUAAAUUAAUUAAGUAACACUGAAUUUUCUAGGCAAAACUUGCUCCCAAAAUUAAGUGAUAAGUUAUUCACUUAUCACUGAAUAUGAUAUGUAUUCAAAUGUAUUAGAUUUAAUACUUAAUAAUUUAAUGAAUUCAAAUUUCAUAUUUCAUAUUUCAGUUUUAUCAAACACACCUUAAGUUGCAAAAUAAUACCAAAACUUGUUAUUACAUAGCUUGAGAUUCAAAAAUUUAGAGCAUAAUUCUCAACCAAACACAAUUGAAUAAUGAAUAUUCACGAGUGUCAAAUCUAUCAAAGUACAAUUUGAGGACAACCCAUUCAAACGCGUACACGAUUUUUAACUUUUCUAAAGUUGUUGAGAGCUGUUGAAAGAGAUUUACCAUGUUUACAUCUUCCAAGUCUUGGGAGUAAAAAAUGAAGCCACUGAGUGCUAUAAAAAGGGGGGUAGAGGCCACUUGAGAUCCUCGGUGACAUGUUUUCUAUGCCAAUCCAAUGCCACCAAUAGUGUUGCGCCAAGUGUCAUGUUAUUAUUUACACUUGUGUUAAACUAAGCCAAGUUGAAUUAUUAGAAAAUUAAAGUGUAAAUAAUAACAUGACACUUGGCGCAAUACUAUUGGUGACAUUGGGUUGGCAUAGAAAAUAUGUCACCGAGGAUCCCAAGUGGAUAGAUGCUGCCUAGAAGCAUAUCAGCCUAAAACAAGAAUUUGUAGUAACAAUGGGGAGCAAAGCAAAAGCAACGGGGUCUAGGCUGACUCCUCUUCUUACCACUGUUUUAGUGGUAUUUGUUGCCCUUGGCUUGCCCUUGGAAACUGCAGCUGAUUAUUACAAGUAUUCAUCUCCUCCUCCUCCUCCUUACCAGUAUUCCUCACCACCACCUCCAGUGUAUUCACCUCCACCAACCCCUGUUUAUAAGUUACCCCCACCAUCUCCUCUAGUUUACAAGUCCUCACCACCACCUUACCACUACUCACCACCUCCUGUGUAUUCACCUCCACCAUCACCAAUUUACAAGUCACUGCCACCACCCCCUCCAGUAUACAACUCCCCGCCUCCACCAGUGUACAAAUACAAGUCCCCACCACCACCUUCUCCAAUUUACAAAUCUCCACCGCCACCAGUUUACAAGUACAAGUCACCCCCACCACCUCCUCCGGUAUACAAGUCUCCUCCGCCACCUGUUUACGAGUACAAGUCUCCUCCACCACCUCCUCCAGUGUACAAGUCCCCACCACCUCCAGUUUACAAGUACAAGUCACCACCACCUCCUCCCCCGGUUUACCAAUCUCCUCCACCACCAGUUUACAAAUACAAGUCACCACCACCUCCUCCCCCAGUUUACCAGUCUCCACCUCCACCCUAUCAUCACUACUACGGUUCUCCUCCUCCUCACCACUACUAAGCAAGUGCAUCUAAGUUUUGAGGUAAUAAUACCGAUCCAAAACUUUAUCAACGCAAACUGCCAUGUAUAUCAUGCUAAGGACGUACACUUGAUCCAUGAAAAUGGCUAGUAGAAGAUUUUUUUUAAGAACCAGAGAAAUACAUUAUUUUUUCGCUCUGUUUUCAAGAAUUUGAGCAGUAUACAGAUUAAAGAGUGUUUUUUUUAAACUUGCUUAUCAACUUAGAAAUGCACAUAGCUGAAAGCCAACUGAAUAUUUGCAGGCAAAGGAGAAGGCAAUCGGUGUUUGAGACCUUCAUGAAGAUGUAGAAGAAUAAGAAUAAAAGCCCAAUGCGAGGAUGAUUUCAAGUUUCUACGUUACCAUUUCUACAUCUAAAUUGACUUUAGCUCCUGAGUUCCAUGUCUAUGGGGUUUGUACUGUUUUACGUACCAUGCAGUACAUGCUUGUAAGGUUUUCUGUCCUGUUGGCAAGCCGCAGGUCCAUAUAAUAAAUGAAUACUAUUUAUAUUACGACACUUUUCUCUCUUUCUCUUAUAUUUUGUCUUUAAUAUUGUUGAUCAUUUUUUUUUUUUAUCAAAAGUAUCAAAUGCUUAGGCAAUUUGGUCUAAUGCUAAUUGUUUUACAUUUAUUUUUCACCUACAUCCCUUUUCAACUCAAAGGAUGCUACAGUUUGUGAUCAUUGUUUAAGACCGAAGCAUGGUACUAAUAAAUAUCUCAUUGAAAGUCAAGGAAACUAACAUUAUGAAAAGUGUAAAUCUUGAUUUGUGAAACUAUUUAUUCGUGGAAUUUAGAGAUACAAAACUCAAAUUGUGACGGUGUUGUUGCUAAAUUAUUUUUUUUUUAUAAUAAAACACAGUUCAUUCAAGGAUUACUGGAAAUCGUCCAGCACAAUUGAGAUACAUUGUUGCCCAGGUGGCAGAUAAAUAUGCACUAAAAUUAUAGAUAUGCAAUUUAACAAAUACAUAAGAUUUGAGAAAUUAAGGACAAAUCUAAAAAGGACCAUAAAUUUGAAAAACAUUUCAUCCUAGAAUAAGUCGCUGCAACUCUCUUUGUGCAUGCUGUAAUCGUCAGAUCUACUAAUCAACAGUUGUAAGGUCCAGUAAAGAUGGUGAGAUCUGCCGAGAUUGAUCCAAAUCUGAAAUAUUCCCUCAGAUCUGCUAUCCAAUUGGUUCAAACUCAAUACUGAAAGUGAAAUCUGAUGAGAAGACUGAAAAAAUUGUAGAUCUAACAUAUAGAUCUAAAAAAACUCCAAGAUUUGAAAAAGUAAAGAAACAAAACUAAAUAAAACUCUCAUUAAGAUAGUUUAGGAGAGACUAAAACUCUCAAUAGGACACCCUAGGAGAGAAGAAAACUCUCACUAGGAUAACCUAUGAGAGACUUUAUUGAAUGAAAGGAAAAGCAAAGGACAAAGGAAGAAGAAGGGAGACCUUGGCUUAAGGCCAAGGUCUCCCUCCUAUGGAGGAGGAAGGGUAGAGGAGGAAGCCUAGAGAGAAGGAAGAGAAUCCCUCCGCUAGAGGGAAGGAAGAGCCUCUGAGAGGGUACCCGUGUUGUUGCUAAAUUAUUAAGGACAUUAUCACCAUUACUUUUCCCUUACUAGUUUCAACUGCAAUGAUCUCAAUCUUUUUGUGACUAAUUCUUUUCUUAAUAAUUUAUAAAUACAAAACUCACAAAGAAUAUGUGACUUAUUCUUUCCUUUCGUCUUCUAAAGAAAAUGCCAACUGUUAGUUUAUCAAGGGAAAAAGGAUCGACAUCAGUUGUUAUUGAAACUAGUAAGGAAUAAAUAAUGGUGAUAAUGUCCUUAAUAAUUUAACAACAGCACCAUCAGAAUUUGAGCUUUGUAUCUAUAAAUUCCACGAAUAAAUAGUUUCAUCAAAUCAAGAUUUACACUUUUCAUAAUGUUAAGUUUCCUUGACUUUCAAUGAGAUAUUUAUUAGUAUCAUGCUUCGGUCGUAAACAACGAUCACAAACGAUAGCAUCCUUUGAGUUGAAAAGGGUAGUGAAAAAGAGAAGUAAAAAAUACAAUUAGCAUUCCCUCAAAUUGUAGAAAGUUAGGUAGCAUUAUAGACAAGUUGAUAGCCGUAAUUAUACUAAAAAUCAGGCAAAAGCCAGCAAUUUUACAUUUCAAAAUUCACCUAUUCAAUAACUAAUUCGAUGGCUUGCUACAUGGUCAAAAUUCACCACAUAUCCCUUUCCUCAAUCAGGGGCUUCUACAAUUACCAGUUCCAAUUGUAUGGUAUAGUGUAAAUAUCAACAAAUUAGAUGUAGACACUAAUAUAAUAAAUAUGGAUGCUAAGGCAACAACAUACAAAAACAUAAUAAAUUUUGGCAUUCCUUAAAAAAUUACGUCCCCAAAUCAAUCUCAUACACCCAAUUUCUAAUUUAUUUAACUCAUUCCGUCUAUUAACUGCACCAUACAAUCCAACCUGCAAUUGCAUGAACCCCAAUCUCGCUUCCUAGUCCACCAUUUUUCUCUAGGUAAUAAUCUCCCUUCUAAUUUCUUCACAAAAUGCACCUUUCAUCACCUCCAAUAGCGUCGACAUGAUCUUUACCCUAGAAGACUAUUCACCGACUCCCAAUUGACGUCAGAAAAUCUAAGAGUAAUUCUACUUUACCCUAAGAUUGAUAUCAACUAGACAAUGACAAUUUAGAAUUAUUACACGCCUCUUCUUAAUAGGAAAAAGAAAUAGAGAAGAAAGUCAGGCCAGGUCUAAUUUCUUUUCGAAGGCAAUACAACAUUACGAAAUCAAGCAUUCAUUCAUACAAAUAUUUCAUAGUCACCGGUUUGCUGAGUAGAAAAGUUUAUACAAAAACUUAAUAUUAUAUUGUUUAAGAGUUAACAAUUUAGAGCUUAAUCUCCUUGUACUUUGGACUAAACUCGAACGUGAAAGGAAAUCCCAAAACCAUAUUGGGCAUGAAUUCACACUUAAAUAGACCCAAAAAAAGAUGGCGACUGGUGAAAGGCAGUGGAGACUGGUGGUGAGAUUUGAGGAAUAGAAGCAGACGGAAAAGCCACAAAUUUUUGCCGAAAGAGGGUCACUUUCAUGGUUAAUUUUGCUACUCUCUACUUGUACUUGACCAAUGACAGGUUGUCAGUCUGUGCAAUAAUAAAAACCUGUUCAAACUAAAAGUAAUUUCUGUAGAUAGUGGUAAGCAGGGUCGAAUCCACAGGGAUUAGGUGUAACUGUUUCUUUUCAAAUUCACAAUAACAAAGGGGGUGUUUUUAUGCAGAAUGUGACAAUCAAAGAAAUUCAAUUAAAAGUAAAAUAAUAAAAAUAAAAUAGCCAACUAGAAAUUAAAUAACAAUUUACUAAAAUCAAAUGAGUGAUAAUUAAGGAUCUAGCCAAGGAAUAACUUCAGCAGUGGUUCACCUAAUUGAUCAUUGGAACAAAGGCAAUUCCAAUUAUUUACUAAUAAAUAGGUUAUAACUGCCAAACAAGCGAUGACAGUCAAUCACUCCUUACUGUGUCGGUGAUUAAGGUACGCCCGUUAAUCACUGCCCUAAUUGAGAAAUAAUCUUAGGUACGCCCGUAAGAUUUAAUUUUCCAAUUGCCUUACAUAUUAGAGGAGUGUCAGGAACAAGGAAAUAGAAUGGGACGUCGUUUAAUGCAAAGGGUUGUGCGUUUAAGGCCUUAGAAGCAAUACUACGUCGUUCUAAUAACAUAGGCGGUGCUGGUGUGAUAGGCCAAGUUAGUUGAGGGUCAAUUACAUAAAUAGCCUUCUGUAACAGAUUUUUGGUUAUGUUUUUGAAUGAAAAGUAUCUCGCUGCUUUCUCUCUCUUGUCUGUUAUUUCCCUCCCUUUUCUUCUUUCUCUCUUCCCUCUUCUUAAUCUUGUUUCUUUCUUCUGAUUCUUCCCCCAAAUUCAAUACAAUUCCAGAAAUUAACCUGCAAGUCUGACAUUUGGUAUCAGAGCGGUCGAUUCUUGGCCGCGAAGGUAUCAGAAAUGGCUGAGAGCACGCGAUUCAGGACACUGGAGGAGCAACUCAAGAAGCAGGAGAAUCGGUUGCAAGAACUGGCGGAAUCCAUGGCUGCACUGCAGAGUACGAGUUCCGAGGAGUUGCGGCAUAAGCUACAGGCGGAAAUGGAGCAGAACAAUGCAAAAUUGGACGCGGUGGUGGGAAGUCUGGACCAGAAGUUCAAUAAAAUGGAACAGAGACUCAGUACAGUGUUGAAGCUGCUGAUGAAGGAGAAAGGUCUCCCUGAUGUCGAAGGAGGAAUUUCUGAUCCAAUCUUGCCGACUCCUCCAUCUCAUCUGAGGUUAGCAUCCUCAGUCGAAGGGAUUGGGCACCAACAAGAGUACAGAGGUAGGCAAUUCACUCCUAAUGUACCUCGAUUAGAACUGCCAAUGUUUAACUCUGGAAACCCUAGGGAAUGGACCAGGAAAUGCCAGAAAUAUUUUUUGAACUAUCAGAUAGCAGAGAGUCAAAAGGUAGAGGUAGCAGAGAUGUUUUUGGAAGGUAGAGCUGACAAUUGGUUUCAAGGAGUGAAAUUGGUGAGGCCAGGGUUGUCUUGGGGGGAAUUUAGUGAACUUUUGUGUGAAAGAUUUUCUGGAAGUAGUUCUCGUGACAUUGUGGAGGAAUUUAACAAGUUACAGCAGAAAGGAACUGUUGAGGAAUAUGAGGAGAAAUUUGAAGAACUAAAAGCUCUAAUGCUGAUGAAAACCCCCAGGUUGGAUGAACUUUACUUUGUUUCCAGUUUUAUUAGUGGCCUCAGGGAAGAAAUUAGACCUAUGGUGAAGAUGUUUAAGCCUCAAACACUGAUGAAGGCCUUUGAAGUUGCGGAGUUGCAGGAGUGUUCCCUGGAAAUCCAAUCGAAACAAAACAGAACUUCAAGGAGGACAGCAAUGGAACCCAAGUUUGGAAUGUAUAAGGGCACUACGAGUGAUUAGGGUCGCCAAAAUUCAUAUAAGUUGCCUGGAGUCACUCCUGUCUCCAGGAGGACUAAUGCAGUACACAAGGAAUUUAGUAAGAUAUCAGCGGAGGAAAUGCAGUAUAAGCGUAAGCACAGCCUGUGCUAUAGGUGUGGAGAGAAGUUUGGAAUAGGUCAUCAGUGUAAGAAAGGAAGUCUGAACUGUGUGAGCACUGAGGAAGAGGAGGACACUGAAUUUGAGGAUGCGGAAGGGGAACAGGAUGAGUUAACAGGAAGGGUCGGGGAACUUGCAGAAGUCUCUUUGAAUGCUUUAUCUGGUGCCAUAAGGAGGAAAUCCAUCCUGUUGAUAGGGAACUUAGGGGGGCUUCCAGUCAAAAUUUUGGUGGACACAGGCAGUUCUAACAGCUUCAUUCACCACAGGAUUGUCAACCUACUGCAUCUACCAUAUCAGGCAGUCAGUCCAUUUACUGUGACUCUAGCAGAUGGAACUGACAUUACCAGUGGAGCCAUCAGUCCCAGCGUGUCUUGGUUAAUUCAGGACUAUCAAUUCCAAUUUGACUUAAAAGUAAUGGAAUUAGGGGGAUGGGAUAUAAUUCUGGGGGUGGACUGGAUGUGCCAGUAUAGUCCCAUUACAUUUGAUUUCCACUCUCUUAGCAUUGCCCUUAGUGAUAGGGGUUCUUUACUACACCUCCAAGGACUUGUGAAGCAACCUACUAUGGAACUGGUGAGGGGCAGGGAUCUCAGCUCGUUUAUACAGGAGAAGCAAAGAAACUGUGCAGCCAUGCAUGCUGAUAGGGCCAGGGAAACAGGAGAGCAGCUUCCAAAAGCUAUAGAAAGGAUCCUGGAACAGCACUCUCAGGUUUUCUCCACCCCAACAGGAUUACCCCCAGAGAGGGAAUUGGACCAUCAGAUCAACCUCAAACCAGGAGCUGAACCCUUCAAGCUCAAACCUUACAGGUACCCCCACUCACAUAAAGCAGAAAUUGAAAAAAAAGUUGCUGAGAUGCUCACUAAUGGAAUUGUUAUACAUAGCACAAGCCCCUAUGCCUCCCCUGUAUUGUUAGUAAAGAAAAAGGAUAACUCCUGGAGAUUAUGCAUAGAUUACAGGAAGCUGAACGAGCUGACUAUAAAGGAUAAGUUCCCUAUUCCCAACAUAGAUGAACUAUUGGAUGAAUUACAUGGAACCAGAUACAUGUCCAAACUGGAUCUCAGAGCUGGUUACCAUCAGUUGAGGGUGAAAGCUGUUGAUACCCCUAAGACUGCCUUCCAGACACACCAUGGCCACUUUGAAUUCUUAGUGAUGCCUUUUGGACUCACAAACGCGCCAGCUACAUUUCAGUCCUUGAUGAACAGAAUAUUUCAGCCAUAUCUCAGAAAGUUUGUCCUAGUCUUCUUUGACUACAUAUUAGUGUACAGCCCCACACUAGAGAUGCAUGCACAGCAUCUACAGAUUGUGCUCAAUAUUUUAGAAGAAAAUCAGCUGUAUUACAAGAGGUCAAAGUGCUCUUUUGCCCAGUCCUCAAUUGAAUACUUGGGGCACGUGAUCUCAGAGGCAGGAGUGAGUAUGGAUGUGGCUAAGGUGGAGUGUAUCAAGUCCUGGUCUGUUCCUAGUACAGUCAAGGAGCUGAGAGGGUUUUUGGGAUUAAUUGGUUACUACAGGAGAUUCAUUAAAGGCUAUGGAGUGAUUAGCAAACCCUUGACUGUAUUGUUGAAAAAGGAAGGUUUUGCAUGGAACCAUGAAGCUCAAAUGGCCUUUGAAGAUUUGAAAAAGGUUAUGACCACAGCCCCAGUGCUGAGCAUGCCUAAUUUCGAACUUCCUUUUGUCAUAGAGACUGAUGCCUGUGGAAUAGGUAUUGGAGCAGUGUUGAUGCAGCAAGGACAUCCUAUUGCUUUCCUUAGCAAGGCAUUAUCAGUUCAGAAUUUGGGGUUAUCAGUCUAUGAAAAAGAGCUUUUUGCCUUAGUGCUAGCUGUAACUAAGUGGAGGCAUUACCUGGUGGGUCAUCACUUCAUUAUCAGGACAGAUCACCAAGCUCUCAAACAUUUGAUAGAGCAAAGGCUUACUCAUCCACUCCAGCACAAGUGGCUAACUAAGCUACUUGGUUUGGACUAUGAAAUACAGUAUAAAAAGGGUGCAGACAAUGGGGUGGCAGACGCCCUCUCCAGGAGAAGGAUUGAGGGAAACACUGUUGACUGUGGAGAGACUGGGCAUCAGACCUGCGCCAUAACCUCAGCUCAGCCUAGUUGGAUGCAGGAAAUGCUAGAAAGCUACAUUGGAGAUGCAGAGGCUCAACAGAAGUUAUCUGAGCUAUUGCUGGAUCCCAAUGCAGAUCCAGAUUAUCAGUUAAAGAAUGGGAUGCUCAAGUUUAAAGGGCGGCUGUACAUAGGAUCUGCUAACAACAUUAGGACCAAGGUGGUCAGAGCAUUGCAUGACUCAGCCCUUGGGGGGCACUCAGGUCCUGGAAUCCGUAAGGAUGUCCUUCAAUAUGUGAGAUCUUGUGAUGUGUGUCAAAGGAACAAACAUGAAAAUGUUCCUUAUCCUGGGUUGCUGCAACCAAUUCCUGUACCUCAGCAGGCUUGGUCACACCUCACCAUGGAUUUUAUUGAGCAACUACCCCCAUCCCAUGGAUUUGAUACCAUUUUGGUGGUGGUGGAUAGGUUAACCAAGUUCAGCCACUUCAUUCGACUCACUCACCCUUUUUCUGCACAGCAGGUAGCACAGCUUUUCCUUGACAACAUAUACAAGCUGCAUGGACUUCCUGAGACCAUUAUAACUGACAGGGACAUAAUCUUUCUUAGUAAGUUUUGGCAAGAGUUAUUUGGUAUGGUAGGGGUAAAGCUGCACUACAGUUCAUCGUAUCACCCUCAAUCAGAUGGUCAAAGUGAAAGGGUCAAUCAGUGUUUGGAAAACUAUCUCAGGUGUAUGUGCAGUGAGCAUCCUUCUCACUGGAGCAGUUGGCUUCCUACAGCUGAGUUAUGGUACAACACUAACUUCCAUACUAGCUUGCAGGUGACACCAUUCGAAGCACUAUACGGGUAUAAACCAAAUCACCUUCCCUUAGGACCUUUUCAUGAUAGCCUGGUACCUGCUGCUGGUAACAUGGUGCAGACUAGGCUCCAAAUUCUAUCCCUCAUCAAAGAGAAUCUAGCCACCGCCCAGAAUCGAAUGAAAAUGUUUACUGAUAAGCACAGGACUGAACGUGUCUUCCAAGUGGGGGAUUGGGUAUUUCUCAAGCUGCAACCUUACAGGCAACAAUCAGUGGCCUUACGGAAGAAUUUGAAGUUGGCUGCCAAAUACUUUGGACCUUUCCAGAUCCUUGCGAGAGUAGGGGAAGUCGCCUACAGACUUAAGUUGCCAGAGGGAGCUCGAGUUCAUUCCGUGUUCCAUGUGUCCUUACUUAAAAGGAAAGUGGGAGUUACACAGCAGGUAAAGCCCAGCUUGCCAGAAGUAGACGCAUCAGACCAAUGUUUGCUGAAGCCAGAGAAGAUUCUCCAGAGGCGUGUUAUCAUACGAGCUGCCAAACCAAUCAUCCAGUACCUGGUGAAGUGGAACAACUUACCAGAAUCCGAAGCAUCAUGGGAGGAUAAAAGCUUCAUUGACAGACAAUUUCCGGAAUUUCAAGCUUGAGGACAAGCUUUGCUUAAGGGGAAGAGAUUGUCAGGAACAAGGAAAUAGAAUGGGACGUCGUUUAAUGCAAAGGGUUGUGCGUUUAAGGCCUUAGAAGCAAUACUACGUCAUUCUAAUAACAUAGGCGGUGCUGGUGUGAUAGGCCAAGUUAGUUGAGGGUCAAUUACAUAAAUAGCCUUCUGUAACAGAUUUUUGGUUAUGUUUUUGAAUGAAAAGUAUCUCGCUGCUUUCUCUCUCUUGUCUGUUAUUUCCCUCCCUUUUCUUCUUUCUCUCUUCCCUCUUCUUAAUCUUGUUUCUUUCUUCUGAUUCUUCCCCCAAAUUCAAUACAAUUCCAGAAAUUAACCUGCAGAUCUGACAAGGAGCCCUAUUCUAACCAAAUAACACACUACCAGGGUUAUUUUAGGUUAGCCCGCGUAUUCCCCUGACAUGAAUCCAAUCAUGCCAGUUAUCACUAUUUUGAAACAAUUAAACAAUUACGGAUUUAACGUCCCAAUUGACAAUAGAUUAUCAAAUUAACUAAUUAUCCGGAUCCAAAACAAUCAAUUAAUUAAAUAAUCAUAAGCACUGUAAUCAGGGAAUAUUUGAAUACCAAUAAAUAAAAAGAAAGGACAAAAUUAAAUCGAUUUCACAAUUUUUAAACGAACCACAACCUCAGUUGUUCCUCGGCUAGAUUGAGAAAAUUAGCUCAUGUUCGAUGCGAAAAAUCCACAAGAAAUUGUUAAGAGAGCCGCGGCCAUUGUCCCUUGAAAUUGGGGAAAUUCAAUUCGGUUGAACUACGAAAGAAAAGUAAGCUACAGAGAGUUGCCGAUUGGGUUUUGCUUGUCCCUAACAUGCGAGGGAGCAAAGCCACGAAAGGACGACAAAGGUCAAAAAGAAAGGCUACAGAGCAUGUUCCAGGUCUUUUUGUGCUCUCCACAUCCGAGCCAACGAAAAGAAAUAAAAAACUACCAGGAGCUAAAGGAAAACCGCAAGAAAAGUCAAAGGCUAAAAAAACUUCCUAGUGCUUGUUCUCUGCUUAUCUCUUUAUCUAAUUCUAAGUCCCCGAUUUUUUGCUCCGUGCGGCGGCUCCCCCGGAGAGAAAGGAUUGCAUCCGCUGCCCUCUUCCACCAAUUACCAAAAUGGGCACACCGCUUCUUUUUCAAAAAUGCUCCUGGAUAAACUCUAUCAUCUGGACUUUUUUUCUGUCAAAUUGACAUUUAUUAUUAUAUUUUCGUUCUACUCCCUGAAAUAAAUGUAAAAUAUUAAAAAUGAGUAGAAUCCGACAAUUAAUUCACAUCAGGUCAGAUAAUAAAGAAAAUUAAUAAUAAAAUAAAUAAAUAAAUUGCAACCUAUCAACCAAAUACAACAAUUUCAUGGAGUUUGAUACACAAGCCCAAAUACACGAGAGUGUGUAACCUGAAUUGUUACUUAUACAUUAGUGUGUAAUAGAACGGCAAGCAUUAUGGUGGUCAUUGAGCAACUUGUAGGAGAAAUAGUCCUAUAAGCUGUUCAAUGACCAAUCACAACUUGCUAAUUGGAUGACUAAUAUAGCUCUAGCUGUAAUGUUUUAAUUAAAUUCCAUCACUAACGUUGGGAUGACUUUUUAAUCAAAAAAAAAAAAGCCUUAGUUCAAGCUUUUCCCCUUAUUGUGCAUUUUUUAAAACAUUUGAUAGGCACUGCAAAUCUGUCAUUUUGGACAUUUUAUUAUUAACUAACAAUGAAAGCCGUGGACAUCAACCCAUAUCCAACAAAAUAUUAAAUUAAUAUUAGAAAAAAUUAUUAAGUAAUUGGAAAAAAAAAGAAGAGGCUAAUUUUCAUUGAAACCCACCGACAAACUAUACGCUGCUUUCAAUCAGUUUUAACACGGGAAAAAGAAAAGGCAUGAAAAGCAAAAUUUGUGGGGAUAAUUUCGGAAACCUCCCAUGAAGUUUUUGACUAUUUUACUGGCCUCCCUUCAGAUUUUAAAAAUUGGACUAAUCUUCCUUAAAGUUAAUUAUCUUGUAACAUUUAGAUCCGAUCAAUAAUUUAAAAAAUAAUAUUAUGAGAGAGAAAAUAAUAUGAUUUUAUUAUUGCCCCCAUCUCACCACAUUAUUUAAUUAAUUUAAUAGCAACCCACACAUUAAAGAAAAUGACAGGUCGUCAACCUGUGCAAUAAUAAAAUUAAACCUAAUUGCCAGUUAAAAUGACCAAAACCCAAUUCCAAGUACUGGAGCAGGGACUCUAGGUGUGCAAUGGGUUACUUGAUUCACCCUGUUCCCGAAGAGUUUGCUUGAUCCGAUAUACCCGAAUGGAAUGGUUAUUCCUUUUCACAAAUGAUUAGGAAUUUGUAGACAGGGCAAGUAGGGUCGUAUCCACAGAGACUGGGUAUAUUUGUUUCUUAAGAAAUCCAAAGUAACACAGGGGGUGAUUUUGUAGGAACGACGAUAAUUAAAUAAAUUCAAAUGAGAAAGUAAAAAUAAAUAAUUAACUAGAAAUUAAACCACAAUUUACUGAACUCAGGAUAACAAUAGUUAAAGGCCUCAAUUAAUUAAAAUAAGGAAACAAUCAAAAAUAAAAUAAAGUAGGUAAUUAAAAGUCAAAUGGCAAUCCACUACAAUCAAGGAAAUAUUAACUAAAGAUCUAGCCAAGAAAUAACUUCAGCAAUGGUUCACCUAAUCGAUCAUUGAUGCAAAGCAAUCCCAAUUAUUUACUAAUAAAUAGGUUAUAACUACCAAACAAGCGAUGGCAGUCAACCCCUCCUUACUGUGUCGGUGAUCAAGGUACGCCCGUUAAUCACUGCUCUAAUUGAGAAAUAAUCCUAGGUACGCCCGUAGAAUUUAAUUCCCCAACUGCCUUACGUAUUAGAGGAGCCCUAUUCUACCCAAAUAACACACUACCAGGGUUAUUUUAGAUUAGCCCGCGUAUCCCCCUGACACGAAUCUAAUCGUGCCAGUUGUCACUAAUUUGAGGUAAUUAAACAAUUACGGAUUCAAUACCCCAAUUGACAAUAGAUUAUCAAACCAAUGAAUUAUCCGGAUCCAAGACAAUCAACUAAUUAAAUAAUCAUAAGCACUGCAACCAAGGAAUAUGCGAAUACCAAUAAAUAAAGGAAAAGAUAAAAUUAAAUCGAUCUCACAAUUUACAGGUGACCCAAAGCAUCAGUCGUUUCUUGACUAGAACGAGGGGGUUAGCUCAUAUUGGAUGAACUAAGCCCGCGGGAAAUUCCAGCAAAAGUCACGGCCGUUGUAUGCAUUUCAAGAGCCGCAAUUCGUCAAACACUUGGAAAGCGAAUGUAAGGCACGGGUAACAAUUGAAACUUUCUAAUUGUUCCUAGCAUUCGUAAAGCAAAUUCACUCCAGAAGUACAGUGAGGAAAAGUCAAAGAAAGUGGGCUUCAAUUCCUUGCUCCUGACAUGCGUGGAGACAAGCCAAUGCAAGACUACAAUAAACUAACAAGGAAAAGUCAAGAAUUGGAGCUAAGCUCCCCUGCCAUGCGCAGGAAUCCCAAAAGUAAAAAGUAAAGCUUCAAAGAAAAGUCAACAAUUCUUCCUAAGCUACAGACGGAAGAUCCAGCACAAAAGCCAGCUCCCUUUUUGAUCCCUUUUUCCCCCUUCUUAUUGCGGCGGCUCACCAGGAGAGGAGAGCCCUCCGUCCGUCCUUUCUUCCGGAAAUUACCAAAAUGGGCAUGACAUCUUCUCUUCCAAAAGUGCCCCUGGGACAAGCUUUCUCAUCUGAAUUCUUUUUUUUUCCAAUUUGGCACCUGUUAUCAUAUUUAUAUUCUACUCCCUGAAAUAAACGUCAAAUACUAAAAGUGAGUAGAAUCCAGCAAAUAAAUCCACAUCAAGUCAGGUAAUAGGAGGAAUUAAUAAUAAAAUAAAUGAAUAAAUUGCACCCUAUCAAUUCCCUCCACACCUAAACCAUGCUUGUCCUCAAGCAUAAGAAAAGUAAACGAACACCAAAAUUCGACGAUAGCCAUUGCCCAAUCUCCUAUAUUGCCAAGACAUUCAAGAGAAAAACACAUAUCGAGCAUUGGUGAUUAGAAUCCCAGAAGCAUCCCCCCGGUUAGCCUCUAACCCCCAGAUUCCUUCAAUUUCCAACUUAACUACUCUAAGAAAGAGGAAUGGCACACAACAUUUAUCAGCUAGUGGUCCGAAUAUUCACACAAGUCUUCAUAUCCAAUCCAUAAACCGGCAAGCUUCCCUAUUAUUUAGUCUCUCUUUUUUUCCGUUUUUUUUCAUUUUCAUUCUUCCCCUCUUUUUUUUUUUUUUUUAAAGCAGUAGCAAUCAACACAAAAGACUUAGUCGUUAGCCGUCAGGGCCUUUUGAUGCGAACUCCAACAUUUUUAGAAGGAGGAGCCCGGUUACUCAGCUCCUACCGCUAUACGACCACGCACUCAUAUAAAAUACCACCUUUUGACGCGAGAAUCGACACUUUUAGGUGCCGAUCCCCGGUUACUCAGUAGUAACUUAAUAGCGGAGCACAGUCAAGCUUAUUCUCAGCCAAACAAUGCACAAACGCAAAAUAACAGCACUAACAAUCAAACAUAGGAGCAGCUCGCCUCAUUAUUGUCAAACAUGGAGAACUGGAGUCAAUAUUGGACCAGUUCACAUUAAAAGGCCAUAUUCAUUCCCUACGCCUAGAAAAGUUAACAAAGAAAUCGAAAGAGUCAAACAGUUAAAUAUUCACCAAGGGGAUAUUCAGGACCCAACCACACUAACCCGAUACAUUUUGUAUUUUAAAAACUUGGCAAAAGUAGAUUUGGAGUCAAUGAGUCCACAUCUCAAUUUUAGCCUUCACAUGAAAGGCAAUCACCAAGAAGAAAGAACGGAAAAAUAAGCAACUAGAAAUGAGACUACGAAAAACUACUAAAACUAAAAACUCACUUUUUUUCUUUUUCUCUUUUUUUUUCUUUUUGAAUUUUUUUUUCAUUUUUAUUUUUUUUUAUUUUUUUUAUUUUUUAAACAUUAACUAUAAACAUUAACUACUAAAAACUAAAAACUAAAACUACUAAAAACUAAAAACACUAAAAACUGCUAAAAUGAAAAGCUGAAAACUGAAAACUACUAAAAACGGAGCACACUAGCAUAACUUUAGAUCCCCCCCACACCUAUAGGACACAUUGUCCUCAAUGUGACAAAUAAGAACCAAAAGUGAAGCACAAGUGAGAGGGGAAUCAGCCAAACUUCCCUGAAAUCGGGUCACAGCGGAGGGCGAGGUGGAAAUGGAGGUGCAAAGCCUGUAUGCAUCAGGAACUGUGCCAAAUUCUGUGCUAUGCCGGCGACAUUGGCGUCGACGUUGGUCAUCCGGGCCUGCAAAUCCUGAACCAGCUCCCUGAGAUGCUGCCAAUCAUCGGUCCCAGGUGGUGGAGGUGGCGCAGAAGUAGAGGUAGACGGCCCAGCAGUGUCCGCGGCCGACCCAGGGAAUGAAGAUGGCCCUGCCCGGGCCGAAUGGUGUGCACCCGGGGCUCGAGGUGGUCCCGGACGGGUAAACUGGUGAAAACCAUCUGGCAGACGCUCGACGACCCCCAUUUUCUCUAAGCAAACUACGUCCAAGUGCUCCAUCUCAAAUGCCAAAUGGAGGUCGUGGUCAUCCAGGUUAAGAACUCCCAACUGGGUCGCCAAGUGAGUGAUGUAGGACCCAAGGAUCAGUGGUUUGUUCUUCUUGGUCAAGACCGUCUUGAACUGUGCGGCCAACCAACAUCCCAAGUUCACCUUGAUAUUGUUCUUCAUACUCCAGAGAAAGAAGAAUUCGGGCCGAGAGAGUAUACCGGAGCUGUCCUUGCGCCCCGAGUAGCUAUAAGCUAAGAAUCGCUGAACAUAGCGGGCGCUAGGGUCCUUAAGAAAGGAGCUCCUGGACCGGGAAGGAUCGUAGCGUUGCCUAUCGACGGACAUGUCCUCCCAUACAUCAUGGUAGUGGGAGAGGAAAGGCUCUACGUAGUCACAGGCACUCUCCGCAUACUCCCUAGUCUCAGCAUACUCUCUAGUGAUAAACCCAAAUGCCAGAUUGAAUUGAGUAAUGGAGAAAUUGAAUUCUCGACCCAUGAGCCGGAAAUGAAUGACAUUCGGUGUUUCACCCGUGUAUCUCGUAGGUAAUUCGAACUCAAAGGUGGAGUAAAACUCCCGGAUCAGCUCAACAAAAGCGGGACAAGAAAUAUGGAAAUAUGGGCGCCACCCAAUGGCUGUGAACAUUUGCUCAACCUCCUCCCGUAUACCCAGGGCAGUUAGAGAGAGUCUAUGACAAGACUUACAGGAUAUUAUACGCCUCUCGCAGACCUUAGCGUACCUCUGCCGAUCGGCGGGUCUGGUAAAUGUUAAGUGCCCCCCAAAAUGAACAGGUGCAUCUACCUGAGCACCCCUAUCCCUACCCAAACGGGUUCGAACACUAGAAGAGGAGGGUAGGUUGGUAGGUGAGUUGACAGGAAUAGAGGCUUGUGGAGGGGGUUGAGACUGAGAGGUCCUAGACCUAGAGGAGGAUUUCGGUCUCACCAUUCCCCCCAAAGUAAGUUCAAGGCAACAGAAAAUCCGACAAGUAUAGAAACCAGCAAUUGACAAAGCAAAAAUCUCCCAGUAGUAACCCAGCCAAUAGCAAACAAAAGAGUUCCAGCAAGUAAUCAACAAGCAAUUCAGAAAUAUCUCAACUAAAAUCUCAAGAGAAACCCCAGCGAGUUAUCCAGCAAUUCAAGCAAUAUCCCCAAGCAAUGUGGUGGUCAAAAUGUCAUCUCCAAAUUGAACAAAUAAUCAGAGCAUUGCAACACAUUGAAAAUCUCAAUAAACGGCUCCAGUUGGCCAAGAAAAAUUGCUAACUCAUACUCAGCAAUAGUAGUGCAGCAAAGGGACAGUAACCACGCAAUAAAAACACUUAGCUUGCACUCAAAUGGUCACCCCAAAUAACAACCCAGUAUGAAACCCGCAGGCAGAGUAUUCCUCAAACCGUUAGCCUAAACCCAGUCAACAACCACGGCCAGAAAUAACCCCAUAAAUAGUGCAAUGAGUAAUCCCCAGCAACAUAAUCAGGUGUAAUCAACUGGAGCAAGCAAUUUACAUGGCAUAGAAACCUCCCAAUCAAACAAGUGCAUUAUUCUAGCGCACCCCAAAAUUCCAAGAAAUGGCUCCAGUUGGCCAAUUAAUUUCACAAUGUCACCCAACUCAGGAGAAAUAGCAAUUCCACACAAAAAUAGUCAAACCAGUACCACUGGCGAAAAAUCUUUCAAAUAUGCACAAUUUGCUACCAAAUAUCACCGGCUAACACUGAAAAAUUGAGGGCAAGUGUCAAAUACCUCCACAGGGACUACCCCAGGCGGCAGACAGAGAAGCGGCGUUGAAGCUGGUGGUCGAGCGGGGCGGCGCUCGCGUCGGCGUGCGCAGCGGCGACGGCGCGCGAGGAUGGAGUUUCGGGAGGUUGCGUGCGGGCUUGGCUGAAGACGCGGCGCGCGCUAGGGCUUCGCUGCGGCAGGCGUGCAGCAGGGGAGAAGAAAGAAAAGAGAAAGAAAGAAAGAAAAAGAAAGGAAAGAAAGAACAGAAAAGAAGGAAAAGAAAAAGGAAUUUUUCUUUUUUUUCUUUUUCUUUAGGCUACGGUUUAGAGGACAAAUUUUUCUUCUUCUUGUUUUCUACUUUUUUAUUUUUUUAUUUUUUAGUUUUUAAUUUAUUACUAUUAUUAUCAUAUUUAAUUGAGGAAAAAAAAUGUUUUUUUUUAAAUCCCUACCUUUCCCACGAACGUGACGCGGGCACGUCAAGAGGGCAAGAGAGCUCCCAGAAGUUUCAGAAUUUUCUGAUCGUAAGCGUCCUGCACAUCACCACGCGGGCACGUCAUGAGGACAGGAGAGCUCCCAGAAGUUCAGAAUUUUCUGAUCGUGAGCGCCCUGCACGUCACCACGCGGGCACGUCAUGAGGCCAGGAGAGCUCCCAGAAGUUUGAAGUUUCUGAUUCCUGCCCGUCAUCACGCGGGCGCGUCAUGACUGAAGGUCACCUACAAAUCAGCAAAAACGAAAACUAACACCCAAAAUCAGUCAAAUUCAGGGAAAGCAGAUUUAAACUAUGCUACAAAACCAACAAACAAUUAAAAGAAAUAAUUAGGUUGCCUCCCAAUGAGCGCCUUUCUUUAAUGUCUUUGGCUAGACAUGGUAAAGUGUCACUGAUUAGGACACGGUGGUGCGUCAAGCCUUAUUGUCUCCACCUCUCUACCUGAAAAUCCUUCGUAAUAAUAUUUGAGACGGUGUCCAUUCACCACAAAUUUGUUGUCUGUCUUAGCACUCUGGAUCUCAACUGCACCAUAGGGAAAAACAUGAGUAACAAUGAAAGGUCCAAUCCAACGGGAACGUAGCUUACCUGGGAAUAGCUUGAGCCUGGAUUGGUACAGGAGGACCUUCUGACCAACUUCAAAUGUUUUUCUUGAAAUUUGUUGGUCAUGAAAUGCCCGGCUUUUCUCCUUAUAUAUCAAGGCGUUUUCGUAUGCUUCGUUCCGGAUCUCCUCCAAUUCUUGCAAAUCCAACUUCCGUUGAGCACCGGCCUCCUCUAAAUUCAUAUUGCAGUGCUUUAUCGCCCAAAAAGCCUUGUGCUCGAACUCCACUGGAAGGUGACACGGCUUCCCAAAUACCAACCUGUACGGUGACAUCCCAAUAGGAGUCUUGUACGCCGUCCGAUAGGCCCAGAGUGCGUCUUCCAACCUUUGGCUCCAGUCUUUUCUAUCAGGGCGCACCAUUUUCUCUAAAAUGGACUUAAUCUCCCGAUUCGACACCUCCGCUUGACCAUUGGUCUGAGGGUGGUAUGACGUUGAGACCCUGUGGAGUACACCAUACUUGCGAAACAACGCAGCUAUGGUUUUGUUGCAAAAGUACGUUCCCCUAUCACUGACAAUAGCUCUAGGCAUUCCAAACCGCACAAAGAUAUUAGACCUGAUAAAAUCUGCAACUACUCUCGAAUCAUUAGUUCGAGUGGCCUUAGCCUCCACCCAUUUAGACACAUAAUCAACUGCCAGCAAAAUAUAUAAAAAACCAAAUGAAGUAGGAAAAGGCCCCAUGAAAUCUAUACCCCAGACAUCAAAAAUUUCAACAAAAAUCAACGGGACCUGGGGCAUUUGAUCUCUACGGGCUAUAUUACCUACCAUUUGACAGCGAUCACAUGACUUACAAAACACAUAGGCAUCUCUAAACAAUGAAGGCCAAUAAAAUCCACUUUCUAAAACCUUAUGAGCAGUUCUCUUAGGUCCAAAAUGACCUCCACAGGCAAAAGUAUGACAAAAAGCUAAAAUUGAUUGAAAUUCCAUUUCACUUACACAUCUCCUCAUCACUUGAUCGGCACACCUCUUCCAUAGGUACGGGUCAUCCCAGAUAAAAUACUUGGCAUCGCUCUUCAAUUUAUCCCUCUUCGAUUUCGGCCAACCUGCAGGAAAAUUACCAGUUACCAAAUAAUUGACCAAAUCAGCAUACCAAGGCAACUGAGAAUUUAAGAAAAAUAGGUAUUCUUCGGGGAAUGCAUCCUUCAAUGGCUCGCUAUCCUCUUCAACUAGUAUGCGACUCAAAUGGUCCGCUACUAGAUUUUCUGAGCCUUUUUUGUCCCUUAUCUCCAAGUCAAAUUCCUGUAGGAGCAGUAUCCACCGUAUGAGCCUCGGUUUUGCAUCUUUCUUGGUCAUCAGGUACCUCAAUGCUGCAUGAUCAGAAAAUACAAUCACUUUAGCACCUAACAAGUAUGACCUAAAUUUUUCCAAAGCAAAAAUAACUGCCAGAAGCUCCUUCUCAGUGGUGGAAUAAUUCAACUGGGCUCCAUUCAAGGCCCGGGAUGCGUAAUAGAUGACAUGAGCCGCCUUGCCUAUUCUUUGCCCCAGUACAGCCCCAACAGCGUGAUCACUGGCAUCGCACAUGAUCUCAAAUGGCAAAUUCCAAUCGGGGGGUUGGAUGAUUGGGGGUGAAGUCAGCAAUUCCUUCAGCUUGUUAAAGGCUCUCUCACACUUAUCAUCAAAUUCGAAGGCUACAUCUUUUUGUAGGAGUUGGAACAACGGGGCUCCAAUCUUUGAAAAAUCCUUGAUGAACCUUCGAUAAAAACCUGCAUGUCCAAGAAAAGAGCGCACCUCCCGCACACUCGCGGGGUAAGGUAAUGCAGAAAUAAUGUCUAUUUUAGCCUUGUCAACUUCUAUGCCCUUAGACGAUACAAUAUGACCCAGGACUAUUCCGUGCUCAACCAUAAAAUGACAUUUUUCCCAAUUAAGCACAAGAUUAGUCUCUAUACACCUGAUCAGGAUUAAUUUCAGGUUAUCUAGACAAGUAUCAAAACUAUCACCAUACACACUGAAAUCAUCCAUGAAAACUUCUAUUAUUUUCUCAACAUACUCGGAAAAGAUGCUUACCAUACAUCUUUGGAAAGUCGCAGGUGCAUUGCACAACCCAAAUGGCAUUCGUCUGUAGGCAAAGGUCCCGAACGGGCACGUGAAGGUUGUCUUCUCUUGAUCCUCCGGGGCAAUUGCUAUCUGAAAGUAUCCUGAAAAUCCAUCCAAAAAGCAAUAAUAAGCCCUACCAGCUAAACGUUCAACCAUUUGGUCAAUGAAAGGGAGAGGGAAAUGGUCCUUUUUGGUGACGGCGUUUAGCCUACGGUAAUCUAUACAUUGCCUCCAUCCAGUGGGUUUGCGCACUGGCACGAGCUCACCAGUUUGGUUGGCCUCUACCGUCACUCCUGCAUUCUUUGGGACUACCUGGACCGGACUCACCCAAGGGCUAUCAGAUAUUGCAAAAAUGAUGCCCACAUCUAGCAAUUUUAGAAUCUCUUUCUUUACGACUUCCAUCAUGAGGGGAUUGAGCCUUCUUUGAGCCUGCCUAACAGGUUUGGCAUCGUCUUCCAGCCUAAUCCGGUGCAUACAAAUGGCCGGGCUGAUCCCCUUAAUGUCUGCGAUUGUCCAGCCUAUUGCCUCUUUAUGCUCCCGAAGGACCCGGAUCAAUUUCUCUUCCUGGGUCUUUGACAGUGCCGAUGAGAUAAUCACUGGGAGUGUCUCAUUAUCACCUAGGUAUGCGUAUUUCAGGUGCUCUGGUAGAGGUUUCAACUCCAGUACAGGUGCCUGCACCACAGAUGGCAAUACCCUCUGGUGAGCCUUGGGAGUAAAAAUAGGUAAGACUUCAUACCUUUUCGUGGUGGUCUGCAACGAGUGUAAUGCACCUAUUGUGCAUUUUAAAUCCUCGCUCCACUCCACCUCAGGAGUUGUCUCCAACUCGAGGUGCUUGGUUAAAGCCACCUCCAGCUCAUCCCUGCCAUCAGUUUCAAACACUUCCUGCACUACAGGGUCAAUAGCACUCACAGAAAAAACUGAGCUAAAGUUGGAGUUAGAGGGGUACUUCAUAGUAUCAAAAAUAUUAAAAUGCACAAUUUACCCAUCAAACUCCAUGGACAAGGUACCCUUAUUAACAUCAAUUUUCGUCUGCGCAGUGCUCAUAAAAGGUCUACCCAAUAACAAAGGUGAGGGAUCAGGGGAGUGAUCAUCAUCCAUAUCUAGUACAUAAAAAUCAGCUGGAAACACCAAAUCAUUAACCUUUACCAACACAUCUUCAAUCAACCCAUCAGGAUAUGCAUUAGUUCGGUCAGCUAAUUGAAUAAUUAUUCCAGUUUCUUUUAAUGGACCUAGUUUCAAAGAAGCAUAGAUAGAUUUAGGCAUGACAUUAAUUGAUGCUCCCAGAUCCAGCAUGGCCCUUCUGAUCACAGUAUUACCUAUCUUACAGGGAAUAGUAAACAUACCUGGGUCCCCGCACUUUGGUGGGAGCUUUCUCUGCAGGACCGCAGACACAUUUUCUCCAACUAUGACCCGUUCAUCUCCCCUCAACCGCCUUCGGUUGACACACAAGUCCCUUAGGAACUUGGCAUAUUUUGGUACUUGUUUGAUGGCGUCUAAGAGGGGGAUAUUUAUCUCAACCUUGCGAAAAACCUCCAAGAUCUCCUUCUCCUUAUCCUGCUUCUUCGAUUUUUCCAACCUGCUAGGAAAAGGAGGCGGGUUAGUUUUAACUGUAAUUAUUGGGUCAGGAAGUACCUCUGGAUCUGCACCAUUGCUGUCCUCCCUUUCGAGCUCAUUUUCGAUCUUCUCUUCAUCCUUGUCCUUGGGAAUCACAGGUUCAGGCCCCUGAAUUUCUUUCCCACUCCUUAGGAUCAUUGCGCUCACGUUCUUCGGAUUCAACUCCGGUUGAGAUGGCAGCUUCCCUUGGUUCUGGGACUCCCAACGGUUCAUUCUGGUGGCCAAUUGACCUAUCUGAUUCCUUAUGUCCUGCAUUUCGGAGUCCGUCUUUUGCUGAUUUUGCAUAAUAGCUGCCUCCGUCCUUUGCUGAUUCUGCGCCAUGGUUGUCAUCAUUUGUUUCAGCAUCUCAUCCGUAGAUGAACCAGAUUGAGGGAGCGGAGGUGGUCGGGGUUGGUAUUGCUGCUGGUACCCUGGUGGCUUAUUUGGCACAAAGUUAGACUGCCUGUUUGGCGUGAAGUUGGAUUGCCUAUUUCCACCAUAACUGAGGUUGGGAUGAUCUCUCCACCCGGGGUUGUAGGUGCUUGAGUAAGGGUCGUACUGCUUCCUUGGCGCGGGCGCGUGGUCAGCCAUGUUCACCUGUUCCGCAGUUUCUUCCUGAAUCAUUGGGCACAUGUCUGCAGAGUGACCUAUACCAGUGCAAAUCCCGCAUACCCUGGCUUGUGAUGCAUUUCUCACAGCCUAUUGCCUAACGAACGCAGUCAACUCAUUUAGCUGCUGCUGCACAGAGGGUGUCUCUAUCUCAUUCACCCUACGUAUUGGGACAUCCUAUCUUGUACUGAAUUGCUGUGAAUUCUCUGCCAUCCCCUCUAUUAACUCCCGUGCUUCCUGAGGGGUUUUGUUCACCAGUGCCCCUCCACUUGCAGCAUCAAUGAUGCUCCUGUCUCUAAAAAUGAGCCCCUCAUAGAAAUAUUGUAUGAUCAACUGCUCACUUAUUUGGUGAUGGGGGCACCUGCGCAACAAGCUCUUAUACCGUUCCCAAUACUCGUAAAGUGACUCCUCGGGAUGCUGCUUGAUCCCACAAAUUUCUUUCCUUAGACUCGCAGCCCUGGACGCAGGAAAAUAUUUAUCCAGAAAUUUUUUCUUCAAUUGGUCCCACGUGGUGAUGCUACCUGGUGACAGGUAGUACAGCCAGUCCUUCGCAGAAUCUUUCAAGGAGAAGGGGAAUGCCCUCAUUUUUAUCUGCUCUUCUGUGAUUCCCGGGGGUUUCAUACUGUUGCAAACGACAUCAAACUCCUGCAGAUGCUUAUACGGCUCUUCACCUGGUAAACCAUGAAAAGAGAGUAAAAGCUGAAUCAGACCAGAUUUUAGUUCAAAUGGAAUGUUGUCAUUUAAAGCUGGGAAAGUAAUGCAUAACGGCUGCUGAGUUAAAUCAGGAGCAGCCAACUCCCUUAAUGUUUAUGCAUUAGCCAUGGUGCCUUCCUGCUGGUCAGAGUCACUCGAAGUGUUACCAAACGAAUCUGUUGGUUCAACUUCUGACUCGGGUCUUUGAGAUGUAGCACUAGAGUGCUCUUCUCUGAGCUGUCUGGUUUCCUUUCUCGUUCUACGCGCGGUCUUCUCUACCUCAGGAUCAAAAACCAAAUCACCUGUGCGACAAGAUCGAGGCAUACACUAGAAGAAAACCAGAAAAUUAGGACAAAAUUGAAUUUAAGAAGAAACAAAUAAUAACGCCAGUCCCCGGCAACGGCGCCAAAAAUUGACAGGUCGUCAACCUGUGCAAUAAUAAAAUUAAACCUAAUUGCCAGUUAAAAUGACCAAAACCCAAUUCCAAGUACUGGAGCAGGGACUCUAGGUGUGCAAUGGGUUACUUGAUUCACCCUGUUCCCGAAGAGUUUGCUUGAUCCGAUAUACCCGAAUGGAAUGGUUAUUCCUUUUCACAAAUGAUUAGGAAUUUGUAGACAGGGCAAGUAGGGUCGUAUCCACAGAGACUGGGUAUAUUUGUUUCUUAAGAAAUCCAAAGUAACACAGGGGGUGAUUUUGUAGGAACGACGAUAAUUAAAUAAAUUCAAAUGAGAAAGUAAAAAUAAAUAAUUAACUAGAAAUUAAACCACAAUUUACUGAACUCAGGAUAACAAUAGUUAAAGGCCUCAAUUAAUUAAAAUAAGGAAACAAUCAAAAAUAAAAUAAAGUAGGUAAUUAAAAGUCAAAUGGCAAUCCACUACAAUCAAGGAAAUAUUAACUAAAGAUCUAGCCAAGAAAUAACUUCAGCAAUGGUUCACCUAAUCGAUCAUUGAUGCAAAGCAAUCCCAAUUAUUUACUAAUAAAUAGGUUAUAACUACCAAACAAGCGAUGGCAGUCAACCCCUCCUUACUGUGUCGGUGAUCAAGGUACGCCCGUUAAUCACUGCUCUAAUUGAGAAAUAAUCCUAGGUACGCCCGUAGAAUUUAAUUCCCCAACUGCCUUACGUAUUAGAGGAGCCCUAUUCUACCCAAAUAACACACUACCAGGGUUAUUUUAGAUUAGCCCGCGUAUCCCCCUGACACGAAUCUAAUCGUGCCAGUUGUCACUAAUUUGAGGUAAUUAAACAAUUACGGAUUCAAUACCCCAAUUGACAAUAGAUUAUCAAACCAAUGAAUUAUCCGGAUCCAAGACAAUCAACUAAUUAAAUAAUCAUAAGCACUGCAACCAAGGAAUAUGCGAAUACCAAUAAAUAAAGGAAAAGAUAAAAUUAAAUCGAUCUCACAAUUUACAGGUGAUCCAAAGCAUCAGUCGUUUCUUGACUAGAACGAGGGGGUUAGCUCAUAUUGGAUGAACUAAGCCCGCGGGAAAUUCCAGCAAAAGUCACGGCCGUUGUAUGCAUUUCAAGAGCCGCAAUUCGUCAAACACUUGGAAAGCGAAUGUAAGGCACGGGUAACAAUUGAAGCUUUCUAAUUGUUCCUAGCAUUCGUAAAGCAAAUUCACUCCAGAAGUACAGUGAGGAAAAGUCAAAGAAAGUGGGCUUCAAUUCCUUGCUCCUGACAUGCGUGGAGACAAGCCAAUGCAAGACUACAAUAAACUAACAAGGAAAAGUCAAGAAUUGGAGCUAAGCUCCCCUGCCAUGCGCAGGAAUCCGAAAAGUAAAAAGUAAAGCUUCAAAGAAAAGUCAACAAUUCUUCCUAAGCUACAGACGGAAGAUCCAGCACAAAAGCCAGCUCCCUUUUUUAUCCCUUUUUCCCCCUUCUUAUUGCGGCGGCUCACCAGGAGAGGAGAGCCCUCCGUCCGUCCUUUCUUCCGAAAAUUACCAAAAUGGGCAUGACAUCUUCUCUUCCAAAAGUGCCCCUGGGACAAGCUUUCUCAUCUGAAUUCUUUUUUUUUCCAAUUUGGCACCUGUUAUCAUAUUUAUAUUCUACUCCCUGAAAUAAACGUCAAAUACUAAAAGUGAGUAGAAUCCAGCAAAUAAAUCCACAUCAAGUCAGGUAAUAGGAGGAAUUAAUAAUAAAAUAAAUGAAUAAAUUGCACCCUAUCAGAAAAAUGCAAAAAUUUGUUAUUUAUCAUUAAGGAUCAUAUCGCAUAUAACAUCAAAAAAUAGUAUAUUAUUUAUAUCUUUCACUUAAUAUAAUAUCCAAAUUACUCUUUUCAGUUACAUACCCAUUGUUAGACAAAAUCAACAACAAAUAACCAAAAAAUUUGCAACCAAAAUAUUACCAAAAAAAUAAACUUUAACAUCAUAAAUAUUUUUAUCAACAUAUUAAAGUUAGUUAUUGAAAUUUUUAUGGUGUUAAACUUCACUCUUAGCAAUAUUUUGGUUACAGAUUUUUUUGAUUAUUUAUUGUUGAUCGUGUUUGACAAUGGAUUUGUAACUGAAAAGAAUAAUUUGAAUCUUACAUUAAGUGAAAUAUAUAAAAUAUUAUACUAUUUUUUAUGGCAUAUGUGAUUCUUUUUUUUUUUUUUAUCAGAACGGCAACAUUGUAUUAAUAGUAAACCAAUUACAGUAUAGGUGGGCAACCGCCCUCACAAUCUGCCUGGACUUGUUCCAGCAGCCAAACUGGGAAGUUUUCCUUCCAUUCAGUAUUUUGUUCCAAAGUAAUAGCUACUUUAGCUAGUUUAUGGCUAACAAAGUUGUUCACCCUAUUUGCAAAGGUAAAACAACAUUCAUCAAAUUUUAUUCAUGUACAAUUGUUGCUAUCACCACGUCCUCCUCCUCCUCCUCACUGCACACUACUUGACUACCACCCUUCGCCAACCUUGCUGUUGCAUGUGCAACUAUCAUGGCCUCUCUUAGCGCCUUUGCUUCUUCGACCUUUGGACUGGCACAGCUAAAAUUUGGAACAGCCCAGGCCCACCCGCAAUCUUCCCAACCAAUCCCUGGCCACCCUUUUCCCACCCAGCUUCUAUGGCAUGUGUGAUUCAAUCCUUCUUGAUAGGAUUGGUAAUAGAGGCAGAGGGGGGAGCCGGCUGCAUCCGGUCUACUUUUCAUAGAUAGUACAAUAUUGCGAAAUCGAUCGCAUUCACACAAGAAUAUUUCGAAGUCAUUGCAUCGCUAAGUUGCAAAAAAGUACAAACACUUGUUAUUAUAUAGCUUAAGAUUCAAAACUUUAGAGCACAACCCUCCACCUAACACAAUUGAAUAAUGAAUAUUCACGAUUGUCAAAUCUGUCAAAGCACAGUUUGAGGACAACCCAUUCCAACCUGCAAAAGAUUUUUGACUUUUUUAAAGUUGUUGAGAGCUGUAAAAAGACUUACCAUGCUUACAUCUUCCGAGCCUUGGGAGUUAAAAAUGAAGGCACUGAGUGCUAUAAAAAGGGGGCUAGAGGCUGCCUAGAAGCAUAUCAGCCUAAAACAAGAAUUUGUAGUUAUGAUGGGAAGCAAAGCAAAAGCAAUGGGGUCUGGGCUGACUCCUCUUCUUACCACUGUUUUAGUGGUAUUUGUUGCUCUUGGCUUGCCCUCAGAAACUGCAGCUGAUGAUCACUACAAGUAUUCAUCUCCUCCUCCUCCUUACCACUAUCCCUCACCACCACCUCCAGUGCAUUUACCUCCACCAGUGUACAAAUACAAGUCCCCACCACCACCUCAUCAUGUUUACAAGUACAAAUCUCCACCACCCCCACCACCACACCCAGUUUACAAGUAUAAGUCGCCACCACCACCUCCUCAUCCGGUAUACAAGUACAAGUCUCCUCCGCCACCUCCUCAUCCGGUACCACACCCAGUUUACAAGUAUAAGUCACCACCACCACCUCCUCAUCCGGUACCACACCCAGUUUACAAGUAUAAGUCUCCUCCGCCACCAGUUUACAAAUAUAAGUCUCCUCCACCACCACCUCCAGUGUACAAAUACAAGUCUCCACCACCACCAGUUUACCACUACAAGUCUCCACCACCUCCUCCCCCAGUUUACAAAUACAAGUCUCCACCACCACCACCACCAGUUUACCACUACAAGUCACCACCACCUCCUCCCCCAGUUUACAAAUACAAGUCUCCACCACCUCCUCACCACUACUAAGCAAUUGCUUCUGAGGUAAUAACACUUGUUCAAUAUACCCACUUCUGCAUGAUAAAGCAUAUCUCUAUCAACACAAACUGUCAUGUCUAUCAUGCUAAGUGCCUUCACUUCAUCCACCAAAAUGACUGCUAGAAAAUUUUUUUUAUGUUACCAAAGAAAGGCAUCAUUUUUUCCCUCUGUUAUCAAGAACUUGUACAGUAUAUAGAUUAAAGAGUAUUUUUUUAACUAGCUUAUCAACUGAGAAAUGCAUAUAGCUGAUAGCCAGCUGAAUAUUUGCAGGCAAAGGAGAAGGAAACCAGUGUUUGAGACCUUCUUGAAGAUGUAGAAGCAUAAGAAUUAAAGCCCAAUGUGAAGAUGAUGAUUUCAAGUUUUUCUACGUUACCAUUUCUUUAUCUAAAUUGGUUGUAGCGCCUUAGUUCCUUUGUUUAUGGGAUUUGUAUCGUUUUACGUACCAUGCAGUACAUGUCAUGUUUGUAAGGUUUUCUAUCCUGCCGGCAAACCGCAGGUUCCAUGUAAUAAAUCAAUACUAUUUAUAUUACGACACUUUUCUCUGUUUCUCUUAUAUUUUGUCGUCUUUAAUAUUCUUAAUCAUAUUUUUAACAAAAAUAUUCAAACACUUAGGCAAUCUGGUCUAAUGCUAAUUGUAUGUUUUACUUUUCUUUUUCACCUGCUCCCCUUUUCAACUCAAAAGGAUGCAAUAGUUUGUGAUCACUGUUGAAGACGGAAGCAUGAUACUAAUGAAUAUAUCAUUGAAACUCAAGGAAACUAACAUUAUGAAAAGUGUAAAUCUUGAUUUGAUGCAACUAUUUAUUCGUGGAAUCUAUAGUUACAAAACUCAAACUCUGACUGCGCCAUUGAUAAAUUAUUAAUGACGCUAUCAUCAUUAUUUAUCCCCAACUAGUUUCGACUACAACUGAACCCAAUAUUUUCCCCAUGAUAAAAGUUUUUUACUAUUUUACUGGCCUCUCUUCAAAUUUUAAAAAUUACACUAAUCUUCAUUGAGAUUAAUUAUCUUGUAGCAUUUAAGUCCAAUUAAUAAUUAAAAAAUAAUAUUAUGAGAGAGAAAAUAAUAUAAUUUUAUCAUUGCCCCCCAUCUUGCUAUAUUAUUUAAUUAAUUUAAUAGCAACCCACACAUUAAAGAAAAAUACUAAAAUUUGCUGCUUUUCAUUAAAGAUCAAAUUGCAUAUGCCAUAAAACAUAGUAUAUCAUUCUAUAUGUUUCACUUAAUGUAAGAUCCCAAUUGUUCUUUUCAAUUACAAACCCAUUGUCAAACAUGAUCAAUAACAAAUAACCAAAAAAUUUGCAACCAAAAUAUUACAAAAAAAAACUUUAACAUCAUAAAUAUUCUUACCACCUCUAGUGCAUUCACCCUCAUAAAAUAAUUCAAGACCCUACUGUCAUAAAAUGACUGAUCAACUCCUGUAAACCUAAUUUGACAACAUUUAAAUGGAGAACUUUAGCUAAAAGAAUUAUGGUCAAGCUAAAGAAAAAACCAGUUAUUUUCCAACAUAUGCAAUCAUUGAUCAGGGAAAAAAAAAAGAAGCAAAAAGACAUCUUCAAUCAUUUAAUAGCUUACAGGGCAAAUUAACCCCUAAGCGAAAACUGGUUGCUCUAGAAUCAAAAUUUUACUUUAGUUACCCAGGCAACUUUUUUUGUUGCCUUUUCUUUUUCUUUUUUGGGUAUAUAUAUAGCUCCAGUUUUGCCCCCUCUGUCAAGCUUAUAUAAUUAUUAAGAUAAUAAAAGUGCCUUUAAUAGUAUUAAUAUAUCCAUUGACUUGAGCUGUCAUCGAUCGGUUUGGGCUACUUCGAUUCCAUGAGAACAAAUGGUAAUAAAAGUACUCAGAAAAUGGGGAGUCAUGAAACCCUUUUGUUCUAUUCAUUGCUAAGAUGCUUUUCUCUAUAAAGACACUUCCUAACGAAAAUACUUUGUAGAUUUCUUUACUCCAAGUGGUGCAUGGAAAAUUAAUAUUUUCAAUUAUCAAAUAAAAUUCCCUUUUUUCGGUGUAGAUUUCAUCCAUUCAGCUGUUAACACUCCGAAUUGACUAAUCUUUUCGUUUCCAUUUUCCAACUUGCGAAUACGGCAUCUUACAUAUUGUCUGCUGAAUAUGAAUACAUAUCCCUUUUCUGAGCAGGUGCAGAGUCAUUAUCAUUUUUAUUCCCACCUAACAAAUUAGUUAAUAAUCUUUUAAAGAACAUGUUAAAUUAAUUUAUUGGUAUGAAUAGUAGUCAAAGAAGUAUGUUAAAGUUAGUAAUCUUUAAAAUAAUAUGUUAAAAUUAUUCGUACAAAUUAGCCAGAGAAGUAGCAUAAACACCGCGAUGCAAUUAAUACUUUCAAUCUCAAGGUCUCUAUUAUGGAAAUUUGCAUCGGUCAACAUACACAAAGCAUUAUUGUAUGCACGUCUCUCUAUUAUGGAAAUUUGCAUAGGUCAAUAUACACUUGGCAUAGUUGCAUGCACGUCCAAUUUUUUUUUAUUUUUAUUUUUGGUAUUUUACUUCCUGCCUUAAGUUGCCUGCAGAUGUUUGUAUUACAAAUAUAUGGUAUACUAAAUAUAUAGUAUGCACAUUAAUUUCUUUGGGUUGCUUAAGGGUAUAUUGUUAAUAAUAGGGGGUUUAACCAUAAAUUAUAACAAUGAUGAAGUAAUAUAUAUUAGAAAAUUAACACAAUUAUGAUUUUUUUUUUUGUAAAAUUCAAAUUUUAUUAAUAAGAAAUGAAAUAGGCAGUAAGCAUUUACAAACCGAAAACAAAAUCCUACAACAACUCUAGGACUCUACACCUUAUUAAAAAAAAACAUUUUGAUAGCGUUUUUCCAAAAGCAGAAGAUGGAAAAUUGCCCAUUUGUACUGGGGAGUUCGUGAUCUUUUCCUCAUUCUAGUCUACUUACAAUUCUUGGAAAAAGGAAUACUCACAUCUCAAACAACAGCCUGUUCAUCUGCAGUGUCCUGCCGAAUUCUAGAAAGUUUGGUGGCAAUGUUAAUUACAUUUCAAAAUUGACUGCUGCGAUAACUAAUUCGAUGGCUUACUACAUGGUCAACGUUUGGAUCUCUUCCUGUCCUUUUUGGAUGCACAUUUUUUUUCUCUAGGUAAUAUAUAAUCUCCCAACUCAUUUCUUUACAAAUGCACCUUUAAUCACCACCAAAAGGUGUGGACAUGAUCUUUACCCUAGAAAACUAUUCACCGACAGGCAAAUUGACGUCAGAAAUACUAAGAGGAAUUCUAGUUUCCUUCGGGUUAAUGCCAUUUUGUACCCUUCAACUGUAACUCAAUUUCUAAGCUGUAAUUUGUGACAUUAUAGUCCUUAAACUAUGAAACCCUUUCUUAUUUAAUUACAAUGGUUAAUACAAUGCCCGUGACUAGACAAGUAUGAAGCAACCAUAACAAAAAAAAAAUCCAAAAUUAGAGAAAAGAAAGAAGUUGCGACCAAAGUAUGUAUCAAGGCAUAGUAUAGAAAUAAAAGUGUCAAAAUUAAGAGUUUAGGGAUAAAAAAGAAUCAAAAUAUAGUUUAGGAAUUGAUUUGUCUCAAUUAGAGUUUAGAUGUCAACUAAGAAGAGAGAUAUAGUUGAAGGGUAGAAUAUAGAUAUAACAGUUCAAUGAUUGAUAUCAACGAGACAAUGACAACUUUGGAUUAUUACCAACCUCUUCUUGAUGGAAAAGGAAAUAGAGAAGAAAGUCGGGCCUGGUCUAAGCCUGUUUCGGAGGCAAAACAACAUUAUGAAAUCACCGGCAUUCACACAAAUAUGUCAAAGUCACCGGCAUGCUAAGUUGCAAAAUUUAUACAAACACUGAAUAUUAUAUUCUUCUCAAAAUUUUUGUUUAAGAUUUAACAAUUAGAGCACGGUACACGAAUUAGCAAUAUUAAAUAAUGAAUGUUCACGAUUGAUAAAGUUAUCAAAGUACAGUUUGAGGACAACCCAUUCCAACGUGUACAAGAUGUUUAGCCUUUGAAAAGUUAAUUAGAGAAGGUGACGAGAUUUUACUAGGCUUACAACUUCUAGGCCUUGGGAGUAAAAAGUGAAGACACUGAGUGCUAUAAAAAGGGGGCUAGAUGUUGCCUAGAAGCAUAUCAGCCUCGGACCACAUUUUGUAGCAAUGGGGAGCAAAGCAAAAGCAAUGGGGUCUAGGCUGACUCCUCUUUUUACCACCGUUUUAGUGGUAUUUGUUGCACUUGGCUUGCCUUCAGAAACUGCAGCUGAUUACGACAAGUAUUCACCUCCUCCUCCUCCUUACCAUUAUUACUCACCACCACCUCUUGUGCAUUCACCUCCACCACCGCCAGUUUAUAAGUCACCCCCACCACCUUAUCACUACUUCUCACCACCACCUCCAGUGUAUCCAUCUCCACCACCAUCUGUUUACAAGUCACCUCCACCACCUUCGCCAGUAUACAAGUCCCCACCACCACCUUAUCAAUAUUCCUCACCACCACCUCCAGUGCAUUCACCUCCACCACCACCGAUUUAUAAGUCACCUCCACCACCUCCUCCAGUUUACAAGUCCCCGCCACCACCUUACCAUUAUUCCGCACCAUCACCUCCAGUGCAUUCACCUCCACCACCACCGAUUUACAAGUCACCUCCACCACCUCCUCCAGUUUACAAGUCUCCAUCACCACCUUACCAUUAUUCCUCACCACCACCUCCAGUGCAUUCACCCCUACCACCACCGGUUUACAAGUCUCUGCCACCACCUUACCAUUAUUCCUCACCACCACCUCCUAUGCAUGCACCUCCACCACCAAUAUACAAGUCACCUCCACCACCUCCUCCAGUUUACAAGUCUCCACCACCACCUUACCAUUAUUCCUCACCACCACCUCCAGUGCAUUCACCCCUACCACCACCAGUUUACAAGUCUCCGCCACCACCUUACCAUUAUUCCUCACCACCACCUCCUGUGCAUGCACUGCCACCACCAAUUUACAAGUCACCUCCACCACCUCCUCCAGUUUACAAGUCCCCACCACCACCUUACCAUUAUUCCUCACCACUACCUCCAGUGCAUUCACCUCCACCACCACCGAUUUACAAGUCACCUUCACCACCUCCUCCAGUUUACAAGUCUUCACCACCACCUUACCAUUAUUCCUCACCACCACCACUCUUCAAUUUGGAUGUAAUUCAAUUUUCCUUGUAAUCGGUGGCCCUCCUUCGGAAUCCAAAUAGUCAUUGAGUGCAGCCUUCUUUCUUUAUUUUUUACUCAUUUUCACCUCAUAAAUUGCUUUCAUCCCCUAAAACUUGUUCGCUGGAAUUUUGAAUUUACCCAUACAACUAAACUCAGAAAAUUCUUACACAAAGGGAUUAGUAGCAUGAAUAGCAAACACAGAAUAAGAGAUAACAGUAUGUUUUAUUGUAUUAAAAAUAUUAAAGUGGAUUAUUUCUCCAUCGAAUUCCAUUGUGAGAGUAUCGUUACUAACAUCAAUCUUAGUUUGAGCAGUACUCAAGAAUGACCUUCCUAAUAUAAUGGGUGAUGGAUUUGGGACACUUUCAUCAUCCAUAUAAAACACAUAAAAAUCAACAGAAAAAAUUAAUCCAUCUACUUGAACUAAAAACAUCCUCAACUACCCCAUUUAGAUAAGCAAAUAUACGAUCAGCCAAUUGAAUUAUUAUCCCUAUUUCUUUUAAAUGUUCUAAAUUUAGGGAAUCAUAAAUUGAUUUAGACAUCACAUUAAUAGAAAUCUUUAAAUCUAUCAUGGCAUUUUUUAUAUUAGAAUGUCCAAUCUUACAUGAGAUAGUAAACAUACCUAGAUUCUCGCAUUUAGGUGGUAGUUUCCUUUGUAAAAUUGCUGAAACGUUCUCAUCUACCACAAUAUGCUUGUCCUCCUCAAUUUCUUCUUGUUGACACACAAGUUUUUCAAGCAUUUAACGUAUUUUGGAACUUAUUUGAUUUGCGUCCAACAAAGGGAUAUUGAUUGCCACCUUGCGAAAAUCUCUAAAAUCUCCUUUUCUUUAUCUUGUUUCUUUGAUUUCUCUAACCUGCUUGGAAAAGGUGGUGAGUUAGUUCCAACUCUAAUUAUAGAAUCAACAAUUACCUUUGGAUUCACAUUUCUCAUUCCUUCCUCCUCAAGCUCUUUGUCGAUUCGAUCUUCAUUUUUAUCCUUUGGAAUCACAACUUCGGAUCCCUGAAUUUUCUUCUCGCUCCUUAAGGUCAUUACACUUACAUUCUUCAGGUUCAGUUCAGGUUGAGACGACAAUUUUUCAUAGAUUUGGGAUUCCAGGCGGUUGAUUGCUAUUACCAUCUGACUCAUCUGACUCUGCAGUGCUUGCACCUGUCCCAAUUGAUUCCUCAUACUUUGCAAGUCAAAAUCCAUCUUUUGUUGAUUAGCAAUUAAUUGCUUCAUUAUCUCUUCUAUAGAUGGACUUGAGUUUGAAAGAGGUGGUGGCGGGCGAGACUGAUACUGUUAUUGAUACCCUUGCUAUCUAUUUGGUGCAAAAUCUGGCUACCUAUUUCCUCCAUAGCUGAGGUUGGGAUGAUCUCUCCAACCAAUAUUGUACGUAUUCGUGUACGAGUCGUAUGGUUUUCUUGGCACGGCGCGUGACCAGCCAUGUUCACUUGCUCCGUACUUUUCUCUUGAAUCAUUGAGCACAUCUCUGUAGAAUGACCCAUAGCAGUGCAGAUCCCACACAUCUUGACUCGUGAUGCAUUUCCUAUAGCUAAUUGCCUAACAAAGGAUGUUAAUUCGGUCAACUGCUGUUGGAUAGAAUAUGUUUCUACCUCAUUUACUUUGCGUGUUGGGGCAUCCUCCCUCGUACCAAACUGUUGCGAAUUUUCCGCCAUUCCUUCAACUAGCUCCCACGCUUCUCGAGAAGUCUUGUUCACCAAUGCCCUUCUACUUGCAGCAUCAAUUAUACUCCUGUCUCUAAAACGCAGCCCCUCGCAAAAAUAUUGGAUGAGCAAUUGCUCACUUAUUUGGUGUUGAGGGAACUUGAUGCAUAACUUCUUGAAUCGCUCCCAAUAAUCAUAAAGCGACUCUCCUGGAUGCUACUUGAUACCGUAUAUCUCCUUCCUUAGACUUGCAGCUCGAGAUGCAAGAAAAUAUUUGUCCAAGAACUUUUUCUUCAGCUGAUCCCACGUGGUGAUGCUACCUGGUGGUAGAUAGCACAGCCAGUCUUUUGCGGAGUCCUUCAAGGAGAAGGGAAAUGCCCUCAUUUUUAUCUAUUUUUCUGUAAUUCUCGGAGGUUUUAUGCUGUUGCAAACGACAUCAAACUCUUGCAAGUGCUUAUACGGUUCCUCACCUGGUAAACCAUAGAAAGAUGGCAAGAGAUGAAUUAGACCAGAUUUUAACUCAAAUGAAGUGUUAUCAUUUAAAAAUAGAAAAGUAACUGAGAUGCAGCACUGGAAUGUUCUUCUCGAAAUUGUCUGGUCUCUUUCUUUGUUCUACGCGUAGUCUUCUCUACCUUAGGAUCAAAAAUUAAUUUACCUGUACGAGAAGAACGAGGCAUACACUAGAAAAACACUAGAAAAUUAGAACAAAAAUGAACAUAAAAAGAAACAAAUAAACCAACGUCAGUCCCCAGCAACGGCGCUAAAAAUUGACAAGUUGUCGAUGCCUGUGCAAUAAUAAAAAUAAACCUAGUUACCAAUUAAAAUAAUCAGAGCCUAAUUCUGAGUACUAGAGCAGGGACUAUAGGUGUGCAAUGGGUUACUUGAUUCACCCUAUUCCUGAAGUUUGCUUAACCCGAUAUACCAGAAUGAGAUUGCUUAUUCAAAAGGAAUUAUUGAUUUGUAAACAGGGCAAGUAGGGUCGUAUCAUCAGGGAUUGAAAAAAUUUGUUUCUUUUCAAAUCCACAGUAACAAGGGGAUGUUUUUGUAUAAAUGAUAACAAUCUAAGGAGUGCAAAUAGAAAUAAAUAGAUAACUAGAAAUUAAAUGACAAUUCACUAAAAUUAGAGUAAUAAUAAUUAAAGGUCUAGCUAAGAAAUAACUUCAGCAAUGGUUCACCUAAUUGAUCAUCGACGCAAAGGCAAUUCCAAUUAUUUACUAAUAAAUAGGUUAUAACUGCAAAACAAGCAAUGACAGUCAACCCCUCCUUACUGUCGGUCGGUGAUUAAGGUACGCCCAAUCACUGCUCUAGUUGAGAAAUAAUUUUAGGGACGCUCGUAAGAUUUAAUUUUCCAAUUGCCUUACGUAUUAGAGGAGCCAUAAUCUAACCAAAUAACGCUACCAGGAUUAUUUUAAAUUAACCCGUGUAUUCCCUUGAUACAAAUUCAAUCAUGUCAGUUGUCACUAUUUCAAGGUAAUGAAACAAUUACGGAUUUAAUAUCCUAAUUGACAAUAGGUUACUAAAUCAAUUCACUAUUUCGAUCCAAGAUAAUCAAUCAAUUUAACAACUAAUAGCACUGCAAUCGGAGAAUAUGUAAAUACCAAUAAAUAAGAGGAAAAGAUAAAAUUAAAUCGAUCUCACAAUUUUUAAACAAAUCAAAGUAUCCGUUGUUUCUUGACUAGAAAAGAAAAUUUAGUUCAUUCCUAAUGUGAAAGACCCACGUGAGAAUUCAAAAAUAAUAUUCACGGAUAUUGUCUUGAUUCAAUAGAUUCAAUUGCGUUGGAAUAAGGAUAAAAAGCCAAACUAUAGAGAGUGAUUCAAUGUUUUGUUUCGUUUGCAUUUUUUCUACACAUAUGGAAGAAGAAAAACAACUAAAGGACGAAAAAAAAAAGUCAAAGAAAGGCACCCAAAGUAGUGCUUGGUCUCUACCAUCCUAUUUCCUAUCUAAUUACUACUUCCCUUCUGCGGCUGCCUAGAGGAAGAAAGAGAAAGCAGACUUCAGGUCUUGUUCCAUCUCCUCCCUUUUCGGCAAUUCCCCAAAAGUAGAAAAGUUCCUCCGUUUACCAAAAUGCCCCUGGAAUGAGGACUGCUACUUGAACUCAUUUUCUUGAUAACUGUCAAAUUAGCACUUGUUAUGGUAUUUGCGUCUACUUCCUGUAAUAAAUGUAAAUUGCCAAAAGUGAGUAAACUGAUAAUUAAUUUACAUCAGGUCAGGUAAUAGGAAAAAUUAAUUAUAAAAUAAAUGAUAAAAUUGCAACCUAUCACUUAGAAUAACCAGAAAUAAAACAAAACAAGAAAUGAAAGAAAUAAGAGGGUAGCAUAGACAUUUUGGAUUUUUCUGUUAAUUUGGAUGAUUUCCACCUACGGUCUAAUUUAAUCCAAAACACAAAUGGAUUAUGUGGAGAUUUUUAAACAAUGAGGGAGUAUCGUGACCGAAUCCCAAACCACAAAGGGGAUUUACUAUAUUUUACUCUUAAAUUUUGGUUUCAUCUCAUAGCAUACAAGAGUACUAUUUCACUGUCUGUCGACCAGGGAGGAGGGUUGGGUUGGGUGGUACGGGGGAGGGAGUCUAAGUAAGAGGUCUCAGGUUCGAAUCCUCCUGUUUAUACUAAAAAAAAAAAUUUACUAUCUGUCGACAAAGAUUUUCUAUGGUUGAUGUACCAUAGGAAAAAUCUGCCUAUACAAUUAUUUGGAAAAAUUAUCCAUCCAAACAUAGUCACGAUAGCAUUUUUUCAAAAACACUAGAUGCAAAAUUGUCCCCUUAAACGUGGAAAUUCAUGAUCUUUCCUCGACUAGUCUACUUGUCAAUUUUUGAAAAAAGAAUACUCACGCCAAAAACACGGCCUCUUCAUCUGCAGAAUUCUAAAAAGUUACGUAAACUCUAUAAACAAGUUGAUAGGUACAAUCGUACCCAAGAUCAAGUACAGAUAGUUGUACAUUCACUGCUGCAAUAACUAAUCUGAUGACUUACAAACACAUCAUGGUCAAUCGUUGAAUGGUAAUGAGUCUUUUGUUAUGCAUUAGUAUUAGUGUGUACACUCUAAUAGAUUGAUACUUAUACUCUUUAAAUUAUCAUAAUAAUACCCUUAAUUAACUUUAACCCUUAAAAAGAAUACGUGUUAAUACACGAGAGUGUGUAACCUGAAUUGUUACUUAUACAUUAGUGUGUAAUAGAACGGCAAGCAUUAUGGUGGUCAUUGAGCAACUUAUAGGAGAAAUAGUCCUAUAAGCUGUUCAAUGACCAAUCACAACUUGCUAAUUGGAUGACUAAUAUAGCUCUAGCUGUAAUGUUUUAAUUAAAUUCCACACUAACGUUGGGAUGACUUUUUAAUCAAAAAAAAAAAAGCCUUAGUUCAAGCUUUUCCCCUUAUUGUGCAUUUUUUAAAACAUUUGAUAGGCACUGCAAAUCUGUCAUUUUGGACAUUUUAUUAUUAACUAACAAUGAAAGCCGUGGACAUCAACCCAUAUCCAACAAAAUAUUAAAUUAAUAUUAGAAAAAUUAUUAAGUAAUUGGAAAAAAAAAAGAAGAGGCUAAUUUUCAUUGAAACCCACCGACAAACUAUCCGUGUCCAUAGCUUUUGAAUAGUGCAUUCAACGUUUAAUUGUAUGGUCCAGUUCAUUGCCGAUUACAUGGAGUAAAGAUUGUGCUCUUUCCUUUUUCACCCCUUUUGGAAUCGAUACUGUGGAGAAUUGGGUUUUUCCCUCCUUUUUUUCUUUUCUUUCCUUCUGUGCUUUGCAAAACAUACGUAAAAAUAUGAAAUCCGAAGCAUUCUUUAAUUGGGAUUAAGUAUUGUUGUUGAAAUUAAAAAGAAGAAAGAAAGAACAACAAAAAUCCCAAUCUGGGUUGAUUGUUGAGCUCUAGAUUGGCUGCAUCGUGCUUCCAUAGAAGUUCUCUUAGUGUGAUACGCUGCUUUCAAUCAGUUUUAAUAUUUAAGUAGAGUGCAAAAUAACUUUACUAUUUAAUGGGUUAUAAUGCACCAUUUGGUACCUCUCACCCACCUAUGAUUUGAUUUACUACUGGCAUGGUAAUGGACAGAGUUGGGGGAGCAGGAGGAGGGAGAUGGCGGUACCAGUCCGUCAACCACAGCACACCCUCCCUCGGACUUUGCGUGGUAGCGAAGUGGAGGCAGAUCGAGCACACAUGCACUAACGCCUUAAGUAUGUACAAUAUAUGUAUGCCAAAAGCAUAGCCAAGCCUACCAGCGCAUUUCAAUAAUAUAACCCGGAAAUUAAGGGCAUUGAAUUAAGUACGAUGAAUCAUAUUGGUGCACAAUUACAGUUUGAAGCUACCGAUUCGAGUAAAUUUAAGCGUAAGCACAAUCAAUCGCCAGUCAAAUGCUGAAAUAUGCAUAUGCAUGGAUGAAUGUAUGGGUUUCUUAGUUCCAGACCAAAGGCCAACAAUAAGGGAAGGAAGGACAGUUCUCAUUUUUAGCACGGACAAGGAGAUGAAGAAAAGUGUAUGUAGCUUGAGACAGAACAAUGGCAUGUGACCGCUCCUGAGACCACAUAACGUGGGGUGGGGAUGGGACGGCCAAGAAUGAAGAUGCCUGUCGGUCUCUCCGUGCUGCUACCAUAUGAAUCCCCCGUUAACCAAUUCAAGAUAAGCCUGAAGUUCUUUUCAUCCCCAAACCCUGUCCCAUCUGUGUAAAUCCAACAUCAUCAUUUACGACCUGCAACUCAGGUUAAGCAUGUUCUAUUGAGAUUCAGACACCACCCUUCAAAAGAUAUACUACUGUGAAACCAGCAGCUUAAUAUCAUUGUAUAAAAAAAAAAAAAAAAGAAAGAAGAAAAGACAUGAAAAGCAAAUUUUGUGGGGAUAAUUUCAAAAUCUCUCCUAAAGUUUUUUACUAUUUUACUGGCCUCCUUUCAAAUUUUAAAAAUUACACCAGUCUUCCUUGAGAUUAUUUAUCUUGUAACAUUGAGGUCCAAUCAAUAAUUAAAAAAUGAUAUUAUGAGAGAGAAAAAAAAUAAACUUUAACAUCAUAAAUAUUCUUAUCAACAUAUUAAAGUUAGUUACUGAAAUUUUUAUGGUGUUAAACUUCACUCUUUGUAAUAUUUUAGUUACAGAUUUUUUGAUUACUUGUUGUUGAUUUUUUUUUUUUUAGUGUAAACAGGAGGACUCGAACCUAAGACCUCUCACUUACACUCCCUCCCCCCGUACCACCCCAACCCAACCCAACCCUCCCCUCGUUGUUGAUCAUGUUUGACAAUGGAUUUGUAAUUGAAAAGAACAAUUUGGAUCUUACAUUGAGUGAAAUAUAUAGAAUGAUAUACUAUUUUUUAUGGCAUAUGUGAUUCAAUCCUUGAUGAUAAAAGCAAAUUCAAGUGUUUUCUUUAAUGUUUGUGCUGAUAUUAGAUUAAUUAAAUAAUUUAGUAGAUGAAGGAAAAUGGUGAAAUCAUAUUAUCUUCUCUUUCCUAAUAUCACUAUUUAAUUAUUGAUUGAACUUAGAUAUUACAAAUAAUAAAUCUCAAGGGAGAUUAGUAUAAUUUUCAAAUUUUGGAGAGAAGCUAAUGAAAUAGUCAAAAACCUUAAGGGAGGUUUACAAAAUUAUCCCAAAUUUGUGGGAAUUAGAAUAAUUGUACUGGACGGCACUGCCGCAACAGAGGGAAAGAGGAGGAGGUGCAGUUAACUUUUUGUUGUUUGAAAUCCUUGGUGAAAUAUUACAGAAAGACAGAUAAAACAGUUAGUACAUAGAUGUAUAUGACAGGGAAAAUGGUACGUCUGUUAAUCACAUUUGAAACACUUUCAUUGGUGAAUGACGAAAACUAUCAGGCUUGCCCAAUAGUUGAUCAUUGACCAAGACAAAUCUUGCCAUGCUAGAGGUACCAUCUUUUCGUACCUCUUUAGUGCACAGGACAUUCCUUUGUUUCAUCUAGCUAAUAAUCUACCAACUCAUUUCUUUGCAAAUGCACCUUUUAUGGUCACGUCUACGAAAGCUUUACAGGAUCUUUACCCAAAAAAUCAAUUCACCGACUCGCAUUUGAUGUCAAAAUUUCUUUACUUUACUCCAAGAUUGACUGUUAAUAAUAAUGCCACUUUGAAUUAUCACACCAUCCUUCUUGAUAGGAUUUGUGCUAGAGGUAGGGAGGGAGUCGCUGCAGCCGGUCUUCUCUUCAUAGACAGUACAAUAUUGCGAAAUCGAUCGCAUUCACGCAAUAUUAUAUUUCCAAGUCGUUGCAUGGGUAAGCUGCCAAAAAGUACGAACACAUGUUAUUAUAUAGCUUAAGAUUCAAAACUUUCGAGCAUAACCCUCCACCUAACACAAUUGAAUAAUGGAUAUUCACGAUUGUCAAAUCUGUCAAAGUACAGUUUGAGGACAACCCAUUCCAACCUGCAAAAGGUUUUUUUACUUUUCUAAAGUUGUUGAGAGCUGUUAAAAGAUUUACCAUGCUUACAUCUUCCGAGCCUUGGGAGUUAAAAAUGAAGGCACUGAGUGCUAUAAAAAGGGAAUAGAGGCUGCCUAGAAGCAUACCAGCCUAAAACAAGGAUUUGUAGUUAUGAUGGGAAGCAAAGCAAAAGCAAUGGGGUCUGGGCUGACUCCUCUUCUUGCCACUGUUUUAGUGGUGUUUGUUGCUCUUGGCUUGCCCUCAGAAACUGCAGCUGAUGAUCACUACAAGUAUUCAUCUCCUCCUCCUCCUUACACUAUCCCUCACCACCACCUCCAGUGCAUAUACCUCCACCUCAUCCUGUUUACAAGUACAAAUCUCCACCACCCCCACCACCACACCCAGUUUACAAGUAUAAGUCACCACCACCACCUCCUCAUCCGGUACCACACCCAGUUCCUCAUCCGGUGCCACACCCAGUUCCUCAUCCGGUGCCACACCCAGUUUACAAGUAUAAGUCACCACCACCACCUCCUCAUCCGGUACCACACCCAGUUCCUCAUCCGGUACCCACACCCAGUUUACAAGUAUAAGUCACACCACCACCUCCUCAUCCGGUACCACACCCAGUUUACAAGUAUAAGUCACCACCACCACCUCCUCAUCCGGUAUACAAGUAUAAGUCUCUCCGCCACCAACACCCAGUUUACAAGUAUAAGUCACCACCACCACCUCCUCAUCCGGUGCCACACCCAGUUUACCACUACAAGUCACCACCACCACCUCCUCAUCCGGUACCACACCAGUUUACCAUACAAGUCACCACCAAUCCUCACCCAGUUUACAAAUACGAGUCUCCACCACCUCCAGUUUAUAAGUACAAGUCACCACCACCUCCUCCACCAGUUUACAAGUAUAAAUCUCCUCCACCACCACCACCAGUUUACCACUACAAGUCUCCACCACCUCCUCCCCCAGUUUACAAAUACAAGUCUCCACCACCUCCUCACCACUACUAAGCAAUUGCUUCUGAGGUAAUAACACUUGUUCAAUAUACCCACUUCUGCAUGAUAAAGCAUAUCUCUAUCAACACAAACUGUCAUGUCUAUCAUGCUAAGUGCCUUCACUUCAUCCACCAAAAUGACUGCUAGAAAAUUUUUUUUAUGUUACCAAAGAAAGGCAUCAUUUUUUCCCUCUGUUAUCAAGAACUUGUACAG
rnacentral:lncRNA from 1 species